AAGAGAAAAAAGUUUUGUAAAGACACAUCAGAUGUUAGUGAAUAUACAUUCACCACUUAGAUAAUGAGAUGAAGCUAGUGCCUGUUUCCUAGCAGUUUGUGGAGUUCAACUAUAAGGGUUUCUUCUUGGUGCGAGAAGCUUCCUCUUUUCAAGUCUGGCCUGAGGUAAUUGAUCCAUCUCAACCUGCAACUUUUCCCACAUCUUUGCAGGCCUGUACUCAUGACAAAGUGACUGAGACAAACACCCUCUCUACAUCAUUAUAACUUUAGAUAGAGGCAGUAUAUCCAACAAUACAGACAUAAAGGCAACAAAACACGUACACCUUUUAUCUCCAACAAACAACGGAGAAAAAGAGAGGACAGGUUAAACUUUGAAGUUGUUUCUAAUUCUAUAUAUAUGUAUAUUGAAAAAGUAGUGUGUAGUUAAGGUGAGAGGGGGUUGCACCAGCUAGCCUUGGAACAGAGCUCCAGCAACCAUGGCCAUAGGUGGAAAUGUACUUUCUGAGCUUCUCAUCCUCCUCAGGAGACCACAGGCCCCUCCUAACCUUUUGUUUGUUGCAGCAUGAGUGAUGGCCCAUUUGUUAGUUGGUGCUUCUCUCCUACCACACAAGCCAACCAUAACCUGCAGAAGCAGGUUCUCAAUUAUCAGUGUGGGUGGGGGGGGAGGAGGGAGAAAGAGAGCUGCAACCCACCAGUGGAAAAGUGCACAUCAGCUAUAUGAGUACCCUGAUGGUUGAGUAAUGCUGAAGGUGGCACUAGCAUGACUAAGGCCUCUUGUAGGGGGCUACAGGGCAUUCUAGUAAUUUCAUGUCCAUUUUGGGACUAUAUCCUCCAAUACCAUAAUAACAUUGUUGAGUUUAUUUGGGGAAGUUUCAUAAGGUACCCUUGAUCAGUAGCAUGCUAUUUUAGCAUGGAGGUGGAAGUGGAUAACUAGUUUUAGCUCUACCCCAAGCUAAGUGCUUUAUGAUAAACCGCUGGUUAUGUCCACAAUAAACAUACUGCUCUGAUUUAUGUUUACAUUGCCUACCACCAGUUAUACAUGCAUCUUUGAUCAAAUAAUUAUGCACAAUAUGCAUUGAAUUAAUUCAUAUGACAGUUAAACUAACAGUCUAAGAUCUAGUUAUUGUCUUUCUAUACUUGGCAACUAAAGCAAUUUGAUAAAAAUAUAAGAGUAUUCCACCUUGAUCCAUAUGACUUAGCCCAGUAUACAGUACUCUUAUAUUUAGAAAACACAAAGUUCUUAGGUACCUACUUGUCAUUACAUUUAAUAUCAUGCAUUUGCCCACAUAUAUUAUUUUUACACUCACAUAUGAUCUCUUCAUGAUUUAUCUCUCUUUCCUUUUGGAUCGAGGUUCCUAUGCAUCUCUAAUAUAUAUGAACUUGUUAACUAUAAACAUUUUAAUUUUAUGAGUUAUGCAUGAAUACCAUAAAAAACUAAUUACUGUACAUGCUUUCACGUGGGGAGAGGGGGGAGAGAGAGAAGAUCACAAGUUUACUUCACAGAGCCUAAGGCUCUAUCACUCUGAACCCCAGCCAUGUGAUACUAGUGCAUGGCUCAUGCAAAGGGAAGAAACAAGACAACCAAGUACGUUGCAUGAGAUCUCGCUAAGUGGCGUGGCUAUUACGGGCCGCAUACAAUGUCAUGUUGCUGCCUUCAAUGCGACGCCUAUAAAUAGCAAGCAACCCACCAGGCUCACCUCGCCCUAGGAGGGAAAGGGACAGAACAAUUCUUCCCUUCCUCUCUUCCCCCGCCAUCAUCUGAUGUGGAGGCCUUAACUGUCAAAACUCUCAAACCCUUUCCGACCCCUUAUUUGUCCCUUUCGUUGUUGUGACUUCCUUAAGGGCUGAUUUUUGUUUAGGAUAACAAAAAUAAAAAGAAAAGGAAGACUGGGUGUUGCUUUCCUUCAUUUCUUGUAUUGGAAGGAAAUUUUAUGCAGUCCCAAACAUGAAAUCACCAAACCCUUGUUCCGAAUUUCCUUGGUUAUGAUUUAAUUUGAUGGUUGAUCUCGACCAUGAGAUUUUACGUCUUCCUUUUCUUCACUUUUUUUCUUCAAAUGUUGAUGUUGGAAACACGAAUGAACCUAAGAAUCAACUCCAGCUCAAGCAAAUUCACUAGAAAUUAUUAGUCUAGAGUAACCUCAAAAUUCUGAAACAACUUCUAGAAUUAAGGUUUCAGGAUUUCAACCUAAACUGCAAAUGUCCUUGAUUUGCAGUUCAGAUAUUUUUGCUUUCUGUAAGUAGAGCAUAAGUACUGCAAAAUGCCUUUAUCUUCAUUUCUCUGUAAAGCACUGCAGAAGUCCUAUUAAGUAUUUAUCCCGCAGCAUACAAUGCUUCGUUCAAAUUCAGCAUGAAGACUACUGAUUACAGAAUAAGAAAAUAAUCACAGAAUAAAGCCAUAAAGCACGCAGCAGUAAAUUACACUGCAAAAGACCACCAGCAAGUUCUUUUAUCAUUAGGAAACACCAAAAUAUGUCACCCUAUCUGGUUUAUUUGAUGUAACUAUUUUGCUCGUUGAGCUUAUUUUCAUGACAAGAAGAAGUAUACUUGGCUAUAACAGUCUGAACUUAUGAUCUGUCUUGUAUUAUGUAGGCUUUGCUUAGUUGACGCUCUAUGUCUAUUUUCCUUGGAACUUAACUACUAAUCACAUCAAGAUACAUCAUCAGAAGCUGUAAAAUCCUUUCAUUACAUAUAAUGCAUCAUGCUACUAGUCAUAUCCUUUGAAUGGCUCAUGCUACCGAGAAUUUGAAUUCCAUUUUCAGGGUUCAAGAGCAGAGAAACCAUUGGAUUGCAUCAGUGCUACUUUAUUCAGCAUCAGAUACUGAUUCUUAGAAUAGUUUUUGUUUCUUUUGAAACUUCAGGGGAAAUCUAGACUAGAUUAAUGGAUAAUGUAGGAGUCUUUAAACAACUGUAAGAGGUAGACAAAUUUGAGUCUUUCUCCAGUGGUGAUGCUGUUGAGUUAUAAUUUUAGUAAACCACUGCGAAAUUGCAGUUAAAAGAGCUCAACUGCAGUGAUCUAAUGAAUAUGACAACGUGCUUUGAGUAGCUGCCGUGUUUAAUUGUAGGGAAACAAGGAUAUAUGGCAUGCUACUGCAAGAAUAUAUGGUGUAGAAAAACAAGAAGAUGGGAUUCUUUUGUAGCUGCCCAACUAGGCAGUUUCUUUCUCUUCAAGGGAAAAUGCAAUUACAAGAAGCUCACUCUGUUCAAAAGAGAGCUUAAUUCCUCAUUGUCCUUAAAUCUUCGUCUCUUUUGUUUACUCUCCAAGGGCUAUGUUCUCCUUCUCAUAUUUCUACAGUAUUUUUAUAACUUUUGGGAGGUUGGGAUCUUCUUGCUAUCGGUUGUACACUGAUGAGGAAGAAAGAAAAAGCAAAGACAAAUCCCCACAUAUCUUCUAUGUAGCCAUGCAGCUAUGAAAAGUCAGAAGUUCAACAAACUGGUUGUGAUCCCAUGUUUGCCCGAGCAAAAUCCUUGUGGAAAGUUUACUCCAGCGGUCCAACCACUUGAGCGCGACACAUGAACUUCCAAAGUUUCUAAUACAGGCAUUGCCUUGUAGUGUUUACAUUGAUUGGAGGACAUUAUGUGUUUGAAACAAUCAACAGUGAGACCCACAGCAUUGAGAACCGAAUCAGAGUCAUUUUAGCGAACAUACAAUGGACCUUCGAAAUACUACAUGCAUUGACCGUCCAAGCACACAAAAUAAUUGACUAAAUUGUCAGAAUAGUGAGCUGAGCCUGAGUAUCUACAAAUUGCAGUAUAUCACCAUUAAAACAUGAACAGAAUUUGCAUUUAUUAUUAGAUGUUUCAGAAAGCAUCACACCUUUCAAUCCAAUUGCAGCCAACUAGAACCAAAUCGGUGCAACGAGAGCACUAAGUAUCCAUUCACAAACAGGGGAGCCCCAAGGGACUAGUAAAACUAACAUAACAACUUAACAUGAAGAAGUUCACUAACAAUGAAACAAUCUCCACGAAAAGCGAGGAGGCCGAUAUAGGCUAACUCUCUCUCUUGUAAACCCUAAUAUUCAGUAAUUUCUUUUUGAAAUGACCAAAUCCCCAAAAAUGGAAGUCAUUUUCACAGAUUUCCUCACCGAACAGGAUUACAAAGGGCCAAAAUUUCAGCAAUAAGAAAACACAUUAUACUGCAAAAGAAUCAAAGCAAACAAAAUGUUCGAGGGGACCAAAUGCGUGAGGUUUUAUAGCAGUUCUACUAUGUUUAUGCACCAAACAAACUAAGAAACAACAAAUCAGGUCGAAUAACUGUUUGAAUUCGUACACUGAAUUCGCAGACCGCUGUUCCAAUUGAAUGCUUCAAUUCGAUUCCAAAGAGGAGGAGGAGAUGGAGACGGAGGAGGAGCUCCACUUGCUCCGACCAGCAUGAGAGAACGAGAAUGGUGAUACCAAUCAAGGAAGAGGACGACGAAGGGCGACAUAGUUAGGGUUUGGAUUGGGGGUGAGCGUCGGAGAGGAAGAAGAAGAACUGAAGAAGGCCUUGGCGCGGAGGAGACGAACACUAAUUUGACGAUUUCUAACUAAAAGUCGGUGACGAUAUUAAUAAAUCAGCCGGAUUUAGCGGAAUGCAGUGUCUUCAACUAAGUCGGCAAUUCCGAAAUUGAAGACAUUGCCGUUGUCAGAACUCGGUGGUGUGAGAGUCCAAAAUUGCCGGAUUUAAGCUGAAGUUCACGGAAUUCAGUUUUGGAAGCCAUUAUGCUCUAUUAACUCUGCUUAACAUUUUAUGUGAUUUGUAAAAGAAGCUGCAGCAUAUCAGCCUCCUACGGAAUGAAGCUCGAUAAUUCGAUCACAAUCUGUCAAAAAGAAAGCACUUCAAAUAUCAAAGGAUUCAAAAGGAACAAUUAAGUUCCAAUUUUUUUUUUUUUUUUUUUUUGGGAGAAAUUAUUCCACAUAUAGAGGGGAGAUUAAUAAGGUAGAACAGUUAUGUAUGAAUUGAGAGGGGGGCCAGUGGCUGCAAUAAACAUUCCUCCUCCAUUGCACAGGCUUUUCGCUGGUAAAUUUCACCGAAAUUUGUAUGGUGGUUUUAGCUAUAACAGUGGCAGUGGUAAGCUUAUAUUGAAUGUGGUGGAAAUAAGCUUUACUUUCAAGGAGACAAGAAUCUCUGCAAAGUAAAGGCAACAAAUACUAACUGCAGGAAUUUGUACUUGUGUAAGUACAAAACUAACAUUGUUGUUACUUGUGUUUCACGCAGGACGUCUUAAUUUAUGCCUUUGAUUGUGAUGAUGGGGCGAUUGCAGCUCGUAUUCCUCCUUUCUUCGAUACAUGCCAUCGCAACGAAACGGACCUGGCGGCCUUGCCGACUUUUGCAUGCAGGUGGGCAUGACAUGCAGCUGGAGGCAUCCCAUGAGAGUGAUGGCAUUAGACCUCCCUGCUCGUGGCCUGGUCGGAAUCAUCUCUUCCUCAAUAGGACACCUCACCUUCCUUCGUAGGAUCGAUCACCUUCACAGGAAUUAAUGGACUUUUACGUUCAAAUACCUUCCAUCCACUGUCGGCCGCCGGCACCGAUUGCAGAUCCUCAGCCUGACAGACAACUUACUCCAACAACUUACUCCAUGAUGUGAUCCCUACAAACUUCAGCUUUUGCUCUCACCUCACGCAUUUUACUCCUUGGCAGCAACCAUUUACAUCGGUAAAUACCCGACAGCCUAGGUUCCUGGUCGAUCCUUUAUGUUCUGGCUCUUGACAAUGACAGCUUCACGCGAACCACCCGCAAUCGCUAGCUAAUCUCUUGGUUCUCACUGUAAUAUCUAUCACGAGCAACCAUUUGGUAGGCCGAUCCCCCAUAACCUCGGUUUUUUUUAACUAUUAGGCAUCAACUGAAAAUAUAACUGUAGUUUGGUUUGCUAAAAAGUGGUAACAUUUGUUAGAUUUAAUGGAAUCACAGAUAAACUUGGCAAAAUUCCCAAUCUAACAAACCUGAGAUAACCAAGAAAAACAAUCAAAAUUGGGAUGUAAAUUGUCAAAAACAACAUGGGGAGCAAGGGCCUCAACAAGAACAAUUGAACAACAGGUUUAAUCACAAGAGAUGAGUCAAGAGAUGAGUCAGCUGUGCUAGAAGCAGAAUAAAAUGCACAUGGAUCAAACAGGUGCUUGAAAGGAAAAUGGAGCCAAACUUUAAUAUUGCUCACGAAACAAAAAGAGGAGGAUAAAAGAAGAUAAAAUAUUCCACUAUUAUUACAGAUGAAAUGAAUCAUUUUUUCUGUUUCAAAGUUUCUAAUACGGUAGUGAUAAUUGACAUCAAAACAGUCUCAUGUUACUGAGAGCAGCUACAGCAGCAUAAGGAAACAUAUUCUGCAUGUUAUACAGUGAUUCUUGCUCUACCUUUUGCAAUUCUUCGAGCAAUCACCCUCCGUCCACCUUUGGUUGCUUUUCUGAUAAAGGAAGUUCACAAUGUCAACAUACUAAACAUUUAAUGAUUUUAAAACAGCAAAUUUACUGUCUAAUAAACAUUUCAUCAAUUAGCUUGCUUGAAAAACACUAACUGAAGUUACUGAUAAUCCGAGUUAUCAAAAGACUAUCAAUCCCAUCUUCAACUGUUAAGUUAAAAAUAUAACUAUAUCAUCCUAACAAUUCCUUAACAGGAAGAAGUGAUGGACAAACAAAAUUAGAAAACCCAUUGUAGAUUUUGGCUAGCUGAUAAUAACAAUAGUAAAAUAGAUCGUAUAUUUGAAAAACCUUAGCAUCUUAUCUAAUUUCUGGAGAAUCUGAUCAGCUAAAGAAAGCUCAUUAGAAGUACUUGUCAAAGAAGAGCUCAUGGAACUUUUAGAGAGAGAGAGAGAGAGAGAGAGAGAGAGAGAGAGACCGUGCAAGGAAACCAUGAGUUCUUUUGCGCUUGAUGUGGCUUGGCUGGUAUGUUCGUUUAGGGAGUAGAACCAAUGGCUCAUUAGGCAAACCAUCAUGUCCUGCAACUACCAAAUAUUAUCAUUAACUACAAACCAGUACUCGUCGUAUCAAAAUUAUAAACACACCAAUGCACGUCAAAUUCAAAUUCAUCCCAUGCAAUCCGUUGAAAGAGUGUUUAGUUAUCAUCAUGCAUUCAUGCUUACAUUGGCAUACUAAAAUUUCAAAAGAACUGAAUCAAAAAUUUCCAGUACAAUAGCAGAAGUGAUGAGAUCUUAAGCCGAAUGGAUUGAAGAGACAAGCUUUUAACACUUAAACAGACAUUUUUUGUUCCAUGACCAAAAUUUUGCUCCAAAUAACUGAAUAUAUAAGAAAAACAGACCCUGCAAAUACGAACUAAAAACGAAUUAACAUACACGAAAGUCAUAUAAUCAGCAAAAGGAAAGUGCUAUCAAUUAGCAAAAUAUAGUUACUACAAAAAAUGAUACUCCUUUCUAGUUUCAUCCCAUCUGUCAAAAAGCUAUCAACUGCAAAAAAAACUAAUCACAAUAAGAAGAUAAAAAUAUAAUGAUGAAAAAAGAUCAAAUAUUUCGGCUCUAUACCAACCAAAAAAAAAAAAAAAGAGGAUUUCGCUAACGAUCUCCAUCGAACAAAAUCCACUACUGGGUACUGUUUAGAUCCUCAAAAAAACUAGAUUUUGAUGAAAUUGAACUCGACAAUAAGCACAGUAAAGUUCAAAACUUGAGAAUAAACUUCAUCUCACCGUCCUCUAUGAAGAAUCGAAGCGAAGGCAAGCCACAGGGAAACAAGAACCCUUCGGGAGAAGACAAUUUCCGUACAGCUUCGGCGUCCCCUCCCACUUCCGGAAGCGGAGUUCGGUCGAUCUGAAACUCGGCUCGAAACGGAGGCGCCCACGACCGGGUCGAAGAGAUUGUGGGUAGAACGAAGGGUUUCGGCAUCGACGGGGAACGGGUCGGAUUGGAAAGGAAGAGUCGAUUGAUGAGAGAAGCUCCUGUGCGAGCUAAGGUUUUGGACGACAUGUUCGGCUUCGGGGGAGAUCUCAAAACCCUAGUUUCGAGAUUAUCGACUUGGGAGGACGACGACGUUAACUUUAAACCGGCAAAAAGGUCACUCAAACCGGACCACUCCGGUCCAAGCGGUCCAUAUUAUUAUUUAUUAAAAGAUUUUUUUUCUUUUACAAUAUUAAAUUAUUAGGGGAAAAAUUUUAAAUAGUAUUUAGAUUAAAAAAAAGUCUUUUUCAUAAAAAACGAAAACAAGCAUUUCGGAAAAGCACUUUAUAUAAAUACUUAAAUAUAAUUAAAUAUUAUAUAUUCUUUAUUUAAUAUGUAUCGUAUGGUAAGAACCGAAGUCGGCAGUACAGUAGUAAGCAUAGCCGACUUCAGUAUCAGUUGUUGCGGCGCAUAACGAAGAGCGGUGGCAAAAAGCGGUGGCCUCGUACUUUAGCCUCUCCCCUUUCCCUUGCUUCGCUCCCAUCGCUCAAUCCUUGAUUCGCCCAUACCAUCUCUAAUCGAAGAACCCAAGCGACAGGUAACGAAGCUCUCCUAACCCUAAUUCUUACAUCUUUCUCAAUCCCUCCUCUCCCCUAUUCUCCACUGAGAUUCCUACUGCGCAAAGUUCUCUUAUUUAUCUAUUUAUUUUUCCACAAUUUCUUAUCCAUAUUGUAUCGGAAGGAUAUUGGAUUAGCUUAUGCUAGCUUGAAUCUUUGUUGGUUUUGAAGGAUUUGUUCAUUUAUGCGAAUAGUUGCGUCUAUAUGCUGCGUACAAAUUAUAAAAACUCGUUUUUUGUCCUAUGAUGGGUUAAAAGUGGUUUUGUUUUGGAAAUUAAAUACGAGUAUGAGCUCCUCAAAGUUAUCUUUUUGGUUGUUGUAAUGGUUGUUUCCGCAGUGGAGGAUCUAGCUAACACGAAAAUGAAGCAAUUCAUUGCCCCAUCCAAUUUUCUUCUGAACUUACUGUAGUAGUGAUUUGAUUCGAAGCGACUCUUUUGAGGAACAUUUUUUUCUAUUUUCUGGCAUUAUUACUUGGUUUCUCAUGAUAAUGACUUUAUAAACUUGAAUUUGGUGAAUGCGCCUUGGCUGAGUUGCUGGAUAAGUUAGCAUUCUAUAUUUCUAUGAUGCAAUGGGUUGUACUUGAUUAGUAUUCAGAAACACUUUUAAACAUCAUUCGACAAUCGGCAUAGAAUUUUUCUCCGCAUUUUACUGAUUAAUCAUGUUAUUUUGUACUUGAUUAGUAUUCAGAAACAGUUUUAAACAUCAUUCGAUGGUAUAUUUUCUUGCACUGUACUGAUUAAUCAUGUUAUGUAAAGAAGCACUUUUUUGCUUCCAGUUGGUUGAUCGACAACGCAGUGCAAGUCACCUUUUGUUAUAAGAAGAGAUCGAACUAAACAUGCAUAAGGAGAAAGCUCAUCAUAGGGAGACUCAUGGAACGAGCGAUGACAUUGAUGAGGACACACCGGUCAACAAAGUAAAAGGCCCGAAUGUAUUUGAACGAGCCAAGGAAGAGAUUGAAGCUCUUCUGGAGACUAUCCAGUCGAAGGAUGAAGCUAAUCGUGAUUCAUCUGAAAAGAAAGAUGGUAAUUUUUUUUCAAUCUAAUGAAUCAAGCAUUUUUUCUCUUUUAUUCUGAUUGUUUUGCUGGUCAUUCCAUAUCAGAUCACAGUGCUCAAAAAUGCUUUAGUGCUCUUGCCUUUUCUCUAUGUUGUAUUCCCCUGAUCUUUCUCUGUAAACAAGUUUGCCGCUUUUAAACUAUGGUAGAACUCAACAAGAUAAGAUUUACUAGUAAGUAUGAGAAUGAGGCUUACUAGGUAAUUCUAAUUUUCUUCCAAAGAAGGUGGCUGUCUCGAUUUCGUUACAUCAUAUACAAAAAAAAGUCCAUGAACUGUGCUUUCUUCUAUUUUCGUCUACAGCGGGGAAAGAAGUGAAAGAACCUAAUUCGGGAGAAAAAGCAAAGGAAGGGAGUGAAGGUAGCAUGCUCAAGGGCAAAGCCCAUACGACGGAGACUCAUGGCACAAGCAGUGACGUGGACGAGAACACACCCAUUGAUAAGAUCAAAGGUCCAAAUGUGUUUGAACGAGCGAUGGAAGAGAUCGAGGCCAUUGUAGAAGCGAUUCACCCAAGAAGAAAGGACUGAUUCAAACUUGCAGCCGAAGAAAAGUAGAAUUCGGGGGUUAUCUCCUGCAACAAAAGUUUGAGAAAUCCUGUUCCGUUUUGAAUAAGAAUUAAGAGUACGAAGACCUAAAAAAUCUUUCGCUAGGUUUCUCUCUUUUUUCAUAAAUUCUGAUCUAAAUGCCCAGGGAUAAUGUACUAAAAACUUCUCUUUUCUGUGGAAUGAAAUUGCUGGUUGUUCAUGGAAUUGAUUUGUUGUCAAUGUCAGGUCAUACAUGAUAUCUGUUGAUUGCAAGAAGGGUUAUAGGAAGAUGAAUGGAAGAGGAACAUUAACCAAAGAAAGACAGAAAUUCUAUGAGGACGACAAUACAAAUGCAAGACCUAAGUAUGAAGAUGUGUAAAAUCUGAUGUGUAAGUAUAAUAAUCAAUCUUACCUGCAAAGAUCAAGAGGAAUGAGAGAUGCUAUAGUACUAUACGACUACUAGAAAACUUUGAGAAGGGUCUCCCUGGUUUCUAGGCUGUAAAAUGUCCAGCACCUAUUAUAUACACCAUUUUGAAGCGCACUGCGCUUUGAACCUGGGAACUUUCGGUCCCCACUCAGAUACCCACCAACUAGGUUACACUUAGGUCACUUCUCAAGAUUUCUUGUUGGAGAGCAAAAUCUAUGAAAGUUAGCAAAAUGCACACAAAAGAACAUUGUCGCCUUUUCUUGUGCAGGAUUUGCAUGCCAUGCAUGAAUUUUAGGGGUAAUAUAUCAUUGAGAUCAUUAUCACUAUAAUCAAUACUAGUUGGUUUUGAAUCAAGACCAAGCUGGAUAGAAUCAACUCUUCUUUUUUUUCUUUUUUUUUCCUUCUUCUGAGUUGCAAUAUAUGAAUCACAAAAUAAGCAAACCAAUAUACAUAUACAUUCAGUCAUCAAGGUUAGAGCAGGAGAGGAGAAAGAAGAAACCAAUCCCAAACUAAAACUGCAUCAUAGGCAUAAUGCAACAAAAGAAACACAGGAAAAAGAAAUAAUUGAUGAUCAACAUAGAAAUAUUCUUCUAGCUCCUUGACUUCUCGCAGAACUCGACUCCUCCUUGAGGUAUCCCGGGAAAUCCUAUUUUCGUGCAAGCGUUGUCGCACCCCUCCGCACAUUUCUCCGACGUCAUCACAACCAAAGAGAGGCAGUGACUCACGCAUUCGCAGAAGCAGUUUUGUCGCGCCUCACUCCGUUCUACAGAGGAUAGAACUGCAAUUAAGCAGAAACAAACCAAAAUAGUUGCAGCCACCCUCUUGUGAGCCAUUUCUUUCUUUUCUCCUUCCCUCUCCCCCUUUCUUUCUUUACUUGCACCUUUAUAUUGUUUUAGGGUGGUGAAUGACUGAAUAUAGGAGAAAGUGUUUUAGUAUGGGUUGGGUUUGUAGGGAAGGGUGGGUGGUUGGUUGGUUUUUUCUAUGUUUGGUGUGUACUUAAUUUCUAUAUUAGAGGAGCAAUGAAAUGGUGUUCCACUAUUCUGAGAUGGGCUUUUCUUUAGGUACUCCUUUAGUAAAGAUGGAGGUUACCUGAAUUAGUCAGGUGUGUUUUGUCCUGUCAACUCUAUUCGACCAAAAUUAGAGUUUCUAUUUUUCCACAAGCCAUAAAAAUUCUGGUAGCAGAUGCCUAAAUUUGGCUGGUUUGACUUUCGUUACUCGGAUUAGAAAACUCAAUUUUAGUAGGGAUUGUGAAGACUACAUUGGAUUAGAAAAAAAGCAAAUUGGAGGUGUUGCAAAUCAUCUGAAAACGAAUGGACUUUUUUUUUUUCUUUUUUUCUCUUGAUAUAUUUUCCUUUUCCACUAUUGAAAGGUCUACACUGCCCGUGAUACCUUAGCUAGGGCUGGCAAAUGAGCGAGCCGGCUCGCGUUAAACUCGCGUUCGACUCGAUAUUUGGCUCGCUCGAGCUCGACUCGAAAUUAAAUGAGCCGAGCUUGAACAAAAAAAAAGGCUCGAAAUUCAUUUCAAGCCGAGCUUGAGUAUUACUUGGCUCGUUCGAAUUAGGCUCGAAAAGCUCGAAAAGCUCGAAUAUGUAUAUAUAGUAGAGCUACUAUGCUAUCGAAAGUAUAGAGAUAUGGUGCUUUCGAUUUUUUAAUUCUUAGAUCAAUCCCUUUAAUCGUUUUUUAUCUUUGGAUUAAUAUUAUUAUUACAUUGUAGGGACCACUCAAUCCUUAGACAGCGUUUAGUUAGGGGAUAGGGAUAAGAAUAGGCCCUUACGCUAAUUUUUUAUCCGAGAAUAGUAGUUCUCUGUUAUCCCCAUCAACACCUCCAUUUUUUAUAUAAAACUACCUAAAAUUGUUUUAUCGCCGGGAACAACCCAAUUUUCAUCCAAACACUAUUUUUCUUAUCCCCAUAUUUGUACCUAUCCCUGUAAUAGCUAGUUCUUACUUAUACCCGAACCAAACAGUACCUAAGAGUAUUAUUUAAUCCUAGGGGAGACCGCAAUCAUCCCAACCAUACAAAUUUUAAUCAAAGGGUCAAAAAUUCAAAAACAUCAAAUUCUCUAUAUUUUCGAUAGCAUAGUAAUUCUACACUAUGCUAUAUAAAUAUAAUAUAUUUUAAUUAUAUAUAGCUUGAGUGAAUAAUGUGAGUUUAGUUAAAAUUGGGCCAAUGUUGUUGGCCCAUAAAAACAAACCCAAUAGACAAAUAAAAGAGCAAACUUUUACUAAAUUUAUAUAUUUUUCCUUCAUUUCUUUCUUUCUUUCACAGAGCUCUAAAUUUUCAAUAUGUUUCUCUCUUUCUCUUUUCCUGUCUCUCACCUUAAGUGGCCAAGCCGAAAGCCCUCUAAGUUACCAAGUAACAUCAUAUGCCCGCCGUUGCCUACCUUGUUAUUAAUUGUAUGCUUGAGAAAAUAUACGGAAUAUUUUUAAAGUAAAAAAUUAUUAUUCAUAUAAAAUUUUAAUUUUAGUUAUAUAUGAUUGGAUAGUUUAAUCCAAUAUUUAUUUAUAUAAUUUAUUUAUUUUUGACUGCAUAAAUGAAAAUGAAUAAUAUAGAGAUCGAUGGCGGAAGAAAAGACAUGUAAAGCUGAAAAUAUUAGAUAUUCAACUCAUAAAUUAUUUUUUUUCAUAUUAUAAUACUAUAUUUCAUAUAAUUAUUUUGUACUUUGAACUAUUAGACAUAUUUUUGUAUCAAAUUAUAGAUAAUGUUCUAUACAAAUUAAACUAUUGAUCGUAUAAUGUUGAGAAUUUCAAGCGGCUCGUUUAGGGCUCGAGCUCGCUCGACUUGAAAUUAGGCUCGCUCGAGCUCGGCUCGAAUUAAUUUCAAUCCAAGCUUGAGCUUAAAUUUAGGCUCGAAAUUAAUUUCAAGCCGAAUUUGAGCCGAGGUAAGGUCGCUCGAGCUCGGCUUGUUUCCACCCCUAACCUUAGCUGCGAUUACUGCUUAUGGCCAGUUUUUUUUUAUAAUACCGUACAUAUUCUUAUCUACACCGAGCUUAAUGGAUGGGACCUAGAAAAAAGACCUCAAGAAUGAUUUGGAUUUAAGCUCCCUCAAAAUUGUUGGUGUUGGUGUUAACUAAUUUUUCCUGAAGCCAUGAACAUUGAUUAGUUGGCUUAGAAUUGGUUGUUUGGUACUCUCCGGAGCUUAGAUUUCUCAUUGACAGAACACAGCAGCAGGUGGUGGAAAACGAAAAUAAACGUGAGCAACCAAACGAGCUUACAAUUUCACCUUUCUUUGAGCUGUAAUUCACCUCAACAGGGGAAUAUACAAAUCCAACGCACCUCACAGGAGAGGAUGGUCUCCCACACAGAUAGGCUACUCCUACUAAUUAAAAUAACAAGCCAAGAAAACCAAUGAAAAGGAAUACUAUUUAAGUCCCAUGAUUCAUGCAGAAAUUGUCAUUUCACAGCAGACUAGAGAGGAAUGAAGGAUAGUUGUGAUAGCAAUGGUUGCUCCUUAUUACUUCGGACCAAAGUCUGUACAUGAAUAAAGCAAAAGGAAGCAAUUACCGAAGAAGAAACAACCACAAAUUGGACUUCAAUCUUAGUCGGUUACAAUGUAUGAGGAAAAAUAGAAACCAGAAUAGUCUCCCAAGCCAGUGCUAUACCAAAUUAAAAAUUGUAAAAGCUCAAACAAUCUGUUUGCCAAUUGUCACAAUCAACUGGAAUUGGAAAUGACAAAUCGGAGAUGCACUCAUUUCUUCCUUGUCCAACAAUUUAUGCAGAUGCUAUUUUCCAUUUUGUGUUAGGGUCUGCGAUGAUUUUGUACAGGAGUUGUCUGAAAGGCAAAUCCCAAUCACUAUUACAGCACAAGUUGCUUCAUGCGGCAGCAGGAGCUGAAGCAGUGGUCUUCUGACUAUUCUCUCUCGGAGGCACCCGUAGUAAAGUCUUCAUCAUGUCGUAUGCUGUGAAACCAAUGGCCACUGAAGGAACCACCUGCACAUUUUAUAAAUUCAUCACCUAUACAAUAAGGGAACUGAAAGAAGAUCUUUGAAUUAUCCACAAAAAGCUGCCUGCUUUAAAAUAAUAACAGCAAGUUUAUUACAAAUAUAGUAUCAGAUUGUACAAUGUGCGAUAAGAAGUUGUCAGGCAAAUUACAUUGUUGUUAGAAACUAUAUAUUACUUAUUAGAAUCUAGUACCAGAAGUGGAUAUUUUUCCUCAUCCCUCAUCAUGGAUGAUGAUUUGUAACAAAUAGGGGCUUACUAUUUCAUUGAUGUACAUCAUUACCUUGACAUAGUUGAGGCUCAGGCCAGCAAACAGUUGCUUCCACCCCUGAUUAUGAACUAUCGUAUAAAGCCCCUGUAACGUUCCUGUGAUGCGAGGACCACCAAGAUGAUUCAUUGGUUGCCGACUCUGGACCUAUACAUGAAGCUCAAAGAUUAAUAAUUAAUAAGGGGAAAGAAAGCCCCAGACUACCUAUACUUUGGACUGCUUGCAAGUCGCUGUCCGAAGUUUAAAAAGUUCCAGCCCAAUAGGAACCUUAAAUAAUAUCUGAUGGCACCCAUUAAGCAAGAAAAACAGCUAGAAGGCACAGCUAGUAAUAAAAUAAGAUACCUGCAUCUGUCUCCUGACAACAUCCAGUGGGUACGUAAGAGUCUGCCCGAAAAGACCAGCUAGGGCUCCACAAGAGAGGCGAAGUAUGACAGACUUCUUGUACUCUUCAGGAACUUGGCUCUUCAGCUCUUCAUAUAUGUAGAACUUCAGACCAGCAUAAGGAAGGAUGCCGAUGAGUGUUGGGCCUGAAAAAACAUAGAGUAAUAUAGGAGCCUCAACCCUAUAAAACUAACACCUGAAUAUCAUUCAUCAACUGAUUUUCUCAGAGACAAAGUCCUAAAUAAAAGAACAAGAUGGUGCAAUUUAUGAAGCCGCCUACUGGGAAUUCUGCGACUAUUUUCAGGCGAUAUGAGUUCAAAUCUUUUACCGACAAUAAACAAAGCUAGAAAGAAAAAAACCACUGUACAAAGAUUCCACUGAUGAUAUAAUAUGAGGAAGAUAUGCCAUGUCAAAUAUCAUCUUUUUCCCCAUACGAAUAUUAGAUGCAUGAUAUAGGGAGUAAUUAUACCUACUCCACGGUAGAGAGAACGCACACCACCUUCAGAAUACACACUCCUAAAAACAUCUUUUACCCCACCAUAUGUUGGCUGGACAUUAAAACCCCUUAAGCCAUUACCAAGCUGACCUGGAUUUGUGACCUGUGAGAAUGAGUCAAUAAGACUUUUAGCACCCAGGUUGAUGGCCGCUACAUAGAGGUUCAAAUUAUCCGACAGGAGUGAAUAAACUGACCCUUCUAAACAAAUAUUUGUAUUACCUGGUAGGCAAGCUUAGUCCGGGCCAAGUCCAAGGGAUAGGUACACAGAACAGCAGUUCCACCAGCAGCUGAGCCAGCUAAAAGAUCUACAAUAGGUCCUGUGCCCAGUGAAGAAUAAUUAUUCAAAAUCCAACACCUAUAUUGCUCGUAUGUCAUGUAGUGAAGAGCUGCAUAUGGAACAAUCCGAAGCACACUAGCACCAUUUCCUCUAAAAAAAGAAAAAAGAGAGAGAGAGAAAAGACCAGAAGUUAAUACAAGAUAUUAGAUAAUUCGGAAGGCAGGCACGUAAAUCCACUCUCUUGUGACUUACUUGUAGAAGCCCUUAAAACCUUCAUGUUGCCUCAGCUUCCUAAGAGAUUUAAAAAUUCCUAGGGAUUUAAAUCCUUCAGUCCUUGUCUACAAAAUAUAACAGAAAAGAAGAAGAAAAAAAAAAACAUGUCAGUCUUUUAUAUGAACACAUGUUUUGACAAUAUCUAAAGGGAAUGUGUGAUUUCGACAAUUUUGAAACGCUGAAUCAACAAAGAGAGAAGCAAAGAGAAGAUUUUUCACCUACAAAGAAGUGAUGCAACAAAGGAUCAUUACAGAUCAUAGUAUCGCGACAAAGCUGUCUCACUCUUACUUACAAAAGCACCAAAUUCGCCAAAGGUGAUAAAGCAUACAUGUAUUUGAUGCAUAAACAAGACAAGUAAGAAUAACAUAGAGGGCAAAGGAAAGAACCUGCAAUAGAAUCUUAACACGUUCCAAAGGGGCCACCGUCGUCUUUGAGAAGGCCCCGGCAGCUCCGCCGGCAAUCAACUCCUUCACAUAAACGGGCAACAAAUCCAGCACACGCACAUCAACAUCCGCCGCCGCAGAAGUCAGCGUAGACCCUUGAGAGGAACCCAUCUCUCCCAAUCCCAGUAAAGCUCAAAUCUUCAAACUUCAAUAAUAAGUAAUUGUGAAAAUGGCUAUACAAUCAAUAAUCAGAGCGAAGCUAGGGUUUUCCAAGCCGUAACCCUAGUCACCCCGCCUGCAAUACGGCGAACUCCUUAUCCCAUCGAUCUCUGGGGAGGCAAAAGGCGACGCCUUUGCGGUGGAAGAAGGGGAUUCCACGCGCGGAACGAAUGCCAAGAAACUGGAAGGGUUCCUUCGCAUCCGAAUCGGGCCCGGAGAGGAGAAGAUACAUCAAACGGCGAGAAAAAUCGGAAUUUUGGCCUUCAAAACCACACCAAAAGCUCAAUUAAACCCAAACUUGCAACAAAUACGAAUCAUUCCCAUGGAUCUACCACGAUUUCGCAAAUACCCAUCAAAAUUGAACUCAAAAGCGCCACCGAAAUCGUGACCGAGAGCGAGCGAGAGAGAUAGAGCGAAAAGAGAAGAACCGAUCGAGGAAAGGGAAAGCGCGUGGCGUCGAAGAGAAGCGGGGACCGUUCUAGGGUUUGCUCCGUGACUUGAUCGUCUCGGAACCCUCCUUCUCUUCUCCGCCCCUUUUUUAGGGUUUCCUCCUCUUCUCUUUCCUGCUCUUCUUUGUUCCUUCCUCCUCGAUCUCGUGAGCGUCUCUUUCUCGCCGUUUAUUAAAAGGGACACAGUCACGAGGGUGGGCAAGGUUCGCGCAUACAGAUUAUUAUGCGGAGACACCGCAUAGAGGAAUUGGCCCCGUGAUUUCGGCCUUGGACUUCGUUAGAAGACGUUCACAGCGAGGAAUUCUACGCUGUCACACUUGUACAACGUCAUCAAUAACAAGCCAAUCACAUUCCUUCAUUUUAAACAAAAGUACAAUAAAAAAAUUUUUUUACAAUCAUGAUGGGACAUAUAUUCUUAAAAGGAUUAAUUUGAUUGAUUUGUUACGCCACGUCACUAAUAUACCCGUUGCAUUCUAAAAUUUUUCGUUCACAGCAAACCGAAUAGUGCGUACAAAUAAUUAUGGGUUAAGAGCUAAAUGUGUCCCUAAAUUUUAGCUAUUUCCAAAAAUAUUUCUAAUUUUCUAAUUUUUACAAUCAAUUUCUAAACUUCACCAAACUGCUCUACAGACGAUAAGAAAAUAUGUAUAGAACACAGAGUUGAUUGAGAUAUAAACCUUUAUUCGAUAAAUUCUAAAUAGACUAAUAAGACGAAAACGAUAAAAAUUAUAAUUUAUUACAGAAUAUAUGAAAAAAUAAGCUGUGUAUCACGUAAAAAAUUUGAACUCUGGAGUUGAAAGUAUCAGCUACUAAUGAAAAUAUUAGUUUCUAACGUCACAUAGACAAAAAAGUUUGUGCAUCUAACCCAAUAUUUACAUGAGGAAUCUAUCUCCUAUAUGAAUAUUGAAGUUUAUGCACGUGUCCUAACACUUGUUCUAAUAAAUUUAUAAUUUAACGAAAGAAUGUAUUUAGUGGAACAGGAAUGUUAAUGUCGGGUGACAGCUUGAAUGGUGCAUCUAAUAACUUGUUUCUCAAUUAGAUUGCUUUCACAACUUGCACUUGCACCAGUAAAAUUCUCCUCAUUCAUAUAGUAAUUAAAUCGCUGGAUAAUCUAUAUCGAUAUUUAUAUCUAUAUCUAUAUCUAUAUCUAUUCUAUAUAAAUAUAUGAAAAGAGAGUUUCGGAUACAGGUGGCGGAACAAAGCAGGGUGCGGGGUGGGCGGGGAGCGGGAAGGAGAGGGGUGGGGGUGGGCCCAGGCGGGUGGGGCCUAUUCUUUUUUAUAUUUUUUAUAUUUUUAAUUUUUAUUUUUUCUAUUAAUUUUGAAAAGUGGAUUUUUUUUAAAAAAAAAUCUAAUAUAAUUUUUCUCUCUUAUUAUAAAAAUUUAAAAUAUAUGCGUACUUUUAAAUAGUUUAGAUUAUAUAUCUUAAAUAUAAAUUUUAAUUUUAUAAUAUCGAUCACUUAGAUAUAAAUUGUAUAAUAAAAAAUAAAAAAGCGAUGGAUGAAGUUUAAGUUAACUACUUAUUUAAUAAAUUUUGUUGCGAAAAUUACAUGAAAUACAAAUUAAAUUUGUAAAACUAAACGAUACAUUCAAAAUUUGAAGUCAAAGUAUCAUUAACUAACUUAAAUUUAACGUAUAAAAAAGUUAAAUUGUAAAAAUAAAAUUUUGAAAGGUUAGAUAUCUGAUUUAAAAUCGUUCAUAGUCCAAAAAUGUUCUGUACGUUUUUACUUUGAUUUUAAUAUUAAACUUCAAUACCAUGUUUAUAGUCUGAUAAGCGAUCAAUUUCGUAUUUAAAAUAUUUUGGAAUAUCCAAAAUAUGACCGGUCGAUCUUUAAUUUUAACAAUUAAAUAUUUUAAAAUUUAUUAGAUAGUUUAAUAUAUUCUUUCCUCAAAUAAAACUCAAUUAUAUCUUUGUCUGAAAUUAAAAUAUAAAAAGAAUAAAUUACACUUUUAAUUCUCAAACUAUAAGACAUAUGCCAUUUUAGUUCUCGAAUUUUAAUAAGUUAUAUUUUUUUGCUCAAAGCAUGAGGCACGUGAAGGUUUAGUUCUCAAACUUUAAUGAGCUGCAAUUUUGAACUCUAACUACUGCUGUUAUAAAUAUAAUUUAUUAUUCUUAUAUUUUUUUAUUUUUUUUAUCCUUUUUAUAUUUUUAUUCUCAUACUUUAUUAUAACAAUUAUUUUUUUAAUUUUUUUUAGAUUUAUUUGUUUCAAUGGAAUUGAUCCGCCGCAACGGGCGGAUGCCUUCACUAGUGUCACAUUAUUGUAAAGAUACGUGCAACAAUAUUCGUGUUCAUCAAAAUAUUUGUGGCCAUUUGGAAUCUGAAAAUCCCUACUAAAGUUAAAUUUUCUUAUGACUAGCUCUCAGAAAAAGACUGCCUAUCAUGGACAAUCUUCUCAAAAGAGGAUGGUCAGGAUGUAACAUUUGCUUCUUGUGUACGGUAGACCAUUUGCUUGGAGGAUGCAUGGUUAGCAAGUUUCUUCUUUUCGUGCACCUUGGAGAGUGUCUCGUAUACCCCCCCGUAUACCCCCCCAACGAAGAUAUUAACACCGUCUGGAAGCGACUGCUAGAGAGACGUCUAAAGAGCGACAGUCGGAAGGCUCAGACACUAGUGGCGGCCACUUGGUGGACAAUCUGGCGAGAUAGGAAUAACGCCAUUUUUAAAGAUCUACUCACUGACGUUUCUUUAUCUUCCUAUCGUAUCGGAAUGUUGGCAAAAGAGUGGGCCGAGCACUGUAAAACCAAGUGAUGGAGGUGUAUUGGUCUAGAUCUAGGUUUGAUUUUUUUCUUGUUUUUGCUUAAACCUUUUUUUUGGUCGCUUCUUCGCCCUUUCGAGGCCCUGGCUGCCUCACCUUAUGUAGCCAAAUUUAUUGACUUAAUGAAUGAAACAGAUAGCGUGCUACCUCUUUCUCAAAAAAAAAAAAAAAAAUUCAUGUUCAUCAGAAGAAAAGGCACACUCGGCAGCGUUAAAUUAAUUUGAGUUGUCAAUUUAAGUAGUCAACAAAAAUAUAGGAGUUUGUUGACAUGAUUUUUUUUUCGUUUACCAAAUCACCAAACAUUUUUACUUAUUAGUAUUUAUAAUUAUUAUACAAACAAGUCAUAAUACCUGACUCCAAUUAAUUAAUUCAACACAAUUUAUACGUAGGCGCAUGUUUUCUGCAAUUCUAAAUGCUAGUAAAUUUUCCAAGUAUGCGCAUUUUUUAUACAAGGAGUUGUUUUCUCUUGUUGAAUCGAACCGACUUCGUCCUGCGCCCUGUUUAAUUUGAGUUCUUUUUGUUAAAUCGAGUUAAAAAAAUUUGUACCAAAGAGUCGGUUUAGUUCACGAUUUAUAAUAUUCCAAUAUUUUUAUAUAUUAUAUUGAAAAUAUUCAAAUUGUUACUAUACCUCACAUUUGCAUAGUUGCAAGAGGUAUUAAUAAAACAGUAAAAUCACUAUAAAUUUCUAAAUGGUAUAAAUACUAUAUUAUUAUAAAUUACAAAGUAUUCUUAUUAUAAAAAUCAUUAGUAGCCAUGAAUAUGCUAGUUCUUAAUUACUUUCGAACCAUAAGUGGUUUCAUAUGAGCUAAUAAUGAAUUUGCCUUUCCAAAUAAAAAGUAUAUAAUGUUUUCGAAAUAUUUUAAAUUUUGAACUAAAAGUUUAAACUAAUAGAGAACGAUCUUCUUAUAUUUAUGUAUUUAACUUUUUUUUUUUUUUUUUUUUUUUNAUAUAUCUUUUCUGCAUAGAUUAUAUUGGUCAGGUUUAAUCUCUUUUGGGUUCCUUGUUAUCGUGGGCCAGGGUUGAAGUCAUCAUAAACAAAGUAGGCGACAUACUCCCGUAGAAUUAAGGAUUUUACAACCACUAAUAAAAAUGUCUACCAAUCAGGAAAGCAAUAAGAAUAGCCUUGCUGCGCCCAAUAAAGCUAUUUUUUCCACCUUUGUUGAUAUGCUCAUGGAGACUUUAUACGAGAAGGAAACACGUCUUGCUUGUUCUUUACUUAAUAGAACACCACGAAUUCACGACGAUUCAUGAAUAUUUAUUUAUUAUUUAUUGUGACAAUUAAAAAAAAAGUAUCAUCUUAUCUCCGAAAGUAAAUAUUAUUCAAACUUUGUUGAAAUGAAUAAUAUGCCAAUGCGUGAGGAGGGGAAUCAGGUAACGUGGAAAGAAUUAGGCAAAAGGAAACAAAAUCUCGGAAUUGUUUAAAACAAAUUACACGAUCGAGGGUGAGGAAUAUAAAAAUAUUUAAUCGGACGGGUUAGAACAGUGAUUAUACUGUGCAUCCGCAACGAGACGAACAUCCGAACCAGGAGGGAGACCCGUACGUCCUACGUACCAAACCCGGUCAAACUCUGUGGCCUGUAGGAGAGAUGGCAGGGGCAGAGAUGUAAUUAUAAGUAAACAGGAGGGUCAGUUGUGAGAGCCGAUAUCCCACAAAGCGAAAGCGCCGGAGCGGGUUCUCGGCUUUUCUCGCCCGUUGGGGGUUGGGUGGGCCCCAGAUCCGCUCCGCCUCGCUUUCUUUUCAAAAUUCAAAUCCCGAACGGCUACAAACGUCGUGGAGCCACCACUUCCCCCCCCCCACUCCCUCGCGCUCUCUCUAUCUCUCUCUCGCUCGUUUCAAGUUUCAACUCAGUAUUAUAAUAACGAAGCACUCUACGCUCCCUUAUCUCUCUCUAAACGAUCUGAAAACUGUUCCUUUGGUUUUUGUGUUUUUGGGCGGGGGAGAUGGGUGGAUCAGGGAAAUGGGUGAAGUCGCUCAUCGGCCUCAAAAAGUCGGAGAAGGAUGAUCAGGUAAUGAGCCUCCAUAACCCCCCUAUAUCUCUUAUCAAAAUCAAAUUUUUUUCUCACUGUGUUCGUGCUUUGAGACGGGUUUAAACUGAAGUGGGUGAUCAUGAAAAUUGCAUCUUUUGAAGGAGAAGGUGAGUGGUGGUGGUGGUGGAAGAAGCGGGAAGUGGAAGCUGUGGAGGAGCUCCUCCGGAUCGAGAAGCGGAGGCCAGCGAUCGGCUUCGGAGGCCUCCGACACUUCAUCGGUUGCCGCCGAUGCCUUCAAUUCGGCGGUGGCGGCGGUGGUGAGAGCGCCUCCGAAGGACUUCAGGGUCGUGAAGCAGGAAUGGGCCGCUAUCCGCAUUCAAACUGCUUUCCGUGGCUUUUUGGUAUUAAAAUAAAAAAUUUGUUAUUAGUUGUUACUACUAUUCUGACACUCUUAUGCUGAUCUCUGGCGCAUUUGAGUGGGUGAUUUAAAUUGCUUCUAAUUUUGCAAAAGUUUGCUCGUGUUUGUUAGAACUUUAAACUUCCUAGUCAUAAAAUUGUGGUUUCUCUGUUUGUUAUAGUAUGUAAUAUUUUACAAAAGAAGUUAUAAAAUUGUUAAUUUUGAUGAAGAGAUACUUCAAUCAGAUACACAUAAUAAUAAUAAUGGGGUGCGCGUUGCGUGUGUACCUAAGUAGUGCCCAUUUCAAAAUGAGCUAUUGUUGUUGUUCAGGUUGGUGUUAUUACAAUGUUUUUGAAGAAUAAUCAGUGCAGAAUAAAAAGAAAAAUUAUUCCCUUUUUUUGGGGUUUAAAUUUUGGCUUAUAUAUAUAUAUAUAUAUAUAUGGGGUGUUUUAGGCAAGAAGAGCAUUGAGGGCAUUGAAGGGGAUCGUAAGGCUCCAGGCGUUGGUUCGGGGGCGGCAGGUGAGGAAGCAGGCGGCGCUGACGCUCAAGUGCAUGCAGGCGCUGGUGCGAGUGCAGGCGCGUGUCCGGGCCCACCGUGCGCAGCUCUCCGCCGAGGGCCAGGAUGCCGACGACAUGCUUGAGAAUAGCCGCAGCGACUCGGAUCCCGUGAAACAAGCUGAGGUGAUUUUACUCUCCAUCCUUCAUCUCUUGCUUUCUUUCGGGUGUUUUAGUGGGAGAUGCAUUUAUUGUGUUGUGCAAAUGGUAGUGUAAGGAUGCAUUUCGUAUUUAGGAUUGGAUUGGAUAGGAUAAAAUGACGGUGAUGUUGAGGGUGAGAGAGGUCGCUCACAUGCGUCGGGAGUCGCUGAGGGGACAGCAUGGGUCUGGUGGAUCCAAUGCAUUGUUUCAAAUCCAAUCUUAUACUUAGUCCCAACCUCGCAGGCGGGAUUUGAUUAUACAGUUUUGGUAGGAUUAAUUGACAAAACCGGUUCCCACAAUAAUCCCAAACGCUCGCAACGUGUGACACCUCCUAUCCGAUCCAAUCGUGGAUGCCAAAUGGGGCCUCGAUGAUUUCAUUGUUUACCACUAAAUUCUAACAAUUUCAGUUGGAGUAGCACAUGGUUGACUGUUAUUACAAUACUGCGCCUUAUGUUGAACUGAGAAUUCUGUGAAUAUUUGAAAUUGUAUCGCUUAGACCGAUGUAAACACUCCACGGUAGUGCGUGCCAUUUGUAGUUUGCAAGAAAUAUAUAUUAUCAGUUUUCCUGCAGAGAUUCAUGGAUGUAACUGAGAGUUCAAUCUAUUUAGCCCCUGAGUGAACAAUCUUAUGCAGUCAGAUUAUACUCUUUGAGAAAUUAACUCAUGGAGAUAGCUUAGCCUUGCUUUGUUGACAAAUUUUUUAUGUCAACAAGAUGAAUCGGACAAGUUUGUGAAUUUUGCAGGAAGGAUGGUGUAACAGUCAAGGCACCGUCGAGGAAGUUAGAACAAAGCUGCAGAUGAGGCAAGAGGGCGCCAUUAAGCGCGAAAGGGCGAAGGCUUACGCUCUUUCUCAACAGGUAUAAAUUUGGCUUAAAGGCUGGAAUUAUACACUGUUACGCAGGAAACGACAUAAUUACACGUCCUUAGAUAUCAAAUUCAGUUCUUAAUAAAAAUAAAGUAGUUCCUUUUGCAGCAAUCAAGAUCAUCUCGGAAUGGAAGAUCUAACACUUCAGUGAAUUCUCUGAAACAUCAUGAGACCGAUAAAAACAAUAGAAAUUAUAGCUGGUUGGACCGUUGGAUGGCAACAAAACCAUGGGAGAACAGGCUGUUGGAACAAAGCCAGAUCGAAUCACCUGAUACACAUUAUUCAAAAUGCUUUGAAGAAAUCCAAGAACCAGGGUCUCAAGUUUCUAAUUUCAGCUUGGUAAAGGUUAAAAGAAGCAAUAUCAGUACAAGGGUUUCAGCAAAACCUCCUCCUUUACUUCGUAACAACCGGUACGGAGCUCAAUCUGCUUCCUCUUCUGAUUUUCAGUAUGAAGAGAGCUCUCCUUCAUCUCCUUCUAUUUGUACUUCAACUCCGAUUUCUGGUAACAAUCUCUUAGCAUCAGAAAGAACAGAAGAAGCUGGUCAUAAUAGGCCCAGCUAUAUGAGCUUGACAAAAUCGGUCAAGGCGAGACAAGGAGUAUGUGCUGGUAAGGGAAAUACAAUUCAAAGACAUGAAUCUAGGGAUUUGCAGUACCACAAAAAGUUGCCAUUCUCUUCUACGAUUGAUUCGAAGAGCAUUUCAGAAUCGGAUCCUUCGGUUUCCCUGAAGAAACUUAAUCUAGCUUCUUUGAAGGGUAGGAGCUUGACGAGAAGCUUAGAUAAGGAGAACUCAUAUUCUGACGGUAGAUCGGCUUCUUUGUAUUAGCAAGUUGCAUGUAGGAUUUUGAUGCCUCGAAACUUAGAGAUAUGUGAGUUCUUUGUGCAUGGUCUUUAGUUCCAACAUCUUGUUGUUAUUUGUGAAAAUCGAAUGUGUGGUGGUUCACUUAAGGGGAAAUCUUGUACAAUAGAUACUACUUCUCUUUUCUUAAAAAUGUAUGGAUGCUGAUUGCUUAAUGUUUUUCUUGCACUUUGGUUUCUAUGUCAUUUCUUUUUCUUCUUUCCCUUUUUACUUGGUUUCUACAUCGUUGGUUGCGCUUCUAGUUUCGGGCUCAUGUUCCUAUUUCCUUUGUAGAAAUCGCUGCAAAAUGGAGUGAAUUCCAUAUGUUUACUGAUUAGUAGAGAGAGAGAGAGAGAGAGAAACUAACCUUUUCAAAAAGAGAGAGAUAAAUAGUGAGGUGGCAAAUGAUGAAAAAGGAUUCCUUGGAAAAGCUAUCAGAAAAUUUUCUGGCCAUGUUUUAAAUUGGUUAAUUAAUCUGUGUCAGCCAUCCAUUCACAAGCUCCUUAUCUGUGACCAGGGAAUGAUACACAUUAAUACAUAUAUAUAUCUGAAGAGCUGAAAUUGUCUGUAAAACUCCCCAUCCACAAGAUGUUUGCAGUGCUAUUUUUGAUUGGAAAGAUGUUUCAUAUCCAUAUCUCUCAAACUGACUGAGAGGCCAUUUAUCUCAGUAAAUGUCAAGUUCCCAAACUGAAUCCACAAGACCGAGCCUGAUCUAUCCGUCGCAACGGUUUGGGUUUAGCCCGAGUUUAAAAACCGUAAACAAAUUUCAAUCAGGGUUGAAUUGGGCUUCACAUCAAAUCUAACAUGAAUCAACCUAACCUGACAUGCGAGCAACCAGAGUCGAUCAGAUUCAAACCAACCGAAUCCGUCCUCAUCCUGAUUUUAGCCCAAUCAAACAUAAGGUUCAAUUAUUGGGGCUGAUAAAAUAAUGAACAAGAUUGAUUGGAUUAAGGAAACAAAAUCCCGAGCAGAGGAUAUAAAAAGUUUGGAUCAGUGUUGGAGGCUUCAUGUGUUGGAUUCCACCCAAAAUGACACAGUUGCAGUCCUAACCAAAUAUAUACAGAAACUUUUUUAAAAGCAAAGCAGUGUGAGUGAAAGGAAACAGGUUAUGUCAUAUGGUGGUAUGCGCAGCGUAAGGCGCAAAUAUUGGCCCUGAGACAAACAUUCAGAUCACCUGAAUAACAAAGAUAAGAUAAAAUUAAAAAUUUAAGAAAAUAAAAUAAACUUAAAUUAAAGAGACGUGAGGGAGCUUUCUCUCUUUCGGUCGACUUCCCCUCCUCCUCAACCUCAACCCUCUCUCUCUUUUUUUUUUUCCUUUUUUUUUUUAUUUUUGUAUCUUUCUUUUUCCCACCAUGCUGUGAAAGAGAUAGGACGUCAAAAGAUUAAAUUUUUAGGAGAAAGAUAGAGAGACAAGAGAUAGUUGUUGACCCUUUUUUGGGAUUCGUUUGGAAACAUAUUGAUUACAAGUAGAAAGAAGAAGAGGAUUCUCCUCGAUUUGGGUUCUAUUGGAUUCCGAUUCCUGGUGCGUAAUAACACAGUGGUAAUGGAAACAUCAGCAGCAACAACAACAACAACCAUGGAAGGAGAGAUUUUGAGCAAGUUUAAGAGGAUUUGCGUCUUCUGUGGAAGUAACUCUGGGUAUCGGAAGGUGUUCAGCGAUGCGGCUCUCGAUUUGGGUCACGAAUUGGUACUCCCUUCUCUUCUGGGUUUCCUUAAAAAUCUCAUCUUGGAUUUGCUUUGAAGCGUCUGGUUUUGUAUCUUAUUGGGUUGCUUUGGUUCCUGGGUUGUGGUGAUGAGGUUGGAUAGUUUAUGGGUUUUCCUUGGCUUUGUGUUUAUGUUAGCAUUGGUGUGUGUUUGGAUGGAUUGUAGGUGAAGAGAAAGAUUGAGUUGGUUUAUGGUGGAGGGAGUGUGGGGUUGAUGGGUUUGAUCUCUCAAACUGUUCAUCAUGGAGGUUGCCAUGUACUUGGGUAAUCACUCUACUUAUUUAUAACUUUCUAUUUGGUGGGGUUUUACUAUGAAUUUUAUGGUUUUAUUUUCUCUUCUAGUGAAUUAUUGUUAGCAAAUUUACUGUUUAUGUUUUGAUACUAAUAGUGCUAAAUGAUAUGCAGGGUAAUUCCCGCGGCCCUCAAGCCUCUAGAGGUACACAAAAUUUUCCAAGUUUUCCUUUUUUUUUGGUCAUUUUGUUCCAAUUUGGUUCCUUGAUGUUUUCUGUUUGUGUAUUUGACUUUGGAUAUCUUAACCUUCUAUUAUACAAAAUUGUUCUCGUCCUCUCAUAUCCUCACCUCUUCUCAUGUAGUAUGACAAGUGAGAAAGAAAGGAUGUAAAAUAUGAUAAAAUUGCUCUCUUUACAUACUGUAAUGCAAUUACUUGCAUGAACAACUGAUGUAUGAGUCGUAAGUUUUGUAAUUUAAGGGAGUUAAUUUUCGAAUAGUCCAUACGGAAUGCACAAUCGUCUGUGGAUUCACCACGUAUCAGAAAGACUCUUUCUUUUGCGGUGAUGUUACUUACUUUUUGGCUAAAUUUUGUUGAUCAUUUACUGGUAGCAAGAUCUAUUUUUGUAGAUAUCAGGUGAAAGCAUCGGGGAAGUAAAGACCGUUGCGGACAUGCAUGAACGGAAAGCCGAAAUGGCUCGACAAGCAGAUGCUUUUAUCGCUCUUCCAGGUUUUUUUUUUUUCUUUAGCUUUUGAGCUUUUUGUUCAAGUUUUAGCACUCACAAACACCGGCAAUUCAAUCCUACAAAAAGGAUCUUAAAUUUUGCUUAUUUUGGAUCUUCAAGGAGGAUUUGGAACGAUGGAAGAGGUACUAGAGAUGAUUACAUGGUCACAAUUAGGAAUUCAUGAAAAACCAGUUAGUACCGAUCUAUUUGCCAUCACAAUUUAAUGUGAAUCCUUUAGUUAAAACCGAAAUACCUAAAUAACCGUCAUCUAUUUCUACGCAGGUUGGCUUGCUAAAUGUUGAUGGAUACUACAAUUCGUUACUCGCUCUAUUCGACGACGGCGUGAAGGAAGGUUUUAUAAAGCCCGCAUGUAGGGAUAUAGUUGUUUCUGCUCCAACUGCAACAGAACUGCUAGUGAAGAUGGAGGUUAGCUAUCCAUUUUAGUUUCUUAUUCUAUUAUGUGAAGCUCACAGGACCUAUUCUCUCUCUCGGAUCGAGAACUUCUUACGGCAUUACGCUAAUUCUUUAAAACUGGACUACAUACUCUUUUGUUUUUCUUUUUUGCGCCCUCUUAUACUUUUUUCUUUUUUUGAAUUUCAGCAAUACACACCAUCUCACCAAGAGGUUGCCCCGCGAAAGAGCUGGGAGAUUUCGCAACUAGGCUAUUCGAAAGCACCGAGUCCGACUUAAUUGGUUCCUUGCACACCAUAUCUCUGAUUCUUCUUCUUUUGGCAAUUUGUGUCUCAGAGGUGCUUCCAUUGGCCUUGACUGUUUAGAAUAGUUUUCUAUCUUACAAUUGAUAUCCUAAUAAAAUUGUCGGUGCUUGUUUUGUGAUGAACUGCGAAUUAAGAAUCUCUGUCCUUUUGCCAAUAAUUAAAGGUCGGAGCUUAGUGUGAUUGAAUUGAACUUUCUAUCUUUUUCGCAGUAUUGAAGCAAUAGAGUGUGACCCAGAAGCUUAUCUUAAUUAAGAAGGUAUUACUUUGACGUGUUCUCAUCUCUUUGUCCUGGUUUGUAGGGGUGAGUCAUGCACAAUUAAGCUGACAUAAUUUCUUGAGUGUUUUUCAAUUAAUCGGAGAAGAAGUCAUGCUAGUGAUGGGAUGGCAUGUUUGGCUUGUUUCAGCCAUUUGCUUUUAACUAUAUGCGUCCGUGCAUGCACGCGUUUCUCUCAAUCAUUAGUUUAGUUGCAGUUGAUUACAUCACUUACUUGUUUAAUGCCCAAAUCGUUUUGUUUUGUGGUACUAGAGGUGACUUAAUUUGUUUUGUCAAACAUAAGUUAAAUACAAAUGAUGCAGAGAAUCGUAGAUUCUGGGCCAAUUUGUAAUAAAAAAUAGUUUCAUAUGAUGUACUCUGAGGUGUAUGUUGGGUCCUUCAUUACCAACCUUUUUGCGUAGAAGCAUGACCAUUAGAUUGUAACUAAGUGUUCCAUAAUUAUAGCUCACCUGAAAAUUAGAAAUAUAUAUGGAGCCAAUAGAAAUGAAUGGUGAUAUAAAUGCUGAUAAAAUAAGAGGUGGGAGCUGUUACAAGAGUUAAAAAUGAUCUUCCGUUAGAAUAAUAAAAAAAAAAAUUCUAGAAGAGUAGGUUAGUAUGCUGAGAAGAUGAACAGUUUUUGUGGUUUAGGCUUAAAAGUAUUUGACUGAUAGAUUAGAAUAAUACUGUAGUUGUUGGCAAGAACAUGGGUGAGGUUGGAGACUUGCUUAGUGAAAUGUUGGUCUUCUUGCUCGUUAUUGAUAUAGGGAAGAAGAAGAAGAUAAAUCUUUAUCAAUAUAUUAAGAGAGUUGAAAACAGAUCCAACUUCUUGAAUUUGGUCAAAAGGAUCAAAUAUUUGUUGCGGGCAACUCGGGGAAAAACAACUCAGAAACUAGUUGUGCAAAAGCAAUACUAUCUGUACAUCUAAAAAUGAAUGUAAAUCUUACACACUUUUCGUUUGUAGACUAAUUUUUUUACACUAAUCUUAUCAUAAUUUUAUUUUUUAAUACUAAAAACUUAAAAUAGUUCUCUAAACUCUUGGAUUGGAUUGGUGUAAAAUUUACACUUAAAAGUUGGAUGUACAAUUGACAUUUUUCAUUGUGAAAAACAAGGCAUACUCUUUAACUAAAAAAAGAGUACCCUAUAUACAAGUGACAGAGGUUUCGUUUCAAUUUUUUUGUUUUUUUUUUUUUUUUGGGAAAAGUUAUUGUGCUUAAAAUUGUUGCAUUAAAAUGCAUGAUUUUGGUUGAAAGAAUUCUUCCUAACUGUGCCACUUGUGAGGAGAAGAUCAUGACAGCGCCAAGUAUCUGCUAAUCUCAACUCCCACAACAUUUUCAAUUAAACAAAUGGAUCCACUAGGUAGCCAGCAAAAUACAUAGAGGCCAUCUUGGCCCCAGAAGUCACUUUUGCAAUGCAACAAAUUAAUUUUUAUAUUGUUUAAAUGUUAGACAACCAAAUGCAGCUUUCAUAGUUUGUUUCAUUACUCAAAAAUAAAUGGUUGAUUUCGCCAUCCAGACCAAUCUCCAGUAUGUCUGGCAUGCCUUUGUCAUGCCCUCUUCAUUCCAUCAAUAUUCCAUAUUUGCGACAUUUUUAGCUUAGUUUUGGGAAGAAAAGAAGGCGAAAACAUCAAACCAUUAGACACAUUACAAGCCUAAGAAAUUUCGAACAUCUUAGCAACCAUCAGAUGAUAAACAUUUGAUGUCAAAUGCGAACACAAAAGAAUAUUCAAGCAAGAAAAUCGAAUCACAAAGACCAAAAGACAUGAAAGAGGAGCCCAUCCACAGACCACCCAUCACAAUUUACAGACCCAUGACUCAGUUUUUUUUGUUAAAAAAAAAAAAGGAAGUUGAAAGGCGCCUCUUCAGGCCCACCCUUUUCUUUUGCUCCCGUCGUUCACAACUGAAGGGGAAUGAACGGGGAUGAAAGAAACAUACAGACCAUAUCCUGUCCUCUACAUUACUAAUUCUUUUCUCUUUUUUUCCUUUUUUUCUUUUUUUACAGGGUGCAUAUAGCAUUUGCCGCGUACUUAGUAGUGGAGCCUCUCGUUGUGGUCGAAACUAAGGCCUUCAAUGCCUUUCAAGGUCGACUCAUAGCUCUUGACAUUAGAUGGGUGCCUCCCAGAAGAGAUGUGCCGGGACUCAGCAGGGCCGAAAGGUGAGCUCCCCUGAGAAGCGGAAACCAUCCGUAAAGCCCCAGGGCUUGCGUCCGUCAUUCGGGUUCGUGAGGGGUCAGAGUCAGUGGGAAAGGCGUCCCGGCUGCUAGAAACAGCAGCUCGCCUUGAGGAUCCGCUUGGCCGUCCCAAGAAAGUCGCACUGGAUAGCUACAUCAUAUAAGCUUUCUCAGUCAGAAAUUACAAGGUAAACAAUUAUUAAAAUAUUGUACUUCUCAUGGCAACGAUAUAGCCCUUUUUAGCAGAGCCACAAAUCAACAGGGUUGACUAGGAUUUACAAAUAGGCUUUCAAUUUGAAUUCCGUGCCCACUCAAAUCGCAAAGAUGCGACAAAAACAAAGUGGAAUGGUAAGGAAGAUGCAGAUAUUUGACAAGCGACAAAAUUACUAUAUACUGAAGGAAAUAACGCAAUGGAAAUAGUUCUGUGAAAAAAAAAAAAAAAUCAGCAUUGUAAAGAAUUUGCACAAGCAGCUCAGCAACCACAGUAUCUGAAUAUGUGACUUUAUGGCUAGAACAUUUUGAUAUUUUUCGAUGUUGCAUGGAAGAUCUAAGGCCCCAAGUAAUUCUUUCAUGAAGCACGAUAAACAAUUUGUUGCUAUCUACGCGAACGCUGGGCUUGUCUAGUCUUUAGACUUUGGGACUGCAGUUCAUCACGCAAGACUCCGAUAUAUUCAAAGCAACAUUCAAAUAUUUAAAUACCCAGCAGAGAGAUAAAUUAAUCAAAUCUCAUCUACUCUCCUUAAAAACAGGUGACUGCAUAGAAGAAAAGCAGAUCGAGUGAAAAUAGAACUGACCAUGGCAUCUUUAGAAGCAGAUGGAUCAUUCCCCACAGGACUCUUCUGCUUGGACGAGCUGCCUGUAUUAACUACUGGAAGUGGGGCCCGCCGACGAGAAGGAUCCAUUGCUGCCCAACCACUUGUCCUACCUUCUUCACCACCUAAAGCAAUUUAAAGAGCCGAUUGAAUCAUCUGUUCAAAGAAACUAUACAAACUCCACAUACAGAUAAUAGGAUGGAAGUAUUUCUAAAAUUAAUAAAAUUUUAGAUAAUUGUAUUUCCGUAACUCAACAGGAACCAAAAGACCAGCUAAUUACAGCUAAAAGAUAGAAGCAAAAUUGUAGCAUCAGGGACGAUGUCUAAAGAUGAACAGUAUACCUGAUUGCCUCUCAUUCACCACGGCGGGAGCCAUGCCAGAGCUUUGUCCAGCCCCAGUACCCUGAGAAACAUAAGAAUAUCAGCCACUCCUCCAAGAGCAGAAAAUUCAGGAAAAAAAAGAGAGAAUUUAUGUGUGGGACUAACAUGAACACGCUGAGGAGCACUAGCAAUCUGUGACUGCUGAUACUUCAGAAUCGUCCAGUCAAAUACAUAAUCAAACUGAAAUCCUGCAAGACAGUGAUAAGAACAAUUAUCACCCUUAAAAACCCAAAUUUUCUACACAUUCCUCAGUAAUGGUACAAAAAUCCCUUUGACUGAAGUAUGAAUGGAAAACCAACCCUCGCGGAUGAAAAGGUCCCUGAACAAUCUUUUAAGGUAUGGAUAAUCUGGCUUAUCAUCAAACCGCAGGGAACGACAGUAGUGAAAAUAUGAUGCAAAUUCAGAAGGAUAUCCACGACAUAAAGCCUGAAAUUUGACAGAAAAAAAGGGAUUAACUAACAUAAGAGGAAAUAGGACACGUAAGCUCCAAAACCUCAUGCCUUGUUACCUCAAUUGAAGUCGCAACUUUUCUUUCACUAAUUUUUUCAUACUUCUGCUUUUUGGUUCCGGCUUUUAGGCCCUGCCAUGGAAGGCUAAUAACAACAAAGACAUGACUUAGAUGAUACGUACGUAUAAUGACUAAGACUGAUACAUACAUUACAGGAAAAGGAAAAAAAAACAGUCAAAUAGGGCAACAGACCUUCCUCUUAGGAAGUACAUAAGUACAUAACCAAGAGAUUCCAAAUCGUCCCUCCGGCUUUGUUCUGAGGCCCAAACAAAACAAUGUCAAAAUCUGAACAAGGAUGCGCAUCACACAACGGAUAUGACACAGAAAAUAUUCUACAAAGCAGUACUACGUGGAUCAGCACGUGAAUUAUAUGCUUAUGCUGUUGCUUAACCACAUCGCAUAGAAUGAACAGUCUAGAACAAAUACAACACACAAAGAUACAUACUUAGACACUAGUACGAUGCUUUUUACAUAAAGCUAUGUAAGCAAUGAAUAUAGUUAAAACACUUGGGCAUUAAUUUCUACUUGCAGAUGUUUAUAGUUUUCACUAGCAUUACAUAUAACGCAGAAAUGUUUCACCAGCCACAUACCACAGGUACCUUUCAGAACACCAGAAAAAAGCAAGAACAGUAAAGAACAAAUGAAGACAAACUAACACAUAGUGAAUUAAAUUAAGCACUUAAAAUAGCUAGAUCCUAAACGAAUGUAAAGUUUCAAAAGCAGCACUGUGAAGACACUCUACUCACCAAUGCCAAGAUGCGUAUUGACACUUGCAUAUCUCGCCGUCCCGGUUAAAUUUUUGUUCUCUCUGCAUUAUUUGUGAGCGCAUUAGACUAGAAAAAGGAGUUCCACUAAUCCAACAUUCAAUACAACAUCAAUAGACAAGAAGUGGAAAGUUCAGUGCUAUUGCUUCCAAUUAUAAUGUCACUGAAGGAUAAACUAAGUAAAGGGAAACAACUAAACUUAAUCACUUCCAUUAGAGUGGUUAUUAACCCAAACUAUCCCAACAGCUUAAAAAAGAAAAAGCACCAUCUGCAUAAGAUGGUCCAAUUAUAUCUCCAAACAAAAAAAAGAAAACGAUGCCCAUUGGUUUGUAUGUUUUCUUAACAUUGGAUUGAGCUAGAUUGCAACAAUAAGCUAAAAAAAUAUACAAAACAAUGAAACUGCAGUUCCCUUCAUACAUACAAGAUAACAGACAAAAAAUUAGUUAUGAAAAUAUAAUACCUAUAUGGAAUAUGCUGGUGCGUUGUAGUAUCCCUGUACUUCUUGGCCAGGCCAAAAUCUAUCAUGUAGACCUAUAGGCACUCAAAGUAACAAAAAGAAAUAGAUAAUAAACUUUAUAGCAAUAGAUGUGUGGGAAAAUACAUAUAAUCGGGAAAGUAUGGUGGUUCACCUGAUUAGCUCUCCUUCCAAGACCCAUAAGAAAAUUAUCUGGCUUGAUGUCUCGAUGGAGAAAUGAUUUGGAAUGAACAAACUCCACUCGAUUGAUCUAUAAAAGAAACUAACCAGAAUUAGCAGCAAUCACAUUGAUCUAUUGUGACAGAAAACAUCUGAAAAGAGCAGAUCAAUGAAGUAUGAUUAGGUGGAAGAAGAUUUAAAAAAAAGUGUGAAAAGGGGCAGAUUGCACUGGAGAAAGAAUUUGAAAACAUUCUGAGAAAUUUGAAGAAAUCAAUGUACGUAACCACAAGUAAGAACAUCCAUUCGACCAUUACAACAACAAUACUCAAAUACAGGAUUGCAAAAGGUUCAACAACAAUGGUGCAAUUGGAAGUCCCAUCAGGAACAUUAUCUAAUACCAUACCAUCUGGUCGGCAAGCAUCAGAACAGUCUUUAAAGACAGCUUUCUGCUACAAAAGUUGAAAAGAUCUUCAAGACUCGGCCCUAGUAGGUCCAUGACAAGGACAUUAUAGUCCCCUUCAACACCAAACCAUCUGACGUUUGGAAUUCCAGCUGCCAAAACCAGACCAGAGGAAGAGAGGUUAAGACAUCCAAGAGUACAAUUCUCAGGUGACAUAAAAGAAGAUGCAGGAGUUUCUAUUACUUCCUCCUAGUAGAAUCUUGUAAAGCUUUGAUUCAUAUAGCAAUUGGGGAUGCUUCGUCUUCACAUUUUCCUGUCAGAUUUUCAUAAUAAAUCAGAAAACAAAUUUCAGCAUAAAAAAAGCGAAGAGAAUCACUGUUACAAACUUUGGCAUAAAAUUCAUCAUUCUAGGAUAGUUUACUUUUUCAAUUCCUAAUAGUAAUAAGGUUAGCGAUAAAAGGAAAAGAGCAGUCUAAACUGCAAUAUACUCGCUAACUCUUCGAAGUAGUCAACCAGUUCCACAAAAUAUAAAUAAAUAUAGAUAUAAAUAUCUUAAAAAAUAGCAGGAAUGCAAGAAGAUAAGGGACAUGUAUGCGAUCUUUUGAAAGCCUUCUCUAGCCUCAGGCAAAAACUAACGUGUAUGAUAAAACAAACAGUGUGAGUUGGUAGUGAAAAAAAAAAAAGGGAAUGGGUUGUGACUUGUGAGGCAGCGAAGCUUCUUAGUUUACAAACUGCAACAAGUUAUUAAUAAAAACUUGACCUGAGAAAUCACCAAAUCAUAAUUUUCUAAACUAUUCAGAUACAUUAAUCACAAAACUAAGUAGCCACAAUAGACCUUUACAACACCCAAUAUGUAAACUCCUAAUGCUAUGAUACUUACAAGCUUAAUCGCGACAUCUUCAUUGGUCUGAAUAUUAGUACCUACAAGAGUGUAUCAAAAACAAUAACGAUCAGAAGUGCUAAAAAAAUAAAAAAUUGAACAAGAGGAAAAAAAUUACAUUCCCCAGGGAUCAGCACAAACCUAGAUAGAUCUCACCAAACGAGCCGCUCCCGAUCUUGCGACCGAGGCGGAACUUGCUGCCGACGCGAGGCUCCAUCACCGCGAUCAGAGAUUCCGCACCUUAAAAAUCCAAACCCUAGCCGCAGAAUCCAAAAUAAUAAUAAAAAAAGAAAUGUAAACCGAGGAAAAGCCCCUCCUUUGAUCGCCCUAGAGGAUGGCAAAAUCACCCGAGACCAAAAGAAACAACGGGCGCCGCAACAACACCGAAAAAGUAGCUGAGAUCGACACCCAUCGCGCUCAAAAACCAACAAAAAGAUGAAAAAACGGCGAAGCAACGGAACAGAAUCAGAGAUCGAUCCGAAAAUGUAGAAGGGGUUGAUUAAAUAAAUAGCGAGGAGGGGAAAUUUUUUCUUCGAUUUUUUUCUCUUUUGUUCUGAUUUCUAGGGUUUCAGAGGAGACGAGGGGAGGAGACGAAGAGGGGGGGAAUUAAGGGAGGAAACGGUCCCGAGAUAUAUCGUAUUAACGCAUGCAUCGAAACAGCGGCUGCGGUAGCGGAUACCCAGUUCCCCGUUUUGCCCCCACCUUUCUCUCUCUCCAGUCUUAUUCCUUUCUUUUCUUUUCUUUUUUUCCUUUUUUUCCUUUUUGGUCCGCUAUCAGGCGUGAUCUUUUUCUCUCCCCGGAUUAGGUUUAGGGACGAGAGAUUGUUGACCAAGGAAUACACGCAAGUAAAUAUUAUUUGUUACCCCUAUUUGAUUUGUAUAUGCAUACAAGUGUGUUUUUCUGUUUAUGUGUGUGUUUAUUGAGAGGUUUGUUACGGUCUUAGUAUUUUUAUUUGUAUAGUCCGUGCGGUUGUACAGUCCGUGCGGUGCUCGCUUUUCUAUUCGAAGAUGAGCAAAUCUAGCUUAUUAUUGUAAGUCCGGACCUCCACGCCUUACGACUACGUAUGCAACAAGGAGAGAAGAGAUAUAGACGUUCUCAAAAAAUUAGUAUUUCACUAUUUAGAAAAAUAAAAUUAUAAUACACAACUCUUUGGUGUCACUAUUUAUUUUGGCCUUAGCCGACCCUUCUAUUUAUAGGCUUUUAAAUAUAAUGAAUCUAACUUAUACUAAGUCACUACUGAGUGCACAUUAAAACACAAAUUAACUCAUUCACUAUCAUAUAAUAAUAAGCUCUUAUAAAUGUCUAGUGAUCCCAAGAGUUGUCCAUGACCUUUGAGUUUUCACUGGUGGUUUUAAAGACAUUAAAUCCAGCAGUUACGUCAUCAUUUGUCUCCCAUAAUGACAACUAAUUUUGGGCCUCCUUUAUAGCCCGCUCCGUUAGGAAAGUUAUAUCAGGGACUCAGAUUGCACAAUAAUAUCGUUAAAUUCCUGACAGAUUGCUGUGCAUUUAGUGCAGAGUGAUAACAUUUUAUUAGCAUGCUCAUGCCUCGGUGAUGUGAGAAAAACACAGGAGAGAUGGAAAAACGAAUUUUUCUCCCAAGCCAAAUUGGCUCUUAGAAACCGCGAAUAUGCGGUUGCUUAAAGGCCUCUUUUUGGUGUAUUCUGUUCUAUUUUACCUUUACCCCGGAGACGAUGAAUGACUUGCAUACAAGUACACAUUAUGUAUAUAAGUGUAUGUACGUGGAUGCGUGCGCACAAGAAGGGUACGUUGCUACCUUUGGAUUCAGGCACACGGGUGUCUUAAGCUUGGUUUUAAGUGCCCGUCAGUACGGAUCGUAUUCACCGUGUCGUAUUGUACCAACAAGAUAUCGACACGAUACAAAUCUUGUGCCGAUGACACAGAUCAAAAUACUCUAUUCUUUAAAUUAAUAAAUAAUUUUUUCAAUAAAGUUAAAAAGAUGUAAUAAAAAGAUAUAAUAAAUAGUUAGAAUAUUUUGUUGCUAAAGAAAAUAAAUAUUUUAUACUAUUAUGUGUCAGCAUAAUAAUUUUUUUAACCGGCACAUAUCAAUAUGGCUCAGCAUGUACCGUGCCGUAAGGUAAAUUUCCAGCACGACCCUGUAUCACGAUACUUAAAUCUUUGGUCGCAAGUUGAACAAAAGAUCCCAUUCUGCAGGAGCAUCUCAUCUCCUGGCAAAGGAGUCGUCAGCCGCCAUAUUUCGUCAAAGUUUCAGUUGGUCCAUCCCCUAGAAAUCGUCUUCUCCGGGGGAUUGACCAACUCAGAAAAGCCUUGCAGAGAAAAUGACUAGUCUCCCUUUCAUUGGUUAUCCAACGACAUAACAGGCGUGGGCGACUUUUUCCUGUCUUACUUUCAAUCCUUGUUGAUCUUGAGCUAUUUUGCCCAACCUAAAAUUCAAAUGGUAGGUGUUACAUAGCAACCUAACUCCAAAGCAUUAUCCAACCUUAUCUUCAUAACAACAACAGCAACAGCGAACUCCAACAAAGAACAAAUCAGAAACGUUAAAGCUGACUCUGAUUACUCGUUCAACCAACAAAAUAAGACAAGAGUACUGAGGUUCAAACGAUUCAGGCGGUGGAGAAAUAGUAGCUCACCCCCCCGCAUUGAAAGCAAAACUGUAAUAAAAUUUUCAAUUAGCAGCCGCCAUCAGAGAGACCAUGAAGAUUUAAAAUUUUAAUUCCGUACAUCAUGCAUGUAUUGCAACCCACACACCACCCCAGAAGCAGAAUCAGGAUACUUUAAACACAACAAUCAGAUUUUUAUCUCCUUUCCAAUGCAACGUAUCUUAAUUUGACUGCUUCAAACAACAUAAUUUGAGUACUACUGGCAUGCACGCACCAUGAAUACAGAGAUAGACUACAAGGUACUUGUUGCAAUACCUAACUUUCAGGUAUUCUAUAAAGUAGGCACGCGAACAAUAUGCAGCACACCAAGAAAAAAACAAGGGGGGUUCCGCAACAAAUUCAAGUGCAGAGAGAUGGGCAAUAUGGUAUAGCACAAUCCAAGCAUCUAAACCCGGUAGAUUGUACAUCCUUCAGUCUAGAUAAAGAACAAUGUUUACAACACAGCUAUCAAAUCAAAUCAAGAAUAUGUACCCCACCAUGAUCAAAACGAGUCCUGAAACAAAUUAAUGUAAAGAAUGUUUUCCCUUUUUUUAAAAAAAGAGCAUCAGAAUCUGAAAUCUUGAGCCCACUAAACUGACACCAUUUAUGCCGGGUUUGCGGCAUGUAUACAGGGCUUCUGCAUCAUCAAAACUUGAAUUUGAGAAUCGGGUGGUGUCGCAGUGUCAUCACUAUAAAGAUCCUUUUUGAUGGUUAUCUAAGCCUUUUCUUUUGCUGAAGAACUAAUUACAUGAUGCAGAGUUGACGCAUGGACUACUGUGCUUGGGCUUGAAUCCUUGAUACGGACUGAGCCAGUCCGCCUAAUAUUGUGAUUCCUUUCGAUAUUACUCCUCACUAAUCGCCGCAAAGGCCUAGGUAGGAGUGCAAUUAUGCGAGCCGAACUAACAAGAAGAAUCACCCCAACAAUGAUGAAGACCCUGCAGAAAAUAAAAUUGGAGCAUUUUACUAUCACUCCAUUGGUGUACUUAAAUGUAUGUAAUAGUAAUAACAAUACUUGUAGCUAUCCCACUAUAUUACAACGCCUCCAGAAAGAAAAACAAAUGCCUGCACGUAUAUACUUCUGUGCAACACCCAUCGAUCAACUCUCCAUCAUCUCAUAUGUCAAUCUCUGCUGCCCACUUAGGCCCUAGUUUGGUGAUACAUUCUCCAAAAGUAACCCCUUUGAUGCCAUAGAAACCCAAAAAUUGGAAAGCACUCAGGAGCUCAACUGUUUGAUGACACAAAAUCACGGUGUGAACCCCCAUGGGAGAAGCAACCAGCUUGACGCUUCUCUUGUGGAGAUUUCCACUGCCAAUUCAUGACAUAGGACCGAAGCUUCAAAGUGUUUGGAAACACACUCCGAAAACAGGCUUCAAAGUCUUUGGAAACACACUCUGAAAACAGGCUUCAGUUGCAGCAUUUUCUUAAAUUAAAAAUCAAAUAAUUGGAUAAAAGGAAGGUGAUACUAUGGAGGCAUGAUAGAUAGGUGGCACACUGAUUUAUAGAUGCACCUUCAUUAAAAUGAAGGUGAAUGAUUUGGGAAAGCUGAUAAUGAGAAUAAACAAAAAGUUUUAGCAAUGUUACCAUCCAAGUAAGAGAGAGAAUCGCGCGGCAGGAGCUGCUGGUAUAUGCUCACCAAGAGCAAGCAUACCAGCUAGCACACCAGUCACAAUAGCUGCCACAGCGGCACAAGUAGAUACUACAAUAGCCCUUCCAUGCUUCAGACCUCGAGUCUGCCCAAAUUAUCCAAGAACUUAUUCAAUAUUACAGCUAAGCUCAACCUCAUAGAUAAAAAAACUGAGUUGAUUUGCAUCAUCAACAUAUGAAUCUAGUACAUAAAGCUGCCAAAAUAUGCAUUGGAGCCAUGUAGGGUAAUCUGUUAAAGGAGGAAAAAAAAUGGGGGCACAGAAUAUAGAAGUUACGUGGCAUGCCACAUUUGUAGCAAGUUUAAGGAUCUUCAAAACUAAAGGGAAUAAACUAAGAAUACCUGAUAGACGAAUCCCAUGGCACUACAGCAAGCACUGAUGGAAAUGGAUACAGGAACAACAAUCUUUGAAAAGCCUUUCUCUGAGAGAACAAAACCCAUCUUUGAUAUCACAGAUGAAAUCCUGCAAAUAUCAUGUAGCUAUAUUAACAUUCAACACAGCAUGUCCAUAAAAUGGGCUUCAAGAAAACAAGAGCAGUUAGGACUCGUGGCAAUACAAAAAACUAGAACGAGAAACAAAGAACUUGGAUGAGAGUAGUCUUUAGUAAGGUUAUAAAUUAGGAAAAUCAUCAGAGUACCGGAUAUGCUGAACUCAUUAAGUAGAAUUCAAGUAGUCGAUGUUCUGUGAUCUGCUGGUCGGAUGUUUUACCAUAUCCUUUAUUUGAUCUGGGUUAAAUUCAAGAUCUCUCAUUUUAAGGCCUAGUUUGGUAAUGUGGUAGCUAAAAGCACUAUUUUUAUAUUAUAGAAAGCCUAAAAGUUCCAAAAGCGCUUUCAAUCUUCACUUUUUUAUAAUUUAUACUAUAAAACUACGGUUGCAGCUGCCAUUGGAGAAGCGUGUGGCUACAUGCUUCGCUAGUGACGGUUGCUACCGCAAUUUUGAAGCAUUGGAGGAGGAAAAACUGUAAACACAUUAGACUUUUGGGCCUUCUAUAAUAUAAAAAUAGUACUUUUAACCACCACAUAACGAAACUAGGCCUAAGUCCGAUAACUGUUUUAAGGGACCAGACUCAAAGGCCAGUUGCAUAAUCUGGAAAGGUUCGAGGACUUCAUAUGACAGUUCUAGCUAGCUCUCUUAUUUAAGAACUAAUAACAAGCUUUCUACUGCAAAAAUCUAUAGUGGGAAUAGAAAACUAUCAGAAGUGAUUAGCUACGUUAAAUUACAGUAAUUGCAAGUGAAAUAUCACAUUAAUUACUCACUACUGAACUUAGAAGUCUAUGCAUAAAAAUGGUAAGAAAGCUUUUUAUAUAGAAUGAAGCCACAAAAGUCUAUCUCCAUUCUUCAAAUGGACAAUUUAUGAUACUCAUCAAUGGAAAAAGACCAGUCAGAUUAUGGAUAUAACUAGCUCACAUCUGAAGAUGGAAUACUAUCUUGUAGCUGCUGCACGCAUAUAAAAAAAUUGUUAAAUUAUUUAGCAUUCAUAAAUCAGACUGAGAUCACCUCAUUACGGAUGUAGGAUUCCAGUGACCUUUGUCAACAUAAAGAAAUGCAGAUGCCUAGUAUAGCAUAUAGCACUUUCUAUAUGACCAACAAGACAGUUAAAGAAAUCAUCAAAUUAUCCACUAUUAUAUCCUCAAUUCACAUUUCACAAAUAAAAUAAUAAAAGAAAGAUAAAUUAAACUAGAUAUGAAUAUCAGUUUGUGCACAAAGAAAGAGAGGGACAUCACAACAUUACCCAAAUAAGAUGCCUGAUUCCAGACCGAAUAUAAUUUCCUCAACGACUUCAGAGUUCGUCUGCAAAGAAGAUAAAGCAUGGAAAAUAUUGCAACAUUCACAAAAUUGUAUAGAUUUUUCUAAUUACAAGAAUGCCUAAGAGAAAUGCUAACCAGUUCCUGUUCACGCCGCCGACUUUUAUACGCAUGAAGCCAAGCAUUCAGGAGGACCUGCAGUCUCAUGUACAUCAUCAAAAAGUUCUCAGAAGGUAAUAAUAUACAAAUCACAGAGGGAAUAAUCGAACGAGCUGACAAUUAAGAUCGUCUGUUUUGCUACCUAAAAAGUAAAUCAAAGAUUGUGAAAUGCAGAAUAGGUAACUGGACUCACAAACAAGCUGGCAACUGAUAUAACAAGCCAAGGUAUGCUGAAAAGAGAAACAUCAGAACCAUCUUGCUCCUCACCUCCAAUACCAACUCCUGCAAUAAUAAUAUAAGCACAACUUUCUGAUCGAUCAAGUAGUUCUAUUUAGUGUGAGAUGACCCUAAAUACUAUGCUUCAAUUAAUAACGAAUUGAUGCCCCAUGAGGAUCAAACAAACCAAGUGCCGCCUAAACCGUUUGAAUAUGCAUUAGAAGAACAAACAACGGUGGCCAAAGAGAGCUGUUCUGGGGUCUAUACAAGGUAAAUAUUAGGCAUCAUUCACAUUUUUUUUUUCCUCUGAAAACAAAUUCUCGGACAACUAUACAAGGUAAAUCUUAGGCCAUGAUUGGUACUGUUGCCCCUUUAGGGGAUGCACCAAUGAGCAGUCAGUUAUUUAUGCUCUUUAAGUAAGGACUAAGUAAACAUUUAAAAGUUUGGGGUAUCAAAUGUCCAACUCAAAAUUCAAGAACCGAAUUAAAACUCAACAUGUAAGUUUAGGAACUAGUAAUACAAUUUACUCCACCAACAUUUUAUUGGCAGCAGCAAGAGAAAAGUAAUCAAGUGAGAACUUACAUUACCUAUGGUGCCAAUACCAGCUAAUGUGAUGCCCACCCAAUCAAGAGCAUUCAUUACCUCCUUGAGAUAGAAAUGGGAGAACACUGAAAGUAUAGCAAGUCCACAACCAGAAACAGGCUGAAUAACAGAGACCUGCAAAAAGAGUAUGGCCAUUACAACAAGGUAUGACAGUAAGCAUACAAAAGGAAAGUUCUUCUCUUCAUUAUGCUCAAUAGCUUUGGAUGCAAAAUAAUGGAAGAAAGUAAGGGGCGUGCAAGGAGACGAUCAGAUGAUACAAGAAUGAAGAUGGCUACUAAGCACAAUAAGUUGAAUUGUUGAGGAAGGGGAAAGUGAAAAUUUGAGCUUACUAACCGGGGCUUGAGAUAGCGCAAUCAGCAUCAGUACAGCACCGGAUAUAUCCAUAAGGAAGCCUGAUAUCCAUAAUUUGUUGAAAACAUAUGAUCUGACCACCUAAAAUAGAAUAUUCAUGUCAUAUUAUGGGAAUUUCGGGUACUAUGAAGAGUUAACUUCUUUACAAGUUGCAUAACAAACAAUAAAACAAAUAGAGCUAACAGGCAAAUAACCAAGUGACUCCAUUCACCGCCCACAUGGUUGAAUAUCACAUGCCGAGAAAUCACGCAUAGAUUUUUCUAAUCUCUAUGGUUUAGAAUCUUAGAUUGACGCUAACAAGUUUUGAAGUUUUCAGUAUCUCGAUCCAUUCAUUCCUAUGAAUCUCUGGCAUGGCAGAUAAUGCACGACAACAAAAGAUUAUCAUAUUUGGAAGGCAUUCAAUGUUAUUGACUACAAUUUCACUACUACCCAGAUGUCAAGGAUUUAAAAAAAGUUAAUCAUGAAUUGAUAGCCCAAUGCAGAAUUUGAAGCUUCAUGCUAAUUGGUAUGAUAACCCAUAAAUAAUUAGCUACUUCAUGCGUUAUAUUCAAUAACCACAAAAUCAAAAUCUUCUCCAGAAUCCAGAUGCUAUACGUUCGUAAAUAAAUUACACGUAAUUGCAUCCAAAUACUGUUUCACCGAUAGGAAUCACUAUAGGGAUGUCAUAUUAUUCGAGGAACUAGCAUUUGAUCGCACUUCUUAGCGCUGUAAACUAUUGAAACUAAAUCCACGCUAUGCGAAUCGAAACCUAAUCUCAUCGAAAUAAGAAAAGAAGCAACCACGAUGGGGAUUAAAAGGCGCAAUAAGAUCGGCACAGCGAAUCAUAUACCUUGAGCUUGAAGGAGAGGGGAGGGAGAAUGAGGGUGCCCUUCUUCUGCAGCACCUUCCCGAUGUUGUUCCCCGCGGUCGCCAACAGCGUUAAGCAAAUCGAUUCCCACAUCGCGAGAUCCCGAUCCCCGAUCCCCGAUCCCCCACCACCACCACCGCCUCCUCCUCCUCCUCCUCUCUCUCUCUCUCUCUCUCUCCCCUUGCGAUCUCGGCGAGGUUGGGUUUUGGAGGGCGAGAGCUUCUCCUUCCGAUGGCUCGAAAUGGUUUCCUUUUCCACCUUGGCCCUUUUAAAUGUUGGAAAUGGGGAGCUGCGUCCCUCUCCUCCUCCGCUUACGUGUAAAGAGUGGGGCGUCCGCGUCCACGAGUUCACUCUUCAUGGGCGGAGCGGAUACAAGUAGUUGGAGCGGCGUAUGGAUCCGAAUACCCGUUAACCUGGCCUACUUUCCUGGGCUUAAAUUGGAGGCCCAUUUUGUAUUUAUGCUGCCUAACACUACUGGACUAAAAGGAGUUUCCUACCCCAAAUACGCUCUUCCCGCAAAAAAACAAAAAAUAAAAAAGAAAAAGAAGAAAAAGGGUAAAUGACCACUCUCUUUGUAAACUCUUACUUGGACUUUGUCUAUCUAUACCCUUUUUUUAAUAUAUAUUCCCUUUUGGGCCGGGGAGUUUUAAGUUGACCUCACCACCAUUAUUUUGAAGAUGGGCUUGGGUGAAGUGGGCUCAAACCAGGAGGGCUCAUCAGUCAAAGCCUAUUUGAUCUUCCUAAAAUCCUGCUAUCCAAAUCUCACCCAGAUAAUACUGUAAUGCAAUUUAUUAACUUACUAAAUGUUAAAACAUGAGAAUGGAACUGCAACCUCACAGAACAAAAGGAGUUUAAGAGUUGUUGUUCUCUUAGUACCAUGUUACAUACCGAAUCAAUCCCAUAAGAAAUUGUCUAGCAAUGUACUGAACAACAAAAAGCAAUCACCCCUUAAUGGAAUUGCAAUUUAACCUUCUCCAAGAACAAAAAUACCAUCUCAGCAACCACAUAUCCCAAUCUACACUCGAAAUGCAAGAAGGUUACAAAGGAAAAGUCAGAUCUUAUUACCAACAUUGCGAACUACACAAUGUAUUGUUCAUAGAUAUGCAGAACUUCGGCAAACAAAAAAGGAUUAAUAUAGAAGAGUUGCAGCAGCCUUAGGCAGCUCAAAUAAAUACAUCUUCCAACUGGAUAAAAUAAACUAAUAAUGGUUACUUUAUAACAAGCUAAUGCUGCACUUUGGAGUCGGAGCUACGAACAAAACUCUGAGAAAGAAUGAUCCAACUGAAGAAUCUCCAGCACUAACCAAGGCGGCCACUGUUCCCUGUCAAUGCAUCAACACAGCAUAACUUAGUGCACCGGAGUUUGUCUUCUUUCCCCAAUCAAAUGUACCGGAAAUGGUAAUCUGUAAUGCUGCAGUUUAUAAUCUCUAGAAAGCUUAGUCUGCAAAGACAUGCAUAUUAAUGAAAUAUAGUGCAAAGAAAAUGGGGAAGGAGAUGAAGAAUGCAAUGAAAAUGAUAAGCUUUCAAUACCGCAGUCCAUAAUAUUAAGAAAUUUUAGUUCGCAAAGCAAUGUAAAUUUAAGAGAAAUGCAAAAAAAAAAAAAAAAAAGGAGAUGGAGAAUCACAAUUUGUUCUUUUGUUUAUCGGAAACAACAGAUCACACUUGAUGUGUAAGAAAACAAGCAACCGAAUCAGCCCAAAACCUUACUAAUGUUAAGAAGCAUGUCAACUAUCGAAAAUAACAGCAGCUAGGAUAUCCUACCAUGCUAAACUUAUUUACACGAAAAAAAAAGAGAGGAUGUGUUACUGUGCUUGAAUUUUGGAAGGUUGUAACCACAAAGUUCGAUCAUAAGAUGAAUCACAAACUAAACUAAAACAUAAGAUCGGAUUGGAAAUAUCUUAUCUUGUUAAGGAUAUAUUUGAAUGCUAAUGAAAAUCAAAAGGGAACAACAAUGUUCCGCGAGAUAGUUAACAGUCAUCGAUGAUUAUAACAAUUUCCCCGAGACUGAUGAACUAUCUCCUAUUUUAGCUUCCCAAAGAAGAUGUUCAUUUUCCUUCCUGAGUAAGUACUUGGAGAUAUACCGAAACAUCGAAUUCUACUGCAUGGUGUUGUUGUUCUCAAAAAUCAAACUUGAAACCGUAUGGUUGCACUCGUGCUUUUAGAGAUACACCAAGAAUUAAGCCUACAUCAUCCAAAUUAACUGCCUAACAUGUAUAUUGAACAUUAGGAUCUUAAAAUAAGGAGAAAUUCCAAUUGGUAUUGCAACAACAGCAUACAAAUUUCCACAGGAUUAUUAACUGAUUAAGUUCCUCUACCACAUUCAGCUUUACAAUUAAAAAAAAAAAAAAAAAAACAUUAAGAGGUAAAAUUAAACAAGCACAAGCACAUGGUCACUAAUUUGGGCAUAAGCAUGCAAAAAUAGGAAAUCCAAUAAUAGAAAAAGAAAAAAAAUACUAGUCGAAGGAUCCUACUGAGGAGUAGAUUUUGAGAGAAAGCACUACACUAAGCAAUACGGAUAAUAAGAUGAAAAAGCAAACACUCCAUGUGAUGGGGCAAAGAAAAGGAAAAAGUUCCCAAUUUUAAUCAAAUGCAAUCAAGUUGAAAAAAAAAAAAAAACCCUUAAAAACCCAAUUAUUGAUCAAAUCAAGCAAAACCCGACAAAAAGUUCUCAGCUUUAUAAGCAUGUGAUACCAUUAUACCAACCUGGGGGGGGCGGAAUCGAAGGAUUCACCACCAACCGUAGAGGACCUCAUGAUACCUAUCCUUGAACCACCUAAAGCUCUUCCUAAACGAUCCCUUCACCUUCCCCUCCACGGAGUAGGCCUUGUACGAGGCCACCCUCUUCUUCCUCUGCAGCUCCGGGUCGAUGAAGCCCCAGCCGUUCUUAAAGGACUUGGAUCUCCUCGCCUCGAUCUCUCCGGCGCCGCGAGAUGGGGCGGGGGAGGACGAGGCGUAGGAGGUGCUAUACGACCUCAAAGGAGGAGGAAGAGGAAGAGGAGGCGUGGUGGGUCCGUUGCCGUACGGCUGUAUCUGCAUGCGGGCGUCCGCAUACGAGGUCGAUCGGAACCCCCCCUCCAUGGAUGCUCCUCUCUCUCUCUCUCUCUCUCUCUCCUCUCUCUGUCCCCGCGGGUGUUUUGGUGUCGUCGGGGUGGACUGGGAACAGGGGAGAGGAACUUUCCAGGGCGAUGGUGGGACUCUACGACGCGCAAUAAUAAGCGUACGUAUAUUUAUGGGUAAAAUGUAUGUAUAGACCUCGUACUCUCCCGAUUUUGCGUUUCGCACCUUAGAAAUAUUUUGAAUCAAAAUUUUAAAACUUACUUGGUAGAAAAUUUUUUUGAUUUGAUAGUUGAAAUUGAAAGGGUAACUAAGUUGAAUUAACGAAAUUUAUAUUUAGCCAACUUUGAUUACAGCUAAAAAGAGAAGCAUUUAUAUAGCUUGUCAUUGAAGAUCCUUUACAUCUUCUAGAGACGCCAUAGGCAAAAACUUUUUGCAGUUAGAAGUUCGUUUCAGCUCCAUGCUCAAGUCUAUACCGAAUAUCUGACUUCUUACUUCUUCUAGAAAGCUGAAAAAAGCGAGGCAGAUAGAGAGAAAAAUCUAAUUGACUAGAGUAACACCAGGCCCACAAAGCACGUUAUCAUAGUUGAAAUAUCGACCAGGAAAUGCGCUGUUCUGAUGUAGAUGAUGAUUAAGGGGAAAUUUGACAUACGUAACAAGGGAAUAGGACAACUGGUCAAAGAAGCUCUGUCAUGCAUAGCGCACUUAACCAUACAUCUGGGGUUGUUCAAUUAGUAAGGUAACCGGUGAAGCAAGUUUUAAUGUACAAAAAAUUCGAAAGCCACUGAAGUUGUUCUCCAGAAGCAUCAUAAAAGAUCCACAAUGCCGCUUAAGCCGUCAUAACUACUUCACCCCGAGAACCUGUAACAUAAAAAAAGAAUACGAAAAAGGAAGUACAUGCGACAACUCGAAAGAAAAACAAAUUGCUAGAAGUAAACAAUCAACAUAAUUUCUCUGUACAUCUUUCAAAAAUCUCUCUAGCUAGGGAUAACAGUGCGUCGCUCUCCUCCGCCAACUUCGCGAUCUUCUCAGCCUCCUUGACUGCUUCUGACGCUAGAAAUGAUUUUGCCUCGGCUUCUGCUAUUUUGUAUGCCACCGCCUCUGCGUGGCUUAUUGUGUUAGAGUUCGCACAGCUCUGUGCCACUCUCGAGCGGUUGGCAGGAUCUUUUUGUUUCGGGACUGGAGUUUUUAUUGCAAAGGAAGAAUCCUUCAGCCUGUAACCCUUCUGCACCUGCAAUUACCAAAAUUUCAAAUUAUUGCCAUCCCGUUAGUUGGAUUUUGAGGAUGGAUUCAUCUUUCUCAUGCAUGUGUAUGAAGGCAGGUCCUCUAUUUUACAGAUUGAUACAUUUAGAGAAGAGAAUUGUAAAAUUUCCCUUGAGCACUUCAAUUUAAGAUUAGCUCCAAUAGAACCAUUAGUACCUCAAUUGAGUGGAACUGGACCCCAAAAAACUAUAGAUUUACAUGAACACAUAGAAUACAUAUACUACAUAGCAAAAGGAGCAGGAGCAGGAUUUGAAAACCACAUUUACCUUUUCUAUUUUACUCUGGGCAGCAAGCCGCCUUAACUUUGAACUAAGCAACCUCCUAAAAGUUUGUGGCACCUCAUGCUUUUGCUGCAUCAAACAACAAAGAAGCCGAAUCAAGUUAUCAAGGAAUAUGCAACAUUAAUCUCAAUCACUAUGGAAUUAUCAUGGCAAUAUUUGAUAAUAUAUAUAUAUAUAUAUAUAUAGAGAGAGAGAGAGAGAGAGAGAGAGAGAGAGAGAGAGNGGCUGGAGUACUAUAGAUAGCACCAAGAGCUUGGUACUAUCGAGUUUUCCACUGUUAGAUUUAACCCUAUGAUUAUUUUUACCCGUUAGAUUAUACUAUUCAACCAACCACCCACUCAACCCUAGGGGGCCCACAUUACCGCACAUUUCUCAAUCCAAGGGCUAAAAAACUAAUAGCACCAAUAGCUUUGUGCUAUUGAUAUAUAUAUAGAACUAGGCUGGAAUACUAUCAAUACAUAGGGUUAAAUCUAACGGUGGAAAACUCGAUAGCACAAAAUCCUUGGUGCUAUCAAUAGUAUCCCAGCCGAACUCUCUCUCUCUCUCUCUCUCUCUCUCUAUAUAUAUAUAUAUAUAUAUAUAUAUAUAUAGCUCAAUCCUAGGGGGCCCACAUCAUCCUAACCGCAUAUUUCUCAAUCCAAGGGCUAAAAAACUAAUAACACCAAUAGCUUGGUGCUAUUGAUAUAUAUAUAGAACUAGGCUGGAAUACUAUAAAUACAUAGGGUUAAAUCUAACGGUGGAAAACUCGAUAGCACCAAAUCCUUGGUGCUAUCAAUAGUAUCCCAGCCGAACUCUAUAUAUAUAUAUAUAUAUAUAGCUCAAUCCUAGAGGGCACACAUCAUCCUAACCACAUAUUUCUCAAUCCAAGGGCUAAAAAACUAAUAGCACCAAUAGCUUGGUGCUAUUGAUAGUAUUAGCACCAAUAGCUUGGUGCUAUUGAUAGUAUUCCAGCCUAGUUCUAUAUAGAGUCCGGCCGGGAUACUACCUCUAAAAUUUUUAGGUGUUUAACCUAUGUUUCUGAGAUAAAGUUUGACAAUGAGAAUCUAAAGCAAGUUUGCAGGACCACGUGGAUGGAACAUCAACAACCAUAUAAAUACAGUAGAUUAGAGAAAUAAACAGUUUAGGCUUGCAUAGGUUUGUUGAAGUCCUACAACAUGAACCUUAGAAGAAUUAUUAGUCCGUAAGUUUAAAAAGUGGAAUUAAAUUAGUAAAACUGAAUGAGUCUAGGGAUGCAAACGGAGCGGAUCUGGGGGCGGGAGCCCUUCCCCACCCCGCCUCCGGCCCCGACUAGCAAAAUCCCGCCCCGCCUCCCGCCCCGAAUCCGUGAUGGGUUAAAAAAUACAUCCCAUAAUCCGCCCCGCCUUGUAACCCGCCUCCCGCCGGCGCCCCAAAUCUGCCCCGCCAACUAAUAUUUUUUAUAAAAUUAUAAUAUUAUUAAUAUUUUGUAAAAUAUAAAUUAAUAAUUUUUAAUAAUAUUGUAUAUAUAAUUUAACAAUAUUAAUUAUAAAAAUAAAAAAUAUCAAUCACAAUUCAAAACAAAAUUCAAAAGUUUCAAAUAUAUUAGAAAUGAGAGUACUAAGUUAUUUGUAUUUUGAACUUUUUUGUAAAUACAUUAAUUAUUUUUUAGAAAUAUUUUUUUAAAAUAUAAAUAAUUUUCGGGGUGGAUUCGGGGCAGAUCAUGGCGGGGAGGAUUCGGGGCGGAUCAAAAUUUCUCCCGUUUCCUGCCUCGAAUCCGUCUCGGAUCAUAAAAUUUGCCCCGUUUCCCGCCCCGAAUCCAUUUAUCUUCUCCCAUUUACUGCCCCCGUCGGGGCGGAUCGGAGCGGGAGCUCCACCAACCCGGAUCCGUUUGCAUCCCUAAAUGAGUCCCAUAGAAAACAUAUCAACCAGCAACAAGCAAAAAAUAGUAGCAAGCAUUAUUUAACUAUGGAACAUUACCAUAAUUUAGAUGUUCGUCAGGCAUUUCUAUCAGCUAAUAUAUAUGCAUAUUUGCAAAUUAUUAGACAAAUUAUGCAUGAUACUUGGGCAACUAGUAAGAGGCCAGUCGAAAUAGGAGGUCAUAAAGUAUAACUAGUACGGAUCUAGUAAAAUAAAGCAAACCAAAAACAUUUCCUACCUAUGACUAAUCUUAAGACCCUAUUUAUUCACGUAAGCCUUGGGCAAUUGUACUUAAUAGGAGGCGAGCAUUUUUUUUUUAAAAGAAAAACAAUUUUACUACUCUUAACUGAAAAAAAGGAGCCAACAAUUGAAUUUCAUUUGGCAGAAACCUUAAACAACCUCUAUAAAGCUACAUAUUGCACCAAUUUCCGACCCAUUUGGUUCUUGUAAUGCAGCAAGAGCUUCGAUGAUCAUUGCAUUGUACCUGAUAAAUGCAAAUUCAAACAAACAACAUAAGGCUCCAAAUCCAGACGUGAGCGACUCAAAAGCAGCAAUGUAGAAGUUUAGUUUAACAGGAAAAAAAUGUUUCCAGUCAUAACUAACUCAUUAAUAUUUCAACCACUAGGCCACUUAAUACGGUUCCUCACAGAAGUGAGUGGUAACUACCACAAAGAACUAAGAUAAAGUAGUAUCUUCAUUGUCCAAUCAGCAAGCAAAAGGUAUACCCGGAAAUGGACAAGGAGCAUAAAGUAUACCCGGAAAUGGACAAGGAGCAUUUAUGCCAGAGGGUGUGGCAAGUGGGGGAAAUAUGGGGCGUUAUUAGGAAGUAGUGAGAUGUGGGGAAAAGGAAGAAGGGGCUUACCACUCUGACUUCGGUGUGGUGGGGUAUUUGGCUUCAAAGAAAUAAUGACAUUUUUAGGGGAAGGAGUAGAUCACCAAGGCAGGUAUAGAUGGAAACAAGUAGGACAGUCGAACUAAGGAGUGAACAUUGCAAACGUUAGUAUCGUGGGUGUAGGAAGGCGGAGCCCUCUAAGCCUUCUUAUUAUGUCUUCUUUGUUUUCCUUUUGUUUUUCUUUUAUUUUGCCAGACAUCUGGAGACCUUUUUGAGUCAAGCUUGGUUUACUUAUGUAAUGAAUGAAGCUACAUCUUUUUCACAAAAAAAAGGGCAAAAAAGAAGCAACUUACAUUUCUCCAUUGAAAAGAAACAAUUUAAUGCACUCAAUUCAUGAAUAGUUACAAAUUUAAGCCUUGAAGCUUGACCAUCAUUUCAAGUUCGUCCUCAUAGUUGAAUAUGACAGUUUAGUCCCAGAAGCCUAUUCUCCACAGUUAUACCAUCCGAAAAAGGCACAACAUAAGUUGCAUAAUUAUACUAUUCUUAGUUGAAAUAGAAAAAUUGAAGACUAAAUUGAAAACGCAAUCGAACUUCAGGGACUAAAUUGUUAGAAUCAAAACUCUGGGAGAUGUAAUCGAAAUGACGGAGGAUUACAUGUUGCAAUUGAAACAGUGAGGGCGAAACUGAAUAACAGAUCAAACUUGUGAGGGUGAAUUUGCAAUCAACUCCAAGAAAAUAAAAGCAAGAAAUUACCGAGGAGGAUUUUUUGCAUCUUGUGAGCUGUUUGCACGAUCUACUGCUGCUGUUGUUGCUUCAUCUUUACGCUGGACAGAGACAGCGACCCCCUGAGAGCUAGACGAUGGGGUGGCUUGCAGGCUCUUCACCUUUGGAGUCCUCACCUUUUCUCUGGUACCUUGCCCAUUGGCACUAAUACUCAUAUUCCUCCAUUUGUCCUGAAUAUAACAAAGAGAAGUUAUAUUUGUCCUGAAUAUAACAGACGGGAUGAUACGCAUGAAAGCACAUUAGUAUUUUGAUAGAACCGGAUACACAAAGACAAGAAACAUUAUGAGAACACUUCAAUAAACAGGAGGAACUAAGAUGAUAUAACUCGCCAAUUGAAUAACUUAACCACUAACCUAACAAGCAAAAUACCUAGCUAUAGUAUCCAGAAUGAUGCUGUUUAUAGUAUUCUGAAUUUCUGACUUAAUCAUUCAUGUUUUCCAUCUAUUUGAGAAUUUAACACUUUUCAAAUCUUUCAACUUAUGAUUCAUCUUCAAAGAUUAAACUCUACAGUUGAGCGAAUGUGCUGCAACAAAUUAAUAAAACAUUAAAAACAGCGAAUAAUCUACUCAAUAAAACCAAAACCAAACCACAUUACAAACCUUGAUUCAUAUCAUCAUGACUCGUAAGGAGUUAGCAACUCACAAGUUUUCACUUUUCUUUUCUCUCUUCAUGUCGUGCAAAUUAAACGGGUAAAGAAGGGAUCAAACCUCCACCAAAUAUUUGCUCAAAUUGGGUUAAGAAUUGCUUAAAAAAAACCAUCCAAAAAGAAAAAGAGAAAAGAAGAGAAGGGAUCGGAUGGGACCUUGAGAUCGAUGUUGGAGCGGGUGGCGAGGCAAUGGCUGAACUCGGGAUCCUUCUGGAUGGUUCGCCACUUCCCGGCGCCGUGCUUGUCCACGCCGGCCCUCAGCGCCUCCUCCUCCUCCGACGUCCACUUCUGCUUCGGAGCCCCCAUCACUCUCCCCCACCUCUCUCUCUCUCUCUCUCUCUCUCUCUCUCUCUACCCCGCACUUCGUCUUCCUCCUGCUGCUUCGACGCUCCCGAACCCUAACCCUAAUAAGUCUCAGUGACUUCCGAAACAGAUCGGAAGUCGAAAGUCGGAACCCUAAUAUUCAUACACUUGUUGGGGACGAUAUUCACUUGUUGGGGACGAUGAUUAAUUUGACAAAUUUAUUUAUUUCAUUUUUUCAGCCUCAUUGUUAAUAAAAAUUUUAAAAAAACUAAUUAGCAUUCUAUAAUUUUAUUUCUUAUUAUAAAAUAUAAACUAAUAAUUAAAAUAAAAUAAAAUAAAAUAUUAUUUUAUAAUUUAUAAUAUAAUUUUGUUAUUUAUAUAAUUAUAGUUUGUUGCGGUCCUAAUUAACUAUAAACUUUUAUGGUAAAACAAAACAAAUACAGAAUAAUAGGAUGAAAAAAUUUAAAUUAUAAAAAUGGCAAUAAAAUGUUAGUUGCCGAUUUGAUGAAUAAAAUAAUUGUUAAUUAAAAAUUUUAAAUUAGUAAAAUAAUAUGGUAGAUAACUAUAGCAUUCCUCUCGUUUUUUUUUAAUUAAUAAAUUAUUUAAGCCGAAUGCUCAAAUGAGUUUCUAAUGGCUAUAUUUUUCUUUCUAAUGGAGGAUGUAUAUUACAACAUUUGUCACCAAACUUUUGUUGAUAUUUUUAUGUAAAUUGUCGAACUUUAAUUAUCUCAAUAAAAGUAUAAAAUUUUACUUCAUGUUUUAAUUUUAUUUUGCUGCACAUUUUUAUCUACUAUUAACUAUUGAGUAGCAUUAACUAAUUCAACCAUUAGUACAACAACGUCGUAUUAACUGCAAUUCAUGUACCAUAAUUUUAUUUAUUAAAUCAUCACUAAUGUUAUUUAUUUAUUUCAUAUUACGAAAGUGGAAAUUUGACAGCUAAAUUUAAAAAUAAAUUAUGUUUAAAACAUAAAUUAAUAGUUAUGUGGUCUCUAGUGGACGAUAUAUGACGAUUUAGGUUUAAUUAUAAAAUUCCUCUGCACUUUAUCUUAUAUCUCAAAUAUCUUUAUGUAUAAAAAAUUAAAUAGCAUCAAUUCUCCACUUUGUUAAUUUUUGACGGGAAUGUUACAAAAUUAGUUAAUGCAAAAAAAUACUUAAAUUAUAGCAUGUAAAUAUUUUUUAUAAUUUUUUAAAUUUUUAAUACCGAAAGUUGUAUUUGAAGGAGCUUAAAUGGACUUAAAAACAUAUUAUCUCAACAUGUUAUCGUUAAAAGUUUUUAUGCAAAGUAGAGGACGUUGUCUUAAUUAAGCCCGGAAUUAACUAUAAUUUUAUUAUUUUAUUUAGAAAAUAAAAUUAAAGUUUGAUGUUUUUAAUUGAAAAAUGAAAUUCGAAUGAUUCGCAAGUUGUUCUCUCUUAUUAGUUCAUCGUCUCUCUACUCCCCCGCUACGUCGUCGUCUUCGUUCGCUCCGCGGUAAUCCUCUCCAACUCCGAUAAAUUAUAAAGCGAAUUGCUUCCGAUCGUCUCUUCCUCAACCUCGAACUCCUUGCCGAGGUAAUCACCAUUCGCCUCUCUUUCUCUCUCUCUCGUCUCAUCUUCUUCGAUCCUCUGAUUCCAAGUAUCGACGUGUUCAUCUUAGGUUUCCCCUUUUCAUCUGAGGGAUCUUCAUAAGCAUUUAGGGUUUGAAUCCUUUUGCGGAGCCGUCAAUCGCUAGGAGCUAUUUUCGUAUGAUUUCUACGCCUAUUUCUGGUUAAAUUAUCGCCUCGUGUUAUCGCUAGGAGCUAUUUUCGUAUGAUAUUUAUGCCUAUUCUGGUUAAAUUAUCUCCUCGUGUUGGUCUUAUACUAGUCAUUUGAUGCAAACGCUCGUUUAGCUGUUAUUCUGGAUCACGAGAGCAAAUUUUACAGGGACUGUGAACGAACUGUGUACGCGUACUCAUUUGUUCUCUCAAAUGCUGAAUUAAAGAGACAUUUGUAAUAUGCUGUUGAAGAAGUGCUAGAAUUAGAGCAUCCACGUUAGAAUGGGAAUAGUUUGGACUUGGAUGUAUAAUCUAUUAAAUUUGCCUCUGAUUCAUUAAGACAAUAGUGAAAUGCUAACUGCCUAAACCCUAAUAGUAUUGUGCUAUUUUUCUAUUUUCAAAAUAUUUUUUUUUUCAUUCGAUGUUUCUUUACAUUUUUCGUAUAGUAUAUCUGCCACCACUCAUCAAAGUAUUACACAUAUCAUCGAAAGAUAUAUAUAAGUUUUUUUAGAUUUUCCUCGAGGGCCUUUGCUGUAAUGUAUGACAAUUAAUAAGAAGAUAGGAAUGAGGAGCAGAGGCUACGACAUAUUGUUGCGGCAGGUGCAUUUAGCCUUUGCGAUGGGAUAAAAUGAUUUGAGGCAUCGAAGGAUGAACUGCUGGAGAGAAUGUUUUGCUGUUUGAUUAAGUUAUACUGUCAUGCUAUUUGUGUUAAUUCUUACUCCCAGAGGAAAGUGGAUCCGAAUGUAGUUAGCAUGUCAAGUUGUCAACGAUGCGUUACUCUUGUUAUUAUGCCUUAAAUUUGAUUUAGGCCUAUUUGGAUGUCAAAAUAAGUUAUUCAAUGACAACUUAUUCUGUAUAUAGAUUUUUUGUUUUGUGUGAUCGAAAGCAAGGAGUUUGAGUUUUGCUCUUUGAAAGAUCUCAACAUGCAUUAUUUUGUAGGAUAGCAUAUUUCAUCUGCAAGAUGAAAUAUUUUAUUUCGAAAAAAUGACUUGAAGAUCAAAUAUGGUGUCUAAUCAAGGCAUUUGAUCACAUUCCUCAUCAAGUAGAUACUACAUGAUUGGAUGGUAAACCAAAUAGAUCUACUGAGUAAGAUGUUUACGUAUCCAAACAGGGCCUUAACAAAGAUUUACUAAUGAAGAGAUAUAUUUGUGAUAUAGGCUAGUGUAGUUUUGACUUUGCAACAGCUAGAAAUGCAGAGGGGUGACCGAGGUAAACAAGGAUUUUCAGGCUUGGUAGUUGUAAUUUAGCUCAAAUUAUCUGAAAGUAUACACUAAAUUGCUACUGUGGCUAAAACUAAGCUUCGUCUUAUUUGCACUAUUGAUUGCUUUGUCGCUGAAAAUUAUAUUGAUAAAAAAUUAAACGGAUCGUCUAUUAUUUCAGGACAUUGGAAUGAUUAAGGAUUUCUAUGCCGGGUGGAAUUGAGGACUUGUGCAGGCUGCUAUUGUGCUACUGCAUUCCAAUGCAUGCUGACACCUAAUGUUUAUAGUAGGUUGGGGUUGAGGAUUUUUCCUCUUUUUUUUUUUUUUCGGAUGUGUCUAAGAACAUGCUAAAUGGAACUUAUCAUGAUGGUGGUCGGUCGGCUGCCCCCAAAAUGGAUAUGGCCAUGCUUUCGCUCACACAAUAAGCCAUAGCACUUAGCAUUUCAACAUGCUUGUAUUGAAUCAUGUGAGCACUUUGUUCUUUUCAAUUUAUUUUUCAUGAAGAACAUAAUUAUCAUAGCUUUGGGACCUCAUAAUUGGUCAUUAUCUUGCUAGUAUCUCUUUAAUUAGUGCUUUAAGAAACCUGCCAUGGUGAAGUUAUUUAUUUCCUGCAUUGUUGAUCUGAGGCAGUUUGUAUGUGGAUACGUCUGUCAACUGAUGUCAACUGAUUUUUGAUACAUGCUUUUGCCUUUUUACAGCUGAGGUAAUUAUCUUUCUAGUAUCUCCUUAUUUUUGCUUCUAGGAUUGUAUUUUCUGAACAUGCUUUCUCAUAAUUGUUUGAUUUACUUUGUUUUUUUUAUUUUUACAACUGCUUUGAGCUUAUAGUGCAAGAAAUAAUAGUUAAAGUUUCCAAUUUUCAAUUAUCCUCAUUCACAUAAAGCUGUACGUCCUGCAUCUUUCUAAGUCUGUUAAUAUUUGUUGUUUGGGUGCUCUAUGUAAUGUAGGGCUUUACUUUUGUAGGUUAACCGACUUUACUUUUGUUUAGCACAAAGAAGGAGAUGCCCUCCUUGUCAAAAGCUAAGCAGAUAAUAAAGCAUUCUAAGAUUUUCUUUUCUUUUCUUUUCUUUUUUUCAUUUCUUUAUCCCUGAACCAGUAAAUGUAAGAUUUAUUGUACUGUUUUCUCUAACAAAAGACCCAUAAGUCCAUAAUUAAUAUUUAUCUUCUAGAAAGCCUAAACUCUCUGAUUAAGUUGUUGCAUUCUGUGCCUCUGGAACUGCAAAGGAACUUCUUUGAUGCCUGUUGUAAUUCAUCCUGCAUUUGGGUGAUUUUCUUGGUACAGUGCUACAAAUUGCAUACACCAACUUUUUGGUAUGAACACUUUGUAAAGUCAUUGCACUUUUCCUGUUCAAGCUAUUUCCCUUUUGAUGCUUAUCAGCGCUCCACUAGUUUCUUUGUUUACCGCAAACACUUUCUGUUGCUGCUAAAAUGGGACAGUUACUCUGUGUUGUACGCUAAUGAAGUCUGUUAUGCAUAAACUCAGCACUAUAUAAGCACGAGUUCUGAACAAUCUUUUUUCUGCAUAGUUAUCAAGAUUGGCAUAAUUUUUAAAUUAACAUAUCACUUUGGCUUUGGGUCCACAAUAUCUCUUGCUUGUUUACCCCAGAUGCCUGCUAAAUUUUAUCUCUGGUAUUGCUUCUCUUUAUAGUACUGCCAUUAUCCAACAAGUUUGAGCAUUUAUCUUUGUGUCUUUAAAGAAACAUUGGUUUGCUGCUUUUUCAAAAUGUUCUGUUAUUCUCUAUAUUAUAAAGGCUUUAUCUUUACAAAAAGAUGCUGGACGGAUACUAUUGAUUGCUUGUAUUAUGCUGGUUAUUCUAAUCAAAACUUGCUUCGUCUAGAUGUCUAACUUUUGAUUCUUUAUCCCUGACAACAGUGUGAACUAUGAGCUAACAACAAGAUGUUGAUCGACCAAUCUGGGUGGGGUUAGUCACACUUCUUUUAUAUUGACAAACAUUAUGAAAGAGUUGUACAUGUCAAGAGGAGUAAUAUCAUGUUACUCAAAAGAUCAAUGUAACAAGAAGUUGUCCAAGAACAUAUUUAAUGCUCGCGUUCACUUGCUGAAUGGAUAUGACACUUGGGAUUGACAGACAAGAUAAGAGAGGAUUUAACUCAUAAAAUUAAUCCAUUAAAUGGAUGUUGAAAUUUGGGAUUUAACCCACAACAUUAAGGCAGGAGUUGAGAAUUGACUCCGAUAUCAUGUGAAAUAUUGUUUUGUCCCAAAAAGCUCAAGCUGCCCAAGAAUGGUGUUUUCAUAUUUUUAUUUUAAAAAAUAACGAAGAAAGAGAAAAGGAUUACUAAGUGCAACUUACCCUUUUUGAGCCUUGGAAAAAUCAAAAUUGGCUCCUAUUGGGAAUUUAUGAUGUACUUACAAAAUCUUUGCUCAGGAUGUACUGUCCACUAUUAUAAAAAAAAAUCCAAAUGGGUUAGUAUGUUUAGCUUUCCAGGAAUGGAAAGUGACGAAAUUAGAAAAUAUGUGAGAUAGCGAUGUCAGUGCAAAAUUUGUUAGCAUAGGCAUUAGAUAUUGUGGAGGUGAGCUGGAAAUGUUUGGUAACCGUUGUUCUCCUUCGUAAUCUUUUUUUUUAUGGUUGCUGCGUCUUCCUCACACUAAUUGGCUGGAGAAUGUUCAUGUGACUAAGAGGACUACUAUUGUUGAUUUCACAAUUUUAUCGAAAGGGGGAAACUGUCUUUAAAUGAAAUUAUAAUAAAUGUUACUCUUUAUUUACAUUCAAUCACAACAUUCAACAUUCAGUUCCUAUUGCAUCCAAAUGAUCUGUUUUGCCUGAAUCUUUUGUCGCAGGGCAUUAAAGAUGGAGCGGACCCAUCGAUCCACUGAUUGGGUGCAUUCCAAAUCUGAAGACUUGGUACCAACAAUGUGGACCCUAGCAUGUGAUGCAUCCCCCACAUGGACCACCUGUCUCAGUCUGCUCCAAAUUGCUCUCAAUUUACUCUCCUCUGGUUCACUCCAGCAAGGUAUGAUUGACGGUUCAAAAGAUUUAUCUUAUGCCUCUUAUAUUUUAUCUUCCUUCUUGAUUUUUACUUACGUUUUGACUUUUCAAUGCAUUUCCAUUAGACAGUUUGAGCCAGUAGUGACGGAUAUACGCACUUAUUUUAGUGGUAAAUCUCCCCUCUUUUUAGUGCCUACCCCUUUCUUAAUUGGAGGAAAUUUUGGUCAGAUCCCAAAUUGCACUUAUUCCUAGGACCAUGCCAUUGUACUUAUCACAUCAGUAGGGUAGAAGUUGGUAGAUCAAUUGUCUAUGGAUGGGGAUGAGAGAGAGAGAGAGAGAGAGAAGGUGGUGGUGUUUUUGAAGUGGACAAAAUGCUUAAGAGAGGGCAUGCAUGAACUAGUGGAUGAACAUUCAAUUGACCUGGGCGGGACGGCGAAAACGAUUGCCAUGUGAUGGCGAUGGUGAUGGCGAUUGUGGCUAUUCGUGGUCCACCAGAAGCUUCUUGCAAAAUCUCAUGCUGUCCCUGCCAGGAAGUGAAACAAUUGAAAACUAGUGUCAAACCAAAAUGGCCUAAGAAAAUAUUGUGGCUACGAGUGAAAAAAGGAUUACAUGUGAAAGGUUCAAGUGAUUGGUUCUAGGAAAUAAAAAACAGUACUACCAUGUCAUUCCUUCAUGUUUGAAAUUGGAGAGGGCGACAGCGGAGAUUUAAUCCUGAAGGUGGUGCAUAGAGUUGUCACAACCAACCCAAAAUAUUCAUGUGCAGGAUAAUGCCAAACUUCUCAGACUCUCUUCUCUCUCCCCUCCCUAAAAAAACCUAAAACACGUACACACACUGCUCAGUCAUCUUCCUGGAAGAGAUUUGUGCUCCUUAGAAGGUCACACUCCCAUUAUUAACAUCCUUCCUUUAGGAAUUGUGAUAGCUAAUAACCUGUCCACUCUAUUGCUACAGUGAUUAUUAUUUUGAGCAAUUACAUAGUUAGGCAUAGACAUGGACAUGGAAGAUGAUGCCUUUGUGCAAAUACAGUAUUUAUUUUCACAUAUCGUUUUGUCAUUUUUCGAGGAUUUUGAUUGAUGUGGCUAUCGAUAUGUCGGUUAGGAGAUCGGUCAAAUAAUUUACUCUAUACGACUGAGAUGUUACACUUUUCAUUGGGGCCCUCUUUGCAGUGGUAGAAGACAAUGCGCCAUUGUCACAUUAUGAGGAGCCAAAAUGUAUACUUCCAACCUGAAAUUGUAACAACUUGAAAAGAAAUUGGAAGGUGUCUGAACACAACAAAAAAACAUGAUUUAAAUAAUUAAGAUCAGUUUAGGACGACCCUAGAUAUUUGAAUCUAUACAAAUCAUUUGAUACUUGCAAAAAUAAUUCCGGUAAAUCUUAGGGACACUGUCAAAUUGACGUGCCUUUUAGCAAUUGACACAUUUGUAGUUGUUUUAUAGAUCAUUACGCCCAAGUGCUAGAAUAAGUUUUCGUAGAUACUCCAUGAGAACUGGUUUAAUAUAGUUGUGCAAUUUUGCUCUUCAACAAAGAGAAUGGGGAGCAUAAUAAUUGCAUAUACUUGAUUGGUUUCCACGAUAUAAAAGUGUUCCAGCUGAGUAGGGGCUUAUUUGUUUUGUCUAUCGAAAGUAAAUUUUGGGUCGUCGAAGUGGACUUCAGUUGAAAUGGACUUCAUGUAAAAAUUAUUUCUUUUUCAGUUGUUUAUUUUUAUAGCUAUGAAAAUGAAGUUUAUCGUUUUUACUGGUUGUUUGACAGGAAGUGAAUGGUAUAAAAGUUAAAUCUUAUUUAUUUAUUCAUAAAUAAUACCUAACUUUAUAAAUAAUAAGCUAUAAAUAUAAGAAAGAAUAAUAUAAUUGUAUUCCUAUAUAAUUAAAAAGUAUAAUUUAAGAUAAUUAAAUUAAAUAUUUUAUACAUAAAUUCUAAUAAUACAAUAAUAAAAUCAUAGAGUGAAAAAAAAUAUCAAUACUCAACUAAUCAAUUUUUAUCAUCAUAUUUUAAAUAUGUAAACUAUAGAGAUAGUAAACUUAACUAAUCAAUUUUUGUCAUAUUUUAAACAUGUUACCUAAAUAAAAAAAUAAUUAGUACUAAAAUCAAGAGUCUUGCUAAGGUGCUUUUAAAAGCACCAAGUUGUUUGUAAGUUUUUCACAGUUAGAUCGAUUACUUUGAUCAAUUCCAUCUCUUAGUGUUUUUAAAAGUAUAGGAGCUCAAUUCUUAAAAUUAAUUAUAUUUAACUAUAGUUAGCAUUGUCCAUUGUAUUAAUUUGUUUUUAAUCAAAGUUAAUUACAUUAUUUUGAAAAACUUGAGUUUCCACUGUAUCUAUAUUAUGAUGAACCAAACAGCAUAACUAGUUAUUUACAAUGGAAAAUAAUAUUGGCCUUCUCCAUAUUCAUCCAAACAAACAUGCCUUAAGAAUUAUAACUCGUGUCGGCUGACACGAGUGAUGGAUUAGUGGCAGGUUAUAUUUUUACUCCAUUUGUUUGGCUGUAAAAGCAGAAACAUUGAUGUAACCGACCUCUUCUUUUUUUCUUUUUCUUUUUUUUUUUUUUUUCUCUUUCAUUCCCCCUCUUUUGUUGUGUUUCUUCAGAAAACACCAUGCAGCAUCUGUAGGGUGCUUAAAGAAAUGUUACUUAGUUCAAAUCUUUUCACCAACUUUGUGUUGCCUUGGGAAGAAAAGCCUCGAACAUCCUCCUAUAACAAAAACCUUACCCUUUUGUCUAGCACAAUUGACUAGAAAUUUGAUAGUUAAUACUUAAAAUUUUAAGUUCGUAGUUUAAUUAUUUUAUAUUUCUAGUUGGCCUUAUUUCUUGAAAAAAAAUAUUGAAUAGCUUAUUAUCUUUCUUUUAUAAAAAAAAAUGAGAACUCAACACUUAUGUGGAAACUAAUAGUGUACAAAUGGAAAUCAAAACAAACUCGAUGGGUACCGAACGUUACUCAUUAUGCAAAAUACAAAACCCCGACUCACACAUAAACUACUACACAAGCAGUGAGCGCGGAAACAUCAACUGCUUAAUUAUUUUCGUUUUACUCCUCACUUUUAAUUAUUUUUAUCAUCGGCAAUGAUAUAUGUACAUCUGUUCCCUCGAUGUACAAUUUACGUCGGAUGUAGGAUCUACCUGUAGAGAGUUGAGAGUCAGGGUGUGUUUGAUUGCUUGUAAAAUUACUCCGAAAAUUAGUUUUCACACAAAAAAUAGUUUUUUGGAUGUUGGUUGUUUGUUAAAAAAUUUUCUCAGAUUUUUUUUUUUUUUAGAUUCCCUGAAAAUAUUAGAUUUUAGUUUUUCGCUCAAAGAAAGCGACAAGCCAAAAUCUACAGUAAAAACACGCGGCCUACUUAAGAUAGUGCAUGCGGUCCACGAAGUCCACUUCAUCUCGUGGACCGCGUGUGAGAGAGAGUCCAUUACCAUGAUGGACCCCUCUCUCUCUCCCUCUUUCAUUAAAUAUAAUAUAUAUAUAAUAUAAUGAUAAUAUUUUAUUUUUUAUAUAAAUAUGCUAUUAUAUAACAAUUUCUUAUAAAUAUUUAUUUUAUACUAUUAAAUGUAUACUAUUAUAUAUUAUUACAUCGUAUAAUAUAUUUUAAAUAUAUUUUAUUGAUAAAUAUAACUUAUAAUAAUAAUAUAUGAUUAGCAUUAUAAUUAUUAUAUAUUAAUAAUAUAUAAUAUGUAAAUAGAAAAAAUAUGUAAAAUAUUUUUUAUUUGUUUUUUCUUUCUUCUUUCAAUCAAAUAACCAUGAUGAAAAUAUUUUUUAUUUUUACAAAUAAAUACUAAAGAGCGUAAAUUAUUUUCUUUCAAAAAGAUUUUUCACUACAUUUUUUUUUCACGUAAAUUCUAAAUUUCAUCCAGUCUCUAUAAAAUAUAAUAAAUGACAAAUAUUUCUUACAAAUUUAUUUUUUAUAUAUUAAUGUUUUAAAUAUAUUUUUACUGUUAGAAUCGUUAGAAAAUUAAUUACAUAUGGUUAAAUACUUAAUCUUAAUUAGUUUUCGAUAUUUUUAUUUUUUUUAUAUUAUACUGUUAUGAUUUUUAAAAGAAUAUAUUUGUGAUGGCAAAAUUAAAAAUAAAAACGGUUCGUUAACGGUAAUGAAUCAGAUGGAUAGAUUUGAAAAUAUUAAAGUUCUUAUAAGAAUAAUAAUAUAAGAUAGUUGAAUUUUGUAAAAAUAUAUUUAUCAUCCACGGUAUUUAUAAGAAUACGUAUGAAAUUAAUCCUUUUCUUUACUGCGCUCCGAGUGGUCCUGUAUCCGUGUGCGGGGCCGUCCAGAGGUAGAGGUAGAGGUAGCUAAUGGCUCCGGCAACCAACCAAUGGGAGCGGUCCAUGUGUCGACGCAAUCCCAUAGCCACGAACCCCUUCCCACCAGUAAACGCGCGGACCUCGGGCCCCACCGCGGCCUGGUCUAGUCCGGCCCACCGUAACGGCUUCCGGCUCGGCCGGUUCGGUUCAGGCGUGACGUGGGUGGCCACUGGCCAGCUCGCACCUCGAACGGAAACGCUGCGCGGGUCGAAAAGGCACCGUUCAAUUUGACCCGUUUCCCGGACCCCCCGAGUGAACGGUUGGAACGGCUCCUAUCAAUCAUUGACGAGCGAUGCGGGCCCCACAACUUGCACGGGCGCGGUCACCACGUGGUCCCAAAUCCUGGUUGGUACUUGGCGUCAUCAUCCGGCGCAUGACACCAAUAUACUAAACCAAAAAAUAACGCCACGCCAUUCCUCAAUCCCCUCCGCUCCACCAACGCACCCAAAAAAAAAAAAAAAAAAAAAAAAAAAAAAAAAAAAAAAAAACACAACNAAUUAAAGAAUACUAAAGUGAAUAUUCGAUAAACUAUAGGCGGGAUAUUUAAAGUUUUUUGUAUAUGAUUUAAUGAAAAGUUAACGAAGGAGUUGACGAAAGGAAAAAAAUAAAAUCACAUAGUAUUAAAUUGAUACACUUUAAACCAGAGGGAUACUAAAGUGAAAAAGUGCGAAAGCAUAUGGAUAAUAUUUAAAAUUAUCCAUAAAAAAAUGCUACCACCAUACGGCAAAAUAGAGCGUAUAUUUUUCACCAUAUUUAUUUUCGAGCUGAAAUAAUAUUUUUAUAUUUUUAGUAAUAGAAAGGUAGAACUGUAAUGCAAUAAAAUUUAUGGUUGAAUGAGUAUAUGAGUAUAAAAUUUAUAUCUAGUUUUGAAUGUAGAGGCACCUAUAUGACUUGGAGUACAUAGUGUUGAUUCUUUCACAAUUUGGGUGCAAUUAUUUCCCUUUUUUAAUUUUAGGGCUACCUCUAAUGUCAAAAGGGCGACAUAACAGUGUGCAAGUUGUGGGUUACGGUUACGCUAGUAAUAAAUAAAAAGGUUGGCUCUCUCUCUCUCUCUCUCUCUCUCUCUCUCUCUCUCUCUCGGUUUAGAGUUUUUCCACUCUCUACUCUCUAGCUGAUGUGUAUUCCGUUCGUUAUUAUUUGAAUAGUGCCACUGGUGAGGUAUAUAAUUAAUGAUUUAUAUGCUUCUCUUAUCUUCUGAAUAUUUAUUUAUUAUUAUUCAAGUACAUUAUGAGGUGCCCAUUUUGAUUUUGAUUCAGCAAUAUCAAUUAUUGGUUGUAACAAUAUUGCAGUGCAAUGCAUUUCCUGUAUUAAAUAUUUGGAAAGCUUACUUUCUAUCCCAAGUAAAAACUGCAAAUUAGAGAUUCUAUUUUUGAGACUUCUUAUUCGACCUCCAACUUUCUAUUAGAAGAUGCAUUAUUAGUUUCAUAACGUUCGAUUUAUCGAAUGCUUUUUAGCGUUGGAAAAAGUAAUUAGUUCAAGGUCAGAGAUGAUUAAUUUGCGGAGAUGAAAUAAACUCCUUAAUUAGGGCUACUCGAUCGUGCAUUUAAGCUGUUUAAAAUGGUGAGAACACAAUUACAAUGAGCUGUACAUGGUGGUAAGCAUGUGAAAGCCCCAGUUAUCCAUAUAGCCAAUCAUAUAUGCAUUCAAACUAAAUAAUAAUAGUAGGCCAAUUAUAUAUCCUAGCAACAAGUUGAUCUAUAUAUUUCUCUCUCUCUCUCUCUCUCUCUCUCUCUCUCUCUCUGCACCCUAAAAGGAAUUUGAAGUGUACAAUAAUAUAAUAAUAAUAUUAGUAUAUCAAUUUCGAUAGCUCAUCACUAAAGGCUCCUCCGUAAUAUAUGUCUCCAGCCCCAAAUCUUAACACUUCUUUUUCCUUGAUAUAUUCCUUGUCAGAAUUUUGGAGGGCAUCCACCGAAGUAUAUAUAUGUAUGCAUUCAUUAAUACUCCCAUGUGCACAGUAUCUCUUAUUUUGAUCACUUGUUCCCAACAUCCCCUAGUUUCUAAUUAAUUUUUACCAGUGACAACAUUUGUUUUGCAACUAUAUAUAUAUAUAUAUAUAUAUAGUUCCAAAAACAACUGGCAUAUUGGGUCCACUUAAUUUCACUCUCAUUUUGUAGCGAGAGAAAGCACGAAUAAAGAAUUAAACUAAAAUCUGAGUCUCAUUAAUUGUUGUUUAACAAUUGCAUCGACAAGCUGGUCCCUAACCUAUAGUCGAUGUGGUUUUCAACAAGAAGGACAAAAACAAGAGUUGAUGAAAUUUUCCAGUUAUACCUAUCAUGUGUACAGUAAAUAUUAAUUCUUUCGUUUUCAACGCGCGAGUCAUCUUUUUCAGUAAUCCUUUGUUGCUUUCCUAUUCUGGAUUAUUUGCAAAAAGCCAACAAAUUUCUUUAAUAUAUGCAAAUAUUACGCAUCUCUCUCUUCCCAAAAAGAAAAAAAUUUCUCUUAGUUGGUAUGAUACCCAUCCAUCGAUCUUUUUAUGAGUAACAUCUUGUUGGUUUAUUCUUGUCCUGUUUUGCAGAAACAAACUAAUCUCUCUCUCUCUCUCUCUGUCUCUCUCUCUCUCUCGUGUACAUGUGUGAGUGUUGUGCGUGUGUACGCUGCAUAUUUACGUCUGCGUAAGAAAUUACAUUUCGUCCAUACUCAAGUAAUCAAGUUCAACUUGGGCGCGUAGAAAUUGAAUAACUUCAAAUACUCCACCCCAUGUAGUUUUUACUGUAUGAUUUGUCGGUGGCAAUAUUAAAGCAACUAAUAAUUAAACUUGUCGAUAUAUAUACAUAACUUGUCGAUAUAUAUACAUAUAUAUGUAAAAUAACGUUUAAUAGUUAACAUACUAGCUACUUAUAAUUUGUACCAUUUGUGUAUAUAUAUAAAAUAAUAAUUCAGACAAAAGAAGGUGGAACUCGCAAGCUCUCACUGCAUGGCCCAGAGAAAGCAAGUUAAUUGGUAGAUCUCAGGGAAUAAUAUAUAUAGUAAGUAUAUUAUAAUGAAAUAAAGAGGGGUUUCAUAUAUACGUACUAAAGAAGCAAUCACUAGAGAGGUGCAGCUCUUUUCCCAUCUUAGCAUAUUGCUUUAUUCAUAAUCCUCAUAUAUAUAUAUAUAUAAAUAAUGUUAUUCUCUAUCCUCUUUGACAAGUCUUUCAUAUGCUGCCCAUCUGCUUUCCCCACUAAACUGUCCCCCAAAAAAAGCCUUAUCUUUUCAAAUCCAACACAACUCAAACCAUUUAAAAAAAGGUUUUUUUUUUUUUUUUUUUAAAAAAAAGAAGAUCUAGCUAGUUACCUAGCCCUUGUAAGAGUAUUUGCGAGGGACCAUUAAACUCUAGCUAGCUCCUCUUUAUAAGCCCAUAUGCACUUUCUUGGAAGAGAGAAUGUUACAUAGAUCAACUCAUUUAAUUCCCUUCUCCCCCCCCCCCCCCCCACACCGCAACCCCAACCCCAACCCCAACCCCAACCCUUCCUCAGUAGCAGUACCACCGAGUUAAGGUAAGAGUUACAUGCGUGAAUUUGUUAAUAGCUUCUGAUCUCUGUUCUUUCCCUUUCCUGGGGGUGACAUAAUCAAUGGUCAUAUGUGAUGAUUUGAACUAGCUAGGGUCAUGAGGGCUAAUUCAAUGCUUUGUCUCCUACUAAAACCCGCGUUAGCGACGGCUGUUUUGGUCCUCUUUGCAGUAGAUGUCGCGGUGGCUGAUGAAUGAUAUCUAUCAUCGUGACGCGCGGAGAUUAACUACAAGCUCAUACAAUAUGCCUACCUAUAUUGUUCCUAUCCACCACAUUCCCUCCAACUCCCAUAGACUAGGUUGAGAUAUUUUCUCCAAAGGGACACGAUCGCGCGGUCCGUUCGGUGCUUUAGCGUCUCCUCGGUCGGAUUUGCACAAGGUAUGUGCGCAAUAGCUAGCACUUUGUGUUUAUAUACAUAUAUAUAUAUGCGUACCUUUGUGUGUGUAUAUAUAUGUAUGUUGUGCUUCCAAAUUGUAUUCUUUGAUCUUUGUGAUCUCAUGUUAAGAUUCAGAACAGGAGUAGCAGUGCUGAUUCAAUUUGAUUUGCAGGCCCAGAAGAAGAGGCUUAGCUUAAUUAAUUAUUCGGUGUUGAUUAAUGGAUAGUUUGGGUUGGAGCAAUCCGACACCCAUCCAACAUGAGAUUUCCACUUCGACAUGCAUUUGGAGCACCCAGUACGAUAACUUCUCCGAACCGAAGGAGUACUACAGCAACAUAAAUGAUGACGUUGAGCUCCACGAGUGUAUCUACAGCACAGGUUUGGAGCUUCAAGGCGUUCGCGCAUGCGACACGAUUAGUUCGAGUAACAUCGAAGGAGUUUGUGAUGAUCAGAUGGUGGGAAUGCUCGCUCCAGCGCCUUUCGACUCCAUGGAUGGCAUUUCAAGUCUCGAUCUCUUGCAGCCCCAGCCCCAGGAAAUUAUCAAGUUGGUGGCCGAUUCAUCAGUUCUCGCGAGAUCACAACAAGCGACGACCGCGUGGUGCGCCGAUAUUAUUCUUUCUAGUUCUGAUCAGUUGUUAUGCUCUUCUCUCGUGCCGAUCAGUAGACCCACGUUCGUCGAUUCACAGCGCGCUCUACUCGAAAACCUUUCGAGCGGUGAAAAUUUCCAAAACUUGAGUUACAGUACCGGCAACAUCUCUUCGGGGGAGUCCGAGAACUGUGCUUCCUUCGACCGCAACACGCUGAAUCGGGACGAGGCGGCAUCGCAGAGCUCUUCGAACCCGGAGCCUCCCCAGCUUGAGUUCUUUAACCCGAAGGCACCGAACCCUCAUAAGAGAAAGCUGGAGGAGGAGUGUGAAGGAAUAUUGUUGGGAGAGAAGAGCCAUUUAUGCAGCCUUCUUCGAUCCAGCUCUCCGGCUAUGGAAGGAGGCUUCCAGAUAGUCUUCGGCGGAAAUAGCAGCAACUCGUCGAAAGGCAAGAGAUCGAAAGGCGAGAAGAAUUCGGGGCAGUCGACGAGCAACAACAUCGAAUUUUCUCAGGAGAGCAACUACGAGCCCGACACGGAGGCGAUCGCGCAGGUGAAGGAGAUGAUAUACAGGGCUGCGGCCAUGAGGCCGUUGAAUCUUGGGGCGGAAGAGGCGGCGGAGAGGCCGAAGAGGAAGAAUGUGAGGAUCUCAAGCGACCCGCAAACUGUUGCAGCAAGGCAUAGGAGAGAGAGGAUAAGCGAAAGGCUUAGGGUUCUUCAGAGGCUGGUCCCAGGAGGGAGCAAGAUGGACACCGCAUCCAUGCUUGAUGAGGCUGCAAACUAUCUCAAGUUCCUCAAGUCCCAGGUCAGAGCAUUGGAAACCCUAGGAGGAAGCAAGGUUGAUGGUUCCAUCAUCAACAGCAUGCAGUAGCACAUCAGUUAUACUACUACUACCCACUUCUACUUCUACUGCUACUGCUACUGCUGCUGCUGCUGCUACUGUUACUUCCUCCUCCCCCAACAAUAUUAUUACUCAUGAGCCAAACUUUUCCCAUGCAGGCCUUUUCCCCCUCCCAAAACCCUAAACCUCAAAAGGGAAAAAGGGAAUUAAUUAAGCUCCCCAAAAAACCCACAAGUCGUAUCAUCCCAUGCAUCAUUAGGGGUUGGUGUUUAGGGCAACACCUGUUCAUUUUAGCUCUCUCAUUUAGACACACUUUUUCCCUAACCAAAUCCUAAUUCCAACACCCAAAAACCCAAAAAGUGGGGGAGGGGGUUGGGGGGGGAGGAGGGAUGAGAAAAGGUUAACCUUUUUGAUCAAAUUGUUGUGUACACUCUCCCUUUUUAUCUUUGGCCACCUUUUCACCAUGCCAAAGCCUCUUUUCAUGUCCAUAAAGCAAACUUGGCCAGACAGUACUACUCUCAUCUCCUUUUAUCAUCAUCAUCAUCAUCAUCAUCAUUAACUUUAAACCUUAAUCUAGAGUUUCUUCUUCUUUCUUCUUCUUUUUUCCUCUUUGUUUUUUCUUUAUUUUGCCUUUUAAUGAUCUAUCUGUGCCAUGCAGAAACCCUAGCUUAGAUAAGCCCCAAAAAACUCAUAUCAUAGGCUUCAUGAUUACUUACUUUCAUGUUGCUUUAACUAAGGAGCUUUUAUGCCAGUGUACUUCAAAGAGUGUGAGGAAAAUAUUAAUCAUGUCACCUAUGAUUAAGAGCCCAAGGAAAAGGGGUGUUAGACUUAAAUUUGUCUUGAGAGUGAUCACCCACCCACCUCAAAAUUAAUGCUUCUAUGGAAUGGAAUCCUCCCCCUCCCCCUCCCCCCCCCCUUUUUUGUAUUAUUUUUGACAUAUAUUUUUCUAUUGUUUGUAUUUCUCGAAAUGUGCUGAACAUCGAUGGUCAGAAUCCGAGUGUGGUAGCUUUCCUGUUUAAGUUAAAAUUGGUAUAUAUAUAUGAUCUGUACCACAUGGGGCUCCCCAAUGCCAAAAGACAUUCCCUUUGGGCCUGACCAUGUGUGGCAGAGGGCACUGUCCCCUUUAAUUCGAGCCGAGCGUGCCCUUGAGAAGGCCACCAACUUUGUUGCUCCGCACAUGCCUGCUGUGCUCAACACUUCCCCCCACCCCCUCCCCUCAAAAAAAAAAAAGAAAAAAGAAAAAAGAAAAAAAGCCCAUGCUAUUGCUAUUAUACAUCUCUCUCUGCUCUCUCUAUCUCUGCUCUCUCUCUGUCUCGCGCGUAUAGGAUGCGUAAUAUAUUAGACUAAUCAUUAAUUAUCAUAUCAGAUCGAUAAGGUUAAAUAAAUUGAAAGUAUUAUAUUAGUCGUUACAAACAUAGAAAAGAUGAUUGAAGUUAAUUUAGUUAGCGGGCUACUGUACCGAACGGUAUUAUUUGAUUGAACUAUUAUGUAUAUAUUCUAUAUAUAGAGUUAAUCUAUGACUUACGAGUGCCAAAAGAAGUCACUUAAUUUCCAACUCAACUUGCCCUUGUAACAAACUAGACUUGUUACAUCACCCAAGGAAGGGGAUUUUCAUUUUCUUUUCUUUUUUCUGGACUAGAAAGGGCAUGGAGAUGAUUCCAAAAAUGGGAGAGAGAGAAAGAGAGAGAGUAAGAUCAAAAUUUGGGUUGAGGGAUAGAUGAUGGACGUAACGAACUGGGGGCGUUUUUGAUGAUGCAGUGGGGUAUGUUGGCAAAGGGGGAAAGGGGCUUUUGCAUUAGCUCCCUUUUGUACGUCAUGCGCGUACCCCGUCUUUUCCUCCUCCCUUUUUUUUUUUUUUUUUUUUUUUUUUUUUUUCUCCUCCCUCUUUUUGACAUUUCAAAACCUCUUUUUGACAUUUCAAAAAGGUAUGUUUGAUGCUUUCAUGAAUACAGAGGUGGUUCUGGCCGUUGAAAUGGUUUGAUCAAGCCGGGAUUUCUCGCAUGGCCUCAUUCAAACAUUACGACUCUUCAUAUCCAACACCUUUUUGUUCUCAUUUCGCUAUUUUUCUUUCUCCUCCUUUUCCCUUUUUUGUAAUUUUUUUUUGCUCUGAACUGGACGAAUAUAAUGAAUAUGAAUUAUCUUAUCUUUUUUUUUUUGAGAGAGAAGAAUAUAUAGUUGAACAAAGAAAACUUUUCUUCCCUGCAUUCAGUUGUACGUUGUUCAUCGCUUUUUUCAUACUGCGCAUGGGCGUGUAAUAGAAAAUUUAUUUAUUUAUUUAUUUAUUUUAUUAAUGAAAUAAAUUGUGGGCAUAUCAAAAGCACUUUUGGUGGGUCGGACAAGUUUGAUUGUGUCUCAUCAUUAGGCUUUGCCUGCGCGCACCAAAAGUUACCGAAAGAGAGUAACAACGACUUAUCAAUCUCUCUCUCUCUCUCUCUCUCUCUCUCUCGGCCCAUGUGGAGCGUUGCGAAUCUUGUUAUCCAUUUUAACGUUGGUGAUUUCUAAGUGGAAGACACAGUGAAUUUGCAACUUUUACUUGGGCAUACAAGAUACGAGGCUAAAUUACGAAUAAGAGGCCCAGAUCAUGACCGAUGCCUUUUCACUUAAGCACACAUAUUAUGAAUGGGAGGCCUGGAACGUGACCCACCCCCCUAAUUACAAUUCAGCUCAACUACAACCUAAUCAAUCGGUUGAGAUUCAUAAUAACACCUCGGGGAGAUGGAUUACUUGCCCAAACAAGAUUAAUAAUCCCCAAAACAUUCUCCUCCAACAUCACAAAUGAACACAAUAUAGAAUAGCAGCACUUAACCAGGUUAGUUAAAUCAGUAACAGGCUCAAACUGAAUGUUAAACAGACAUUUAACAGGACAAGAACAAAUCCAUUUUCCAAUCCUGUAGGAACAAAGUUCACUGAUUCACUCAUCCAUGUCUCACUAAUAAUUAUUCUAUAGAAUUUUCCAACUAAAUUGCCAAUGCUUGUUAUAGUAAAAGAAAGAAAGGGAGGGGAAAAGGCUAGAGCAAAUUCAGAUCUGACUCACACCGAACUACUGGGGGCCUCUGUAGAGCUUACCAAAGACAUGGAGGACGGCGACAACAGCGAUGAACCCAAUGCUCAUGAUGAGGACAGUGUUGGGGGAUAUCUUGCGCCCUGCGGUCUCAUCCGUGUAGAACUGGAGCAUCGUGCUGGCACCCCCUGCUCCCCCACCGCCACCUGUCGCCCUCCGCCUCCGCAGACCUGCGGCAGCCGCAGCGCUUCCCCUAGGUGGUGCUUCCCCAUUUGCCACCAUCUUGAUCGACUCUGUGCCUGAAAAAUAGGAUGAGACAUAAACAACAAGCAAUACACACACGGACAUGAUGCACUGUUGGGAGUUAUAUAAGUGGCCAAAGAUGCAUAAAACCAAUAACAAUGUAUUACUAUUCAGUGUAGAAUAUAUAUUACCCCGCCCCGGGACAGUUAAUGCUUACAAAAAAUAACAAAAAACAAUAUUCUUGGGGUCAUAAAUUGGACAAACUUAUGUGCCUGUUUAGAUGCAUGAAUAUGUUGUUCAGCACGUCUUCUGUUUACACAAAGGAAAUGCAGUAAUUAGUUGAUGGGGAGUAUGAAAAACCUGUCUAAAACCCUAUAAGUAUAUGGCCUCCAAAUAUUUUCCGGGGAAUGCAACAUACGUCAUCUUGUAGGCAGGUUUAACCAUUUGAAGAAGUCGUAAGUAUUAAAAUUUCGAAGUAGGUAAAAAUAAACUUUUCGUUGCAAGUUCGCUAAGGUAAUUACAACAUAAUAAUAAUCAUGAUUUUUCAAGACAAAAGUAUUCUAACCAGAAGAACUUAUUCAAGCCUCGAAACAGGCAAUUGGCCUGCUUGGAUGUCCAAAUUUGUCAUCCUCUAACCUGCCUAACAAAGUAGCAUGAAGUAUUACAGUAUACGCAAAACUUUUAACCCAGCAAUAGCAAUAGACGGUCUUCUCUGCAUUUUCAGAAUUAUGUUGGCGGUAACCGGUGUCAUUCGAACUGUAAGAAACAUAACACUCACGGCAGCUGCAUUACUGGUGACCUUUACACAAGAGGCCUAAAAAUGUGACUUUUGGCACGUUAUUGCAAGGUUUGGUCCCAUAGAAAUUGGUGAAGUUUUAUAUUGAAGGAAUUGAACAAAGUCUCAAUGCAGUGGAGCUCAGAUUAGAAUGAAGAUACAUAACCCAAGCCGGUAGGCAAAAAAGAUCAAUCCCCUGCUUAUAUAGCCAGAUGAUGAUGCAUGAUUUUAGGGGAAACAAAUAGUUCAUGGAUUGUGAGAAACCAACUGACCUGCCUCACAAACUAAGAAGGACAGCUACCAAGUAGAAUUAUGCUAACAUUGUUUUGACGAACCAUAAAUUGAAAUUGACGGUCUAAAUUACGACACAAAGAGAAAAUUGAAAAAGUACAAAGAAUAAACAGGAAUCAGAAAAUUUAGCAGAAAAUACCAUCUUCUCUCUCCGACUCUUUAUACGUAUAUUAUCUUCAACCCACGAUUUUGUACAAUACAUAAGGAAACAUAUAAGAUUCUAGCAUGAAGGCUCUAAAACCCUAAGAGAUCUAAAGCCAAAAUGCCAAGUUUUGAAAAGUAUGAUUUUCUGAAAAUCCAGCAACAUGCAAAUCCAUUUGCAGGUCAAAAAAGAACGGAUUAAAGGAAAAACAUAAUUCUAAUGAUCUGAACAACACGAUCCAAGCAUAGGAUCGGAGGCAAAGGAAUAAGCAACUGCAAAAAAUGAAAGGAACAAUUACUUGAAAAAAUCAGGAUAAAUCUCUCUACUCAACCAAUUUUAAAAUAUUCCUCGGCAAUAUAAUCGACAUAUCGCAUCAAAAUGCCACGAUCUUUCGAUCGAGUUCAAAAAACAUAAAAUCCUACAACAACUGAUCCAAAAAGAAUCAACGAAACAAUCAAAUCAAAAAUACCCAAAAAAAACGAUGUAUCAACAGAUCCAGCGCCGAUCUACCGAGACACACCAGAUCUACUACCAACGAUAGUUGCUACGAGACCCUAAUUCUCACGAGCUUGAGGAGGAGAUCCGGAGGGGGAAGGAGAAAGCGUACCAGAAUAACAAGAAGAAGAAGCGUUGCCCUAGCUCCUCCUCUCGAUUUGCUUUUGGUACAAAUAAGGAAGAAGACGAAAACGGACGCACCCUUGGAUCCACUCACAAUGUUCAGUACGGGUUUACUUAUCCAUGGGCCGGCCCAAAAUUUUCUGGGCCUCGCUGUAGUUUGCUAACUGGGCUUCAGUUGGUCCAGCUAAGCGGAGUAUAAUGGGCUGGGCCCCCUUACUUGGGCAUUUGUAGAAAAUUGGACUAGGGCGGGAAAGCCAGAUACCGGAGAAAUUAUUCCCUACACCAUGUGUAUCCGUACUAAUAUUGGACGGUAGAUAUUUACAUGUAAAGUGGAGUAGACGGUCGAUAGAUUACCUGUGCAAGGAGGCAUAUGUGGACAUGGUUCAGCGGAAAAACUUCCGGUGGGGGCACCCUUUUGCGAAAAGGUUUCGGCCCACUAUAUAAGUCCUCGUAUUGGCACGCAAGACCCUAGAGUAGUAGAAGAAGCCUCGAACUUUUCGUCGUCUUCUUCCCUCUUCCUCCCUCCUCGCGCUCUCGCUGCAACAAAACCCUAGCGACCAAAUCAACCAUGGGUAAGAAGCGCGUCUCCUCCGUCCUCUUCGUCUUAUUCCUCUUCUAUCUAGGGUUUUCUCGUGUGAUACCAUACUACGGUUUUGUGAAUGUGGUUGUUAAGUUAAAUCUCUCUACCUAAUCAGUAUCAUUCAUUAUACGUGUGCCUCGCAGGAAAGGUGCACGGAUCUCUUGCGCGUGCGGGGAAGGUGAAGGGCCAAACGCCGAAGAUGGAGAAGACGAACUUGAGAGGGAAGCCGUACGGCCGCGCCCGCAAGCGCAUGCAAUACAACCGCCGAUUCGUCACCGCCGGUAUCUUAAUUCUUCUUCCCAUUGUAAAUUUUAUAUGAAUUUCGAGUGUAUCAUAACCGAUUUGGCCAUCGAUAUGCUUGUGUUACAUUACGUUUACUCAAUGCAUGUGUUUCUUUUUUUUCGAGUCUUUUGAUUUUAUUUGGUGUGAAAGAAUUUUAGUGAUUUGAUAGGUAAAUAUAGUUCUUAUGAUGUGUUAUGUAUGUAAAUUUUGUUCUUCAGUUGUUGGAUUUGGGAGGAAGAGAGGGCCUAACUCGGGCGAGAAGUCUAAAUAGUCGAAGAAGUAAAGAUGGAGAUCGAUACACAGCUGGUAGUAGCUGCUAACUAUUCUAAACUCGUUCCGCCCUUUUAUUUUCUAGGGUUUUGUUUUUAGCGUUACUAUAGUUUGUUAUAGUUGAGUUGACCAGCGUUAUGAGACUGCUUUACGGGACUACAGUUUUGCUGGGAUGAUAGUACAUUGAUCCCUUCUUUCAGAUAUUAACAUAGUUGGAUUCUUCCGUGGAUAAUAUACCUUAGUAGUUUACUGAUUUCCCUCAAAAGUUGGCUUGUUUUGGUGUUCCUUUAUGCUUGAUGUUUUUUUUUUAUGUGACCAUGAUAUUUGUUUAUUUUCACUAGUAAGUGAAGACCGAAGAAUGAUGCUCUUGUUCUUUCGAAUAUUUAUUACGACUGGUGAGGAUGGCAAGCCAUCCAAAAGUUUUUAGUUGGAUGCUUUGUGUGGCAAGAGAUGUAUUACAUAAUUGUGCUUAAUGUUAGUUUAUAAUAGUAAGAGCUGUUGAUUUUUGAUGGCUUUUUUGGCUCUUUCUGGCAGCUUGGGCGAGGGUUGGUUGAUCAUCUCAGUGCUCCCCUUUUUGAAGGACACAAGUUUUCAUGUGUAAAUGGGUUUUUUGGCGGAAUAGGUAUGUGGUCGAGUAUCCAAUACAGAGUGGAAGGGAUUAACUGGGAGGGAUUUACAAGGUGGAGAAUAUGAACUAAGAAGGUUUUUGGUAGGACAUAUAGCAAUUGUAGUGGAGGUUUUUGGUGUAUAGGGACUUGGGGAGUAAACCAAAGCUUAGUUGAAGAUAAUAUUUUGAGAUAGGGCCAUUCACUCACACUCUUCAAAGUUUUGGUUAUUGAAACCAAAGUGACUACGUACACAAUUUCAUUGAUUUAAAAGGUGCUGCAAAAUUCUUCUUCUUAACUAGUGUUUGAAUGAAAAUUACAGGUAGAAGCCAGAAACAAUAUGUUCCUUUUGUCUUCUUGAGAAAUAGAGGAUGAAUGACUGACUAUGUAGAGUGGUUGUAGCAAACUACAGGUUGAAGUGGAGUCCAAUUAUUUAUAUACAUGCUCUUUUUUGUGAUGUCCUUUAAUUUCCUUGGUACUAGCUGAGCAUGAGAUGUGUCAGCUCAUCUGCUUUUUUCAUUGUCUUUUCCCUGUUGCUUAAUCUUUCCACCAUUAGAGGCAAUUUCUCUGAGAUUAGACCAUUUUCUCCCUAAAUAAGUCGUCUAUCGGUGCUUGACUGCUUGAGGAUUGAGUUUGCUUCCAGAGAUUUCAUGUCUCUAACCCGAGACUAGAAUCAACAACUAGCAAACAUGGCUUUAAUAAGCGUGUUUGUGCCACCAGCCCACCACCCAUUUUCAUGUUCUUGCUUCUUUCGGUAGAAAACCCUGAUGUGGUACCUUUUUUCCUAUCAAUAUUCAUUAGGGGCCCUUCAUUUUUUCUGAAGUGAUGGUCAAGUGUAGCUUUUGAAUUGUGAUAUUUGAUGUCACACUUCAAGACAUAACUGGUGGUAAAUUUUCAUGCAACAUUUCUUAAGUCGUGAAUUGUAAUGAGCUGAGAUAUGGUUGUCAAACUUUGAUGCCAUGUUUUCUUUUUUCUUUUUUCUUUUUUCUUUUUUUUCUUUUGUUUGCUCUCCUCUGUUACGGAGAAACUGCAUGUUGAAAUGCUUACACCGGGAAGAUGGUUUGUUAACUCUUUUCUACUUUUCUUUCUCAAAAGGAAAAGAAAAUCUCUUAGUAACUUUUCUGAAGUUUUUUCUGUGUUUGGCUCUGGUAAUAGGGAGUUUCCGUUCUGCCUUCAUCCCUCACCGUAAAAAGUGCUCUAUUGUUUUGUAACUACACUUUUUUUCUUCUAGAUCGGAAUGAAUGUUUCGGUUGUUGCAAUUAGUUCUAUAUUCUAGGGAGACGAGUGAGGUUGGAGAAGUCCUAUUCCAUGGAUGGGGAUAGGGAUUCAAAGGGAAUUAACUCAAAAUCAAUUUUUUUUUCAAUAUAUUUCACUCGAGACUCGAGAGCUAUACUAGAUUGGCCUCAUUAAUUACGUAAGUACGGAAAGGCACGUGCUAUUUCUAAUUUUCUAUUGGUUGAGAGGGAGGUUUAUCGUACGUAAGAGUUCUACCAAACUUUUAAAUGUAGGAUUGCAUUUACUUCUCCGUGCCUUGUCGCCAGGGAAUCCUAGAAUAUCAGACCAACGGCUGAAAAGGGCAUUGUCGACCUCUCCUAAUGACCGGGCAUAAUAUUAUGUCCCAAGGCACCCAUAAGCUGCUGAGCUAGUAAAGGAGGAUUUAUAGCUUUAUGUGCGACCAAAAAGGAACUAUACAUUCUUCACUCAGCAUGCUUCUUAAUACAUAAUGAGAUGAUAGAUCUAAAAGUAACUCCCUUAAUCAUGCCUGGAAAUCACUUCAACAGCACACCAAUGAAAUUUACAGUUCAACGCACGCAAUGGGUCAGAAGACAAACAGCAGUUCUACAUAUACGUACAAGCAAUAAAAGAGGGAACAUUGAAAAAGAAAAAACAAAAUGUACAGCAGUCACUGGACUUUAAACACACGGAAUUAAGGAACAUACUAGAGGCACCUCUGGAACAAUAUUUAAUGAGCAAGCUUAAAGUAUAGGAUGAGGAGGAUGGCCAGCGCCAGGGCAGCAAUAAUGCCCCCGAUGAUCCAUUUAUUCCUGUCCAUUCUUUUUGACAUGGCUGAUAGGAUCUUCUUGCUCUUGCCAAUGUUAUCAUCCACCCCAUGAAGCUGCAAAACAGGAACAGUUCACACGCGCCCCAUGGUUAUUACAGUACCAUGCAGAGAGAGAGAAAGGGGGGCACACUAGUCUUUCCUCACCACAAUAGAUGUCAGUUAGGAUAUUAUUAUUGGAAAUGCAUGCCAUUCAGAAUGGCAUAUCGUUAAAUUUGACAAAUAGUAAUCAGUUGAUUAUUCUCAGUGAUCAGAUAAGGGAGGGAAAACUGAGAGACCAACUCACGGAUACUGAGUACAAGUAAACUUAACAGACUUUGUCCUGUAAUUUGGCUAACCGACUAAUCAAACUCUAUAUCUCUCUAUCAACAAUUGUGAUUCAUGAUCCUAUAGCCACAUAUCUACAGGAUUUCUAAUCUUCUUAAGAUUGAAUUUGAAGUGACAGAAUACAUUACUAAAGAAGCACAAGCCUAAACAUAAACCAGUUAGUUCAUCUGUUCUGUCCAGUCUGUAUAUCCGGCCUUGUCUAGUUUCAAAUGUGUGACAAAAUAUAGCUAAGAAUCACAAAGACAAAUACAGGGGGGGGGGGGGAGACAUUUAAGUUAUUAAUAGAUCACAUACUAUACUCGAAAAGAAGUGUAAAAAUGCAAACAAAGGCAUGAAACAUACUGUAUUGUGGGCAUGCAAGAGAGACUGCCGUUGUUGAUGCAGGUCCUGCAGAAUCGACACGCCAAGUUCCUCCGUCUCCAACAUAGUUCUUCGACUCUCCUUAAUUCUGUCAGUCGACUGAUUCAGCCUUUCUGUUGAUAUCAACAAUCUUCCUCUCUGAUCAGAGGACACCUGCACCAUGAAAAUAAUACAGCAUAAGAUAAUACAAUACGGGAGAAAGUAAGAUUCCUGUUACACUAAAAAACAGUCAUAAAACACUGUAAAACACUAGAGGAUGGUUAGACAUCAUUUGUUAAGGAUCAUCGUACAGUACUUAUCCUGUUGAAAAAUGAGUACAAUUAUCAACAAGAAUGGGAAAACCGAUGCGCAGUACAUGGAGAACUGCCACCUAUUUCAGUAUACAAUAUUUUAAUCUGCAAUAAUACCAAAUAGUAAAAACUAAAAUUAACAUGCACGAGAUAUAUCCCCCCUGAUUUUCUUGGCAUGAGCCGUAGUCAAAAGGUCCCUCUCUUGACAAAGGAGGACGGCACCAAACUAAAGAAGCAUAAUGAUAUAGGUAUAAAAAAAAUUACAUAUGCUUAGUUUAAUUGUGAAAAUAGUACCAACCAUAGUUAUAAGAUUUAACAGAUGAGAAAGGCUGAGUACGAAGGAAUAACAUUAUUUUUCAGUUCACAACAAUAGACAAGAUCAAGCCAAAAAUGAACAUGUGGAACAAGACGUGAAAGUACCAUCUAUUCACAUUCUCUACAAGACUCACAUAGGAGAAGACAAAGACUUUCUUGGACUCCAAAAAUGAUAAUAUCUCCAUCUAUGACUUAUCAAUAUGGGUUCCAAAUCGUGGACUGAAUUUACUUAGUAAUAUUUAUAAUUUCUUUACAGGCAUAUGCUUCGACAAGGUGAUAAUAGUGUUUAAUUGAGAAGUGAAACAUCAGAAAAAGCAAGCACUAUGAUUCUUCUUUCGAAAAGUGACAUGCAAUGCUUUUUCUGCAUAAUGAUUCGUCCUAAGCACCCACUGCAGUUUUAUGUAGAGAGAUGUCUCGAAAAGCUGAGCGACACUGUAUAAAAUAUAAGAUGGGGUUAGACCAUUUCCAGUUACGAGUUAUCCACAGAAGGAGGGAAAUAAUUAAUCAGAAAAGCACCAAGCAUCUAUAUACUAGCCAACAACCGAUCUCUCUUUUCCUGACAAAGAUAACUCAGCUUUAGUUUGAAAUAAAAUUAAAUGCUUACUGAAUUUGCUUCAAGUUGUAUCAAAAGAGAAGAACAUACCGCCAAAGUAUCGGCCAUCCCAGACUCCAACAGCUCCUCUCUCGUCGCCUGGUUAGCGUUAGUGGUGGUAAUCCUUUUAAGCUCACUCUUCAAGUUGUUCAGAUCUGACUUAUACUCCCUCAGCUUAACCAGCAAUCCGGCCUUCACACUCGGCUGCAAACUUCUAGCCUCUAAAUCCAUCUUUCGUAUCUGAAUCGAUUACAUCGCACGCGGUUGAUAGACCAUUCUUGUUUGCAUUAUUUUAAACUAGAUCAGACUAUUCUUGAAAGAAAAAUCAUACCAGAGCUUCCGCCUCUUCCAAUCCGGAUUUGAUUUCUGAAACUUUCUGCUUCUUUUGUUCUAUAAAACCCACAAAAAUGCGGUUAAUGCUGUGUAAGUUUGCUACAAAUUGUUAUAAAAACUUUUUAAAAGCAAGCGCUCAUGAGGAAUUAUUUGGAACAUAAGACGAUCAAAAAUUACCUCCAUCUAGAACAGCCGCCGAUGAGCAUUUCCGCGAGAGAGAAGCGGAGAUCUCACAGUACUGUCGCUCGUACCCUUCAAAAACUUCACUCAUCUCGUAUAUCUAUACCGAUUAUUCCCAAUUAAAGUCCAAAUUCUGGAGAAAAUCACCAUCAAAAGACAAAUUAAGAUGGGAAGUCGAGUGCCUUGACAGAUCUAAGCCCUAAUUAUAACUUUGCAAGCAUCAAGCUUGCAGCUAGAGAUAGAUGAAUAGAAGCAAUCGAAAUUAGGAAUCUCACCUAGGGCAACUCCCAAAUUACCGAAACCAGUUCAAUUCGAUCCACAACAGAUCAAAUUAAAACAGAAGAUAGAAGAAAAAUUCGCAGAUGUAAUCAAUCAAAAUUGAAAUUACUACAAAAGAAGUAGAUUCUCACGAUUAUUGCUCCAACUAUUGGGGGAAAGAGGGGAUUUGGCUCCCGACGAAGAAUGUCGACGAAGGAAAAAUAAAAAGAAAAAGGGGGGGGAGAGAUGGUGCGAAACGGUAUCCGAGUUUCUACCGAGUCGAAUUGUUGUGGUUACCGCGUGGGCUUCCGAGUUCCAACCGCGCGAAAAGUCGAGCCUGGUGGGCCAUGGGCCCAUAUGUGAUGAGGAUCCAAUUUGGCAUCUAUUGAGACGUUAAUUAUUAAUAUAUUAGUACUAAUAAUGAUAAUAAUAAUAAUAAUGCACAGUUCCCGCUUUAAUUAAACCGGAACUUCUGCUUCGAGGUUCGAACCCUAGAAGCGUCCUAUGCAUCACGGCUGAAGUGCUCGUUCAGGAAUCAACACCGUCCGAUGAUGAACAGGCGGUGGACGUUGCUCCAGUGUCCAGUGAUUGCUAGUUAAAGGGGAAAAAAAAAAAAAUUACGCCAGUAAAAUGAGAAAAAUAGUUAUUUAAGAUAUUAACGCCGUUAAGCCUAACGUCACGGCAUAAGACGGAGAUCAAACGGAGCGCCGUGACGGUAAUCGCAGGAAAAGAGGACCGUCGAUAAGUUGAUGAAGGGGGGAGAACGGUUCGAUCUGGUUUUAAGGGGAUGGAAUGGGAGCAGGGGAGGGGAGGGGAAGGAAACGGGGGUGUGUUAUAUAAAGCCUUUUGGGCUUUUGCAGAGACGGAGGAGAAGAAGAAGCCUUAGAGCAUUUCAUCCGAUCAAAAGAGCUCGUAGUUUUUCCCUCAUUCUCUUCCUUUUUUCUACGCCCUGAGAACGGAGAUCGAUUUCGGAGACAAGUUACUACAAGAAUCCGAGCUCUCGAAGCCCAAUUACUGAGAGAUUCUUCUCAUUUCUUCUUCUUCUUCUUCUUCUUCUUCUUCUUCUUCUUCCUCAUCUCUGUAUGGUGGAAUCGAAGGAUUACAAACGUUUUGAGGAAAAGUGAAAUUCGAGUUUGAAGGUUUGUUCUCUGCCAUUGUUGUGGGAAAUUUGUGGAUUAUACUUGCUUAUUUUUAAACUUUUUUGCGAUUUGCGUAUUUAAAGGUGGUUUUCAGGGAAGUGGAAGGAUCUAAUCUUCGUGGAAAACUAUUUUAACGAGAUACUAAGAGAUCGACGUCCGAAUCGGCGGUUUCAUUUCCUACUCUUCAUCAAUUGAUGAGAGGCCGUAGCGUGCUCGUAGAUGAGCGAUCGAUUAAGAGCCCUAUUGUUUCAGCUGCAUUUGGAGCUCAGAUCCUCAAUUUCUGCUUCGUUUCGUUGAAGUCUGAUGAAAUCCUCUUUGUAAGCAAAUUAUAUUGGAGCGAGAAUUCGAAGGUGGGUUCGACGAUCUUCUUAUUUUUUUGUCGUUUAGAGGGAUUUAUUAUGGCCGUUUACCGAUUUGUUCUUCGUGUAAUAUAGAAGGGCGAGGAGGGGAGGCGAUGAUCGUCACAAAGUUCAAAAUCUAAGGUGAUUAGAGAUUAGUGAUGUUACAACUUCGACAUGCCUACACUCCGAUCUGUCUGAUUCUCCUCCCCUCCCCCUAAUUUUAUCUCCUGUUGUUCUAUAUUCAGGUAUUUGAAGAGAUUUUCCGAGUCCUUGACGCCUCUGUGGUACCAUCAAAAGGCAAAUCAAGGUAACUAAUUAUCUUCUUCUUCUUCUUCUUCUUCUUCGUGCAAUCACCUAGUAUCCGUGACUGCAAUUGGGCUCUUCUCUUUUUCCUCUUUGAUUCCCAAUUAUUUCAUCGUUUCCCUCUUUUCGCUGUCUCCUACGCCUAUUUUCCCUCCCGUCUUCUGAUUUCUCAUCUCUAGAGUUCAUAAUUCUACCAUCUCAUUCUUUGCGAUCCAUGUAAAUUAUUUCUUUCCCUGAUCAACAAUCCCCUAUUCGUGCCCCAUGUCCCAUUUGAUGAGAGAGUGUGUUAAUGGUGCUCGUCCUCUUUCUCUGUUGCUUUUUCUCGUUUGCUUCUUCCUCCUCCGCGAGAGAGAGAGAGAAAGAGAUCUUCGUCCUCUUUCUCUCAGUUUCCUUCCGUGUGUGUGAGGGAGCGAGAGAAUCGCCUUCGUGUUCUUUCUUUCAGUUUCGUUCCCCGUGUGUGUGUGUGUGUGUGAGAGAGAGAGAGAGAGAGAGAGAGAGAGAGGGCAUCGCCUUCUUCGUCUUGAUCUCUGAUUUUGCGUGUGUGAGAGGGAGAUGGAGAGUUAAUCGAAUCGUCUUCUCCCUCUUUCUCUUUGUUUUCUUCUCUGAUCUUCCUCUCCUCCAUUUUUUUUUUUUCAGAUAUUUAUCAUCGUUCCUCUGCUUUAGAAGCGCUUUUCCUUUUCUAUAUCCCUUCUUCUCUCUGAAUGAGAGAGAGUGAGAGAGACGCCAUGGAGCUCUCCUUUUCCUCCUUUAUUAAUUUCCAUUUCCUAAACGCCAUUAAUGUUUAGUAAACACUAACCGGAAGUUACGCCGUUAUGGUUGGCACGUGUCAGAUUCGGUGGUACACAGUAGCAAGCAAGCAAGGAGAGAGGGAAGGUAAUAAAAGGGCCCUCGGAUGGAGAAGAAUCACUACCACACGCGAGGAUCGACGAGAGUGGGCGUGGCGGGGUUCAUAAAUGCUAACGGCGUCAGCGAGGAUCCGUCAAGUUUAACGGAGCCGGAUCUGCCGCUGCAGUGGGGGAAUCGGAAGCGAUCGAGGUGCGUCAAGACUCUGCGCAAGGACGCCGCCGACAAGAUCAGGGCCGAUCACCGCCUCCCCCGCCCCGAUAACUCCAAUCUCCUCCUCCGCCACACCUCCUCCCCCUCCCCGUGCCACCCUCGAAACCUCAGGUACCAACUCUCUCUCUCUCUUUCUCUCUCUUCAAAUAUUUAAUCUCGUCUUUUGUGUGUGUGUGUGUGUGUGUGUGUGUGUGUGUUACGACCAACUAAGAAGAGGGGUAGGUUUCGAUCCGAGAUAACAACGUCGCAUCGCGAAGAAUAGUGCUCUCUAGAUUUUUUUUUGUUUUUUAUGUUGUUAUAUUUCUGUGCUGUGAGAAAAUGGUAAGAAUUUAUGGGAUCCGCUCGGCAAUAGGCCAUUCUAAAAUGACCUCUUAAUUUUUUUAUUGUUAAUUUUAAGAACACUCUUUUUUGAUAAUUUUACUUCUUAAAUAUUUCAAUUGAGUUAAAUUAUUAAUAAUUAACUGGUAUAAAUUUCUUAAUUUAAUAAAAUUAAAUUAAAUAGUAAUAUUGUAGCAGUACCAAUUUAAAAGCCCCGACACCAUUUUCUUAACAUUUAUAAAGAAAACACUUACCCUUUUCUCCCCUAUUGGUAUGUGAUCGCUGGUUUGAUGGUAGACGUUGAUUUGUUUUUUUUGACCCCGUAGUUGUCCUAUUUACAGAAUGGCUUUGAGAUUCGUGCUUCUUUUUUCACGGAUCCCCAGCUAUUUUUUUAUUAUUUUUGUCCUUCACGGGGUUCAAUUUGCGGAGCGAAAUGUGUAUCGCCUUGAGUCGAGUUGGAUGAGAGGAGGUUGAGGUGGCCACGCAGCAUAGGCUAGUUCCUACAUGUGUGCUAAUUACGUUCUUAUCCUUUUCUUUUUUUUUUCCCCCUUUUUUCUUUUUUUGGUUUUAUAUUACUUCUCAAUUCUGAUAAAAUUGGUCACGGACAAUGCCUAUGUUAGAGUGCGAGGCACGGCUGGCUCACUCCUUUGAUUCGAGACUGAAUCUGAUGAAGGGUAAAAAUUUAUUUGGGCAUCGUCUCCAAACAACCCCAAACAAGUUGUUUGGGGACGAUCCCAUCGUGACUCUCGGUAACCCAAAAGAAAAUAAAAAUUUGUGAGCUCCGUUUUUUAGAGAGUGAGAGAAAGAAGUUGGUGGAGGGGAGAGGAGGGUGAGGAUGGGUGCGCUAUGCGCCCAUCCGCAUCCCCUCCCCAAACUAAAGUUUAGUUUGGGGAGGAUGCCCAUAUAAUUUUUGCCGUCUGAUGAACCAUGUGUUGAUUUGAUUUGAUGGAAGAAGAAAAGCAAAUGUAAGAGGAUGUAACUGCCGACUGUAUUUUCUCAUUCAAAAAAAAAAAAAAAACUUCGGUACAUCUAAAUUGUUUUCAACUUUAGGACUUUCGAACCGACGUUCGGUUUCGUUAAACUUGAUUUAGAGUAUUUGAAAUACCUAAAAAAUAAAUUUUAUGAUUUUUUGGAAUCAUUUGCUUCAACGGCUAAUAAUAAAAAUUUUACAAAAUAUAAUGAUAUGACAUUAUAAUUUAAAGUAAAGAUAUUGAUCUUGUUUUAUAUAGUAUAAAUAAUUUUUUAUUAGAAUUUUACGGGUUUUAAAUAUUUUUACACUGUUAAACUUGUAAACAGCUCACCACGGUCGUUAAAAUUAUUAAUUUUGAGCUCCUUCGAUCACUAAGCAAAUGAUAUUGAAAAAUUAUAAAAUUUACUUUUUAGGUAUUUUAAAUAUUCUAUAUCAAGUCUAACGGAGUCGAUUAUCAAUUCGAAAGUUCCAACAUUGAAAACUACUUGAAAGCACGAAAGGCUUCUUAUUUCCAUAUCAACUUCAGUCUCUCUCUAUAUAUAUAGAGAGAGAGAGAGAGAGUUCGGCUAUUAGACUAUCGAAAGUAUUUUUUGGUAUUAUCAAGUUUUAUGUCGCUAGAUUUACUUUUUGUUUAUUUUCACUCGUUAGAUUAUACUAUUUAAACAACCACUCGUUUAACCUUAGGGGACCAUUAUUAUUUCGAUCAUAUUUUUUUCAUCCAACAACUGAAAAUUUAAUAGCACCAAUCGCUUGAUAUUAUAGAUAAUAUAGUAGCAUAAUUCUAUAUUGUUUGUUCUGUAAAUCAAUAAGUUAUAUGGCGUGAAGCCGUGAACUGGUGAUGGACAUCAUUUACCCGGGGUGCCAAAAGGCAGCGAACUCCCCCUCUGAGGCCUGCUUUUGUUGGCAGAGGAAAAGCCCACUAAUGGUUGUGUCGUGGCGCACGUUGCGGUGGAAGUUUGUUCAUGCACUUGGUGCACCAACUCAUCCGUGGGCUGCUGUUCAUUCUACUCUCCGUCCAUGGCCGAAGUAGUGAAUCAGGUCCAGCCAUAGUUUACGCACGUUUGGGGUCUACCCCCACUCGACCUUGAUUGGAGGAGGUGCAGCAGAUAAGCGGCGUUGGAUUUCCCUUUCUUUCAUCCAGCCGUUCACGGGUGUGAGAUCAAUCACCAGACACACGCUCCUACCUCGCAGCAGAGCUGUGAAUCCUGUGAUCACGCCCCACAGCGUGUGGAUGCUCUUUGUUUCUCGUUCCAUCGUGUCAAAGUCAGAGGCGCAUUUUAUUAAUUUUAGGUCCUUAAACCCUUCUCUUAAUCAAACCCUUCACUCCAAUCAACUCUUUUUUUUAAAAAAAUAUAUAUAUAUAUAUAUAUUUUAAAAAAUAAGAAGCAAAGUGCGCGUAGUACACGCACCUAGUGAGUAACCUGCCGCAGCUUCUAUUCGUGCUCAUUGAUUCAAAAUUUCGGAUUCAUUUUUUUUUUCUUUAAAUUUUUGCUUUCCUCAAUCUCAGGAAUACGGAAGCGACGGCGACGAUGAGAGCGGCGGGUGGUCAUCAGCAGCCGCGCAACGGAGGAGCGAGAGUUGGGGGAGCGUCGGCGUCGCCGGAUCGGGCGAAGGGGGCUUGGUCGGAGGAGAGGAAGGGUUCGUCGUCGGGGAGCGAGGGGGCGGUGUGGCCCAAAUUCGCCAUCGCCCUCACCAACAAGGAGAAGGAGGAGGACUUCUUGGCGUUCAAGGGUUCCAAGCUCCCUCAGCGGCCCAAGAAGCGAGCUAAGAUCAUCCAGAGGACCCUCAACGUACGUGUGCUCCUCCCAUCAAUCUCAAUAAUAAUUUUUUUUUUCUUUUUUUAAUAUAAUUUUUAGUUUUAUUAUUUUAGUUUUUUCGAAUUAAUUUCAUAGUGUUUAAUUUUGAGAAAUCUUAGUUAAUUAUUAUUAGCAGGGGCAGUUUUCGGUCGCAAAGUAUGACUUUGCGGUAGCGAGGGGUCAUGAUUUGCGGAAAAUGUUUGGUUGGUUUGGUUUUGUUCGCGUCCGUGGGGCCCCGUCAUAAAACCUUUUGAAUAAUAAUAAUAUAUAUAUAUAUAUAUAUAUAAAAGUCAGAGCAGACAGCUCUUUCUGAAUUUUGGACUAACUAUGAUGUAGAAGCCACCAUUUUUCUAGUGAGUUUUACUUGAGGCCAACCNAAAAAGUUUCUAUCCUCUAUUUUUGAACUUAAGCAAAUAUUUGGUUUUCGAUCCCUUUUUUUCCAAUUAUAAAAUUUGUUCCCUGACCAUGAACAAAAAGAAAAAAGAACUAAACUACCGGCUGUCAAAGUUUAACUUGGUGGGAGAAAAUUCGUUCGGAAACAAACAGAGAAAGACCUGAAAACCGCUUAGUUGUGAGAUUCGGCAAGGGAUGAUUGUUUGUUCUGUGAAAUGAAGGGGAUUCUAAAAUGUUGUCGACGGACUAGUCCUGAGUGAUAUAUUUGUCACUCCGACACUGCUCCUCAUAUUAAAACAAUCUUCAAAGCUUGGAACGUGAAUUGACAUAGCAUUAGUCCUCAGAACAAAACUAAAAAUAUGUGGAGUUGCGACAGUCAAUGUUGCUUGAUAUCCUUUUUCUUUUUAACUAGUUUUGCGGUUUUAUAGGAUGAAUUUUUGCAAUCGAAUUUUUAUUUUACUUUGAUGCUUGAAUAUCUCCCAACCGAUCGAUAUUAAAUCUUCGCUAAUGUAUUGUUUGAGGAAUUGUUUCUUCAUCAUUGACUAAACGUCAUGUUAGUGGUAGCUAAAACGUAGUAACUUUAGAAGUGCUUUCAUUGUGAUGUCAACAUAUUGAAAUUAUUGAUGUUAAUUCUUUGAUUCUCUGUUCCAUAGCUGGUGAGCCCGGGGGCUUGGCUUUGCGAUCUUACUCUAGAAAGAUAUGAAGUCCGAGAAAAGAAGAUAUCUAAAAAGGUUAGCGAAAAUUUCACUUCGAAAAUGAUGACUUGAAAGAAGUUUAGAGCAAGAGGAAGAGGGAGAGGAAGAGGAAGAGGAAGAUAGCGAUGACAAGAUUCAGCCAUUUGGCUUUCUAAGUUUCUAAUAUAGUCUUUUGUCUUGCAGCGGCCCAGGGGUUUGAAAGCUAUGCAAAACAUGGAAAGCGACUCGGAUUAGUUGGGAUGAGGAUAGCAGGCGAAGAGAAGCAUGAGGAAGUUAAACACUCAGCUGAGCUGGAUGUGGGGCAUUUCAUCAUAUGGUAUAUAUGGUUUGGAGGGAUGAGAGUUGUACAACCAAUCAAGCAUACGAAGAACCUUAGUAUCUUAAUGCUAAACAAGCAAAUGCACAGUAGAUUAUAUUUCCCUCUAUUUGAGAGCCAUUGUGGCACCCAACAGCUCCUUGGAUGGGGUUCGCUGGAGCGCUAGCAGAGAUAUUUGAAUCCAUGGCGAUCCGCAACCUUCUUCUAUCAACUGUUGGCCUUUUCUAUCAAUUAUGCUAACGGUCGAAAAAACAACUUCCUGUCAAAUAGAUGUGCUGCUUCUUUCUUGUAUUAUGUGUCUCUGGUUUGGCUCUUUACUUGGAAUUUAAUACAAGGGUUCAUCAAUUGCAGUUGGGCUUUUCUUUUCAAGUUCUUGUUGUUUUUGUCGCGCCUUAAUAGCUCCACAUUGGAUUACGCAGGGACCAUUGCUUCUUUCUUUUAUCAUAACCUCAACAACCCUUUUCUGUUUCUGGAAUGAUUCCACAUUGUCUUAUGCUGUAAAAGUAAUCAAACCCAAUUUAUAGAAAUAAAUCAAAUCCAAAACUAGUUCAGAAAUUAUUAGUACAAUUUUCUAAUUCCGAGGGCGCGCAUGUGAACUCUAUGGGCGCCGAGUGAUGGGGAGGUCAUAUUAUUGCAAGAUACGAUCAACGGGUCGAAGUUUUAGUUGACGAGCAAUGUUAAAGCCAAUAGCUUCUUCGCAACUCUACGCUGGUCCAAACCGCUUACUUAUGCCUAUUUUGGAACUACACGGAUGUAACAAAUGGUCUCUUUUUGGGCAUUUUAUUUAUGGGCCACUUCGCAGUUGCACUCAGCCGAUCCACAAUCGCUAAAACAAACAUGUAUCAUCAGAAACAAAAUCAGGGCCCAGUGAAAGAAAAAGAACUAAAAUAAUUUAAAAAUAUAAAAGAUAAUCGAAAAGAAACACAAUUCCGACAACGCACGUGAAACUUUCGGCGCAGUAGCUGCAAGCUGUAAGCGUCAGCUUAAAGCUGACGCGAGUAGCACACAUAAGAGAGGUUAAAAAACUUCACAUAUCACCACUUUUUAUUUUAAUAUUUUAUAAUUUAAAAUAAUAUCGAUUUAGUAUUCGUAAUUUUUUUUAUUAUUAUUUCUAUAAUAAAAAAAUUAAAAUUAAAAUUAAAAAAAUAGUAAAGUGAAUAAUAGAUCAUCCUAAAUAGAGUAUAUGAAAUUUUUUUUGUAUAUCUAAAAUACGCGUCUGGUAAUAGGCACAGAAGCAAAUGGUAACAGAGGAAAAAGCAUCAUACGCUACCCACAAAUACAUGCAAACAUCCAUCCAUAUUUUCAGUUGAAUCAUACGUGCACAAAAAACCCCAGAAAUUUAUUAAAAGAUUUUUCUUUUUGAUCUAAAGCAUGUUAAUUAAUAGAGAGAAAAUCCAAACAAUGAGGGCGCUAAUAGAAGGUAACAGAGGAAAAUAAGAGAGACAGAGAGAAAAUAAUAAAGUGGAGAACACGUACACAGUACACACAGUACGACGGAGUAGUACAGAAGCCGAAAGAAAAAAAGUUCAAAAAAAAAAAAGAAAAAAAAGAGAUCGCGCGAUUAAACAAGCAUCAUACGCUACGGAAUCGAACAGAUCGCAACCGAAGAUUUGGAUCGGAUCCUUCAACGGCGGAGGGAUCCGAAGAGGAGCGCCACGGCGGGGCAGAGGAGAGCGCCGACGAGCGGCGACGAGAGAGCCACCGCGCCGGAAGUGGGGCUCGGCGCCGGGGCAUCUCCGGCGGCGGCGGCGAACCCGGCGAGGGAAGCGACGAUCCCAACCGCCACGAGGAGGAGGGAGAAAACCCUAGACUCUACGCGAACCAUUCUCUCUCUCUCUCCUUCUCUCUCUCUCUCUCAGUUGCGAAAUUUUGGUAGGGCUCGGAAUUAGGGUUAGGGAUUUGAAGGGCCUGUUAAGGGAAAGGGAAGGGAAAAGAAGUGGGAAGGAGGAGAGAGGAAGUGAACAUCAAGGAAAGGAAAGGAAAGGAAAGGGCUAAGAUUAGAACUUCGGGCAGAGUGUGUUGUGUACUGGUGUAGUGUUGUGUCGGACGGGGCAGCUGCCCGUAAGUAACAACGGUCUGGCGAUUUCUUUCUUAAUUUGUGGGUCCCGCUCCCGCAUUAGUAAGUGGAUCUUUUCCUUUUCUCAUAUGUAUAUAAUAAUAUAUACAUUCUACAUUCAUCAAUAUUUAACGAAGAAGAAGAUACUGUAUUAAUUCUGCCCUCUUUCUUCUAUUAGAUCCCGUCAAUUAUGAUUCAGCAUGAAAUGUCUUGCCAUUUUAUUAUUACUAUUAUUAUUAUUAUUAUUAUUAUUAUUAUUAUUGGAAUGAAUAGACACUAGCACACAGCAUAUAUAUGAACUCGAUCCUUCCGCAUGCGCCAAAGGGAAAUAAUGUGGCAUCCUGGCCGCUAUCCUAGUCGUGUUCAAGCCAAUUAAAUGCAUAUUUUUUAUAUUUGAUAGUGCAAAAAUUCAACCAACCGACCACUAGUCCUCACGUAAAUGAUAAAAAAUCUGGUGAUUGGUAUUUAAAACUUUAAGUUCAAAAUUUAAUUCUUUCACAUUAAACAUGAUAGCAUACGAGAUGGUCUUAGCAUUCGGAUGCACGUGUUAGAUUGAAUCUGAGUCGAUCUAUUUAUUUUUUUAUUAACUGAAAGAAAGACGUGAUAAGACUUAGGUAGUAAUUAGCAAAAAAAGCAAAGGACACAAAUAUAGUAGAUCCAGAGAGAGAGAGAGAGACAGAGACAGAGAGAUAUGAGAUGCUCUCACUCGUUGCUAAUUUUGAGCGAGAGAAUGUCUGAUCCAAAUAUAUAUAAAUAUCGUUCACAAAAAAGAAAUUAAGGAAAAAAAAAAGAAAAAGAAAGAGGGGGAAGGUGCGCAAUGAAUAGCAUCCAAACGAGGACCGGCAGGUAGCGAUUUUGAUUUGAAAAUGUGGAAAGCGAAGCGAGGGUCCAUCAGAUAGAUAUUCAGGCAUUCAGGCUUUCAGCACACACCACAUGCUGCGCUUUCGCAUGUUCGCCAGCUGAUGCUGAAUAAUGCUAAUGCUGUGCUAUUCAUGUGGGUGCAUGGUCGCCCUCUUUAGUCUUUAAUUUUUUCCCUCCUCAUCUCCUCAGGUGCUCACAAGGAAACUUUUAACUCCACUGCUGUUGUUAGAACCUCAAAACAACAAAGGAAUGAAGAGACAAGGUGAUAAAGAUUAAGAGGGUCAUAGCUGCUUCCAUCCUGUAACGCUUAGUUCAUUUUGCUUAAUGAAUGAAACAAAUAUAGCGUGCUAUCUUUUUCUUAAAAGCAAAAAAAAAAACAAACAAAGGAAUGAGGGAGGCUCUGAAGUUGAAGUAAGCUUUUAAGUUUUAGAGUUCGUUUGACUCUGACUCUGACUCUGUCAAAUGUGCAGUUACGACUGUUUAAAUGUAUAAUAUACUGCAUAUAUGUAUAAACCCAACAUCUGUUUUAUCCCCUUUUUUUUUCUUUUUUUUUCUCUUUCUUUUUUUUUUUCUCUCUCUGGAAGAAUAGCCACAGCAGAAUCAAAUAGAUUCUUGUUAAAAACUAGAGAGCGCUAUAAGUUAAAACCUCACACUUCUUUACUAACAGCAAAAUGAUAUUGUAAAGGAAAAAAAAAAAAAAGAAGACUAAUUUCGUAUAAUUUUCUAUAAAAGUAAAUAUAUUUUUAUAAAAUUUAAUUUUUCAUAUUUAUUUCUAUAAAAAUUUAGUAAUAUUUAUAUCUAUCUCUCUAAUUUAUUACUGUUAGAGUACUGUUUAUUUUUUAAUAAAAAAUAAAUAAAAUAAUAUUUUUAUUAUCACAAAUAUAUUCGUUUAAAAAUUCUAACUGUUAGAAUUAUACAUAAAUAUCCUCAUAAAAAUCUCUAACGAUUCUUUUCUUCUUCUCUACCAUCACAAAUAAUAUAAGAGGAGUAAAAAAGUCAAUUUACCUGAUUCACUAAUCAGGAUUAAAUAUUUUAUCUAUAAUUAACUAACAAGUUCUAACAGAAGAGGUAUAUUUAAAAAUAUUAAAAUUUUUGUAAGAAUUAAUAUAAAAAAUUUGAACUUUAUAAAAAUAUAUCUAUUAUUUGAUAUAUUUAUAGAAAGCUAUAUGCAGUUGAUCGCCUCGCGAACCUUUCCAAUUACGAGAGUAAACAAAAUAUAAUAUUAGAGUGUACAGUUAUGUACUCAUUCCCGUUGCUUCAUAAUUAGAUGUGUACAGAGUAUUAAAUAUAUAUAUAGCUGUUGUUUCAUGUGAUCAUGGGAUGUUGGUUGAAGCUUCAAUUUGGAAGAGAAAUUAAACCCAAGGUACAUAAGCUCACAAGUAUAUUCCCAGCUUUAAGCCUUUAACACCGAAGUGGAUUUAGAUUGGCUGUUUAUUAAAGUAAUCCCCACUUAAUUAAGUUUAAUUUAGAUAAAACCAUCGAGUGAAAAGAAGAUUGUACAGGUAGCGAAAUGCAAGAAAAACCACAACUGAGGAGCUCAGAGUUUUCCAGAGCUAUAACAUAAACUUUAACUUAUCCUACUGUGCGCAAUUAACUAAAAACUUAAUAAUUAAUAUUUAUUUAAAAUCUAAUUAUUUUAUGUUUUUAACUAAAAUAAUUUUACAUAAAGGAAUAACACAUGAGCUUCAAAGGCGUCAGGAAUGUCACUGUCAAAAAUGUGCAUAAAUAAAUAAAUAUAUAUAUAUAUAUAUAGUAGGGUUAGAAUACUUGUAAAAGUAUCAUGGGGGUGAUACUUGUGUGUUUUUAGCCCUUGGAUGGAGAGAUGUGAGGUUGAGAUGAUGGUGGUAGGUGUGGGUAAGUUAAGAAUGGAUAGGUGGAAUAGUAUUUAAUCCAGGGCUAUUAAUAAUCAAAAAGAUAUCCAUGGCUAAAACCUAAUAGCACCAAUGAUGGUGAUAUUGUAAAAGUAUCAUAGCUCAACUCUAUAUAAUAUAUAUAUAUAUAUAUAAUAUAUUAUAUAUAUUAUAAUAUAUAUAUAUUCAUUUGUCAAUACAAUAAUAAUAAUCCAAGCUUCCCGAAGAAACUAGGAUGCUAGCUUGAUAGUAUCUUUCGGAGGUGGCAAUGUUAAUUUGAACGGCCCAUUUCUUUUCGAAGAUUUAAAAUUCAAAAUACAAAGUUCACAAUCCGGAAAGACUCAACGCGGACCGAGGUCUUGUUCGUUAUAAAACUGCCCAUCCGAGUUUUAAAUUUGCAAACUUGUUCGGGAUUCACGACUCGAGUGAGAUUUUUUAUGUUGUUUUGUUUUUAUAUUACUAUUGCAGGUUCCGAAUCCUUGGCGUGGGGCACUUCCAACAAUAUUGAUAUAUAUAUAUAUAUAUAUAUAUAUAUAUAUAUAUAUAUAUAUAUAUAUAUAGAGUUGGACUGAGCUAUACUAUAAGUACCAAAAUUUCAUUGUUGUUAUCAGUUUUUUAGCUUUUAGAUCAACUCUUUUCAUUAUUUCUAACUAUUGGAUUAAAUACUAUAACCCAGUUGGGGCAACUCAACCCUAGGGGGACAACUCAACUCUAACCGACUAAUAUCAUCCUGAUCCUAUAAUUUUUCAUCCAAAGGUUAAAAACUUGAUAACAAAAAGAGCGUUUUACUAUUAAUAGUAUUCCAGUCUAAUUCUAUAUAGCAAAAAGAGCGUUCCGGUAAACCCAAUUAGUACAGCUCAAGAGGCAAAGUACAAAGUACAAUUGUACUGAGCCCUCUUCAACUAUAGAAGCAAGUCCCUUAGUGUUUUUUUUUUUUUUUUUGAGAAAACUUUAAAAACUGUACCCUAUGAUUUAAAAUGUAUGAAGUUAGUAUCAUGUGGUUUCUUACUUUAUCAUUUUAGUACCCUGUGGUUUAAAGUGUAUCAAGUUAGUACCCUGUGGUUUUGCACUUUAUCACUUUAGUACUCUGUGAUUUUAAUUUUGUAUCAAGUGAGUACCCUAUAGUUUUUUAAACCAUAGGGUACUAAAGUGAUAAAGUGUGAAAUUAUAGGGUACUAAAGUGAUAAAGUGCAAAAUCACAGGGUACUAACUUGAUACACUUUAAACCAUAAGGUACUAAAGUGAUAAAGUGAGAAACCACAGAAUAUUAAGUUGAUACACUUUAAACCACAGGAUACUAAAAUAAAAAAGUGUGAAAUCACAGGAGGGGGUUUUUGAAGUUUUCCCUCUUUUUUUUUUGUUGGGUAUGAACAUCCCCAGCUUUCAAUUUUUCUUACUUAACGUUUAUUCUACAGGAUCAGCUGAAGAUUUCACUAAAUUUACUAUAUCAAGUAAUUAUUAUCAGUCAUUAAUUGUUAAAAUUGUAUUUACUGAAAAACUAAUUAAACUUCGCAAAACUAUUAUUUGAAUUUAAUAAAAUCCUUAAUCUAUGUAAUUUAAAAUUACUUAAAUUUUACCCUAUAUAUAUAUAUAAUCCUUAAUCUAUGUAAUUUAAAAUUACUUAAAUUUUACCCUAUAUAUAUAUNAUAAGAUGAGGAGUCAUUCAAAAAUAAAAAGUUCAAGGCCAUUCCAAAGUUUAUAACUGGAGAAAUUAUUCUUUGUAGGAUUUUCUUUUCUUUCUUUUUUUUUUUUAGUUCUUCUCAUUUUAUGCCUGUAGUAGAGGGAGUCCAUUUCGCCCCCCCCACCCAACACACAGUGAACGACAUGAAAAACGAUUGAUCAAAUUUUAACCUAGAACCGCACCCAUGCAGAUCUCAGGACUGCAUCUGCAAAUUUACCCAAGCCACACUACUGGUGCUGCACCACGCACGUGAUAGCGCUGUGUACUGUGUAGAAACAAGAUUUGAAUGGGGGACGCUUAAAGGGUAUGCGUAGCAUUUCACCUUAUAAACGAAGUUGGGAGACCGAGUAAUAAUAACACUAACUUCAAAUUUGAAAACUUCCAAAACAAUUCUUAGGCCACCACCAAACUGAUCGGUAAUAAAACGAAGAAAGUAAAAUUAAAUCAGCAUUAAAACAAAGAUAGCACACAUCCACAGCUGGAUCUAUCAAAAGUGAAAGAGUGAAUGAAAAUAGCCACAACAAUGGUGUGAAAUAAUAGCAAACUGUAUAUAUAGAUAUAUAUAUCAAACUAUCAGGCGGAACUCACAUACAUAUCUACAGAACGACGCAAACCACAUAGAAAUGCAAAUUUAUUACCUAGCGACACAGCUCGACCCGGAUGAAAACCCUAACGCCUAGAUCGGACCACGAUCUGGACAAUGCUGUGAAAGAACAAAGACACGGCGUGCUGAAGAGGGGGCGCAUACGAAGCGUACGGAGAGAGGGAGAGGCCGAUCGUUCCGCAACCGAACCAGAGAGACCCGGAUCGGGCUGGCGCGUCGGGAAGCUUCUUCAGUGGCGGAAGAAGGAGAGGAUGAGCGCGGCGGCGGAGGCGAGGAACGCGGCGGCCAGCGGGGCAGAGAGGGUUCCCGCUGCGGAGGUGGGGCUCGGCGCCGGGGCCUCGGCGGCGGAAGCUACGGCGGCGAGGGAUGCCGCGGCCACGGCCGCGACGCAGAUCGCGAGAUCCUUGCUAACGAUGGGCGCCAUUGCUCUCUCCUUCUCCUUCUUCGUGGGAUCCUCGAAGAGGAGGAAGAAAAUGAGGAAGGAGAGAUCGGAGGCUAGGGUUUUGGUGGGAGGAGGGGAAAGGAGCGAGUUCUCGGAGACGGAGUGGUGACGGGAGAGAAAGUAGGGAGGGCGGGUAUAUAUAACAAAGUAGGCGGAACGAGCGGGCAGGAGGGGGGAUGACAGCUGGCGAAGGGCCGUAUGACAGCCUGCUGUAGUGGUGGCCCCGCGUGGGAUUUCCUCCCUCACCACUCGAUUUCCCAUAAUGCCCUUCCCUUUUUGUUAAAUAAAUUAAGCACCUAGCCUGAUAUUCUCACACCUUUCCAACCAAAUAUCCUACUAAAUUAAUUUUAUUUAUUAACUUGUAUUCAAAAAAUUUUGGAAAAACUUCAAAAACCCCCCUGUGGUUUCACAAUUUUUUAUUUUCAUACCCUGUGGUUUAAAGUUUAUCAAAUUAGUACCAUGUGGUUUCUUACUUUAUCACUUUAGUACCCUGUGGUUUAAAGUGUAUCAAGUUAGUACCCUGUGGUUUUGCACUUUAUCACUUUAGUACCCUGUGGUUUUGCACUUUAUCACUUUAGUACCCUGUGGUUUCACACUUUAUCACUUUAGUACCAUUUGAUUUAAAAAACCACAGGGUACUAACUUGAUACAAAAUUAAAACCACGGGGUGCUAAAGUGAUAAAAUGUAAAACCACAGGGUACUAACUUGAUACACUUUAAACCACAGGGUACUAAAGUGAUAAAGUGAGAAACCACAGGGUACUAACUUGAUACAUUUUAAACCACAGGGUACUAAAGUGAAAAAAAUUGAAACCACAAGGGGGGUUUUUGAAGUU
rnacentral:lncRNA from 1 species